UAAAAAAAAUGUGGUGGCAUAUUCUUUGAUAGAAACUGUAAUUCGGUUCUUGAGUGCAGGCCUGAAAAAGGAAAACGGCAGCUGCUUCUUUCUGCGUGCAUAUCAAUCAUUAGCUACGGCUGAUCAGGGCAGCGGUUGGGCUGCUUUUCAUGUGUGACGCCAGGGUCUUGGUUCCGCCUUAUGAUGCCAGUUGGGCGAAUUGCAUAAAGUAUCCGCGGGCUUGACACCUGUCAGAUUAGUUUGAGAUGGUGAUUUGGCAGAUUAGUAUGAUCAUCUGAUUAGAGCAUGGCUAAUACUUCAUCUCUUCCAAAGUAUAAGAGGAUUAGUUUUUUCAAAAGUCAACAUGUGUAUUUUGACUGGUUUUCGGGAAAAAUAUCAAUAUAUACAAUAGUAAAUAGGCUUUGCUUUUUUUCUUAUCACUAGUAAAAAAAAGGGCCAUUUGUCCCGGUUCGUAAGGGCCUUCUGUCCCGGUUUUGGAACCGGGACUAAAAGUUCGUUACUAAUGCCCUUGGCCUUUAGUACCAGUUCUUACACGGACCGGGACAGAUGGGGCUCCACGUGGCCGGUGCGGUGAGCCCAGGCAGUAGGCCCUUUGGUCCAGGUUGGUGGCACCAACCGGGACCAAUAGGCAUCCACGCGUCAGCUGUUCAGGGGCUGGGUUUUUGUUUUUUUCUAAAGGGGGGGGGGGAUUUGGGGGUUUUGUAUGGUUAAUUAAGGUGUUUCAUAUAUUGUGUUAGGUAGCUAAUUAAUUAAUCGAGAGAAGUGUCCUCUCUUAUCUCCGUGCUUGGUCGACGCUACGUACUAUACGUACAGAGAGCACUUGACACGCUAGCUAGUAAGCAAAAAUGAAGGAAACAGAAGAUCGUCAUGAACAUAUGCAUACAGAGAGAAGGAAACAGAAGAUCGUCAUGAGCAUAUCGACCUCUUCUCCGAGAGAUUGGUCGAACAACAAGUUUUCGUAUAUCUAUCCGGCGCUACUAGCUACAUAUAUACAAUAUAAGAUCUCUUACAAUAUAAUCCCCUAAUUAUAUAUGAACACAGGGUCCACAUAGUAUUCUUCGUCUUUACCGAUCACGUGGCCAAGAAAGAAUGCCGCCAAUUCCUCUUGAAUUCCUCGCAUGUGAUCUGGUGCUAGGAGUUCAUCCCGCAUCCGAAACAUCUAAUUUGAAGAAGAGGGUUAAUACAUAUAUAUAAAUGAAUGAAACUCAACACAAAUGAUGGUAAAUAAAGUUAAAUUCUGAAUAUUAUUGCUUACACACUUCAUAUUGUUUUUUAGUGUAGCCCCGCUCACAGGUCGUGUGGUGGAUAGACUCGCGAAUGUAGUAUCCACAGUAAUUAUUCCCGGCUUCCUGCCACAACCACUUUACAAGAAAUAGAGGUCAAUAAAACUGAUAAGUAAGCAUGCUAAAAUGGUAUUGAUGAAACUAGCACUUGAAUCAGUAGGAGAUGCACGGAACAUGCUAGUAGUACUUACUUUCGUGUGUUUAAAUUCCAGCUUCUUCGGCAGUCCCAGAGCUUUUAAGGUGAAUUUUUUCCAAACCCUGCCAGACAAAGAAAACAAUUACUUGAUAUCAGGAAGUGAACAAAGUUGCCGAUAUGGUGCGAUAAUGAUCGAUUUAACUUACUUCUCGAGAAUUUCAGUCAUGUCCUCAUACUUCUUGGGAUCUUUUCGUCUCGAGUCUAAGAAGGUUACUAGUCCCUGCUCGAGCUUAAUCUCUAGGAGAAUAUAGUGGAACCUGCGCACACAUGCAUAACUCAUCAAUUACAUUACUAUAACCUCGACUAAUAAGGAAAACCGAAUAUGCACAAGAAAGUAACACUCACUUGAAGUUGUAAAGAAAGAGUAUUAUAGCUUUGUUUUGAUUUAAUACCAACGAUUGUAGAAAGUUGGCCUUGAUAUCUUUUUUUCUGAAAUUCAACCAAAUAUGCAUCUAUGAUAUUUGGGUUAAUAAACUCAAUAUCACUAAUUUGUCUUUUCUUCAAUUCGGCGAUCUUCAACCUACAUAAUAUAGUGAGGAUAAUUAUAAAUACAUGCAAUGAAAGAGUUGACCUAUAUAUAGAGAGUUAAUGACAGAAGUAGUACUUAUAGACUAAGUGACCGUUAAUUUAUCGAGGGCCUUCUGAUUGAAAAACUGGAAGAACUCCUCAAAUGGAACAUUCAACAGAUCCUUUCCAACGAGGUCAUGCUCCUCUUUAACUCUCAGCGUCAAAGUAUUCCUCCCCCCAUACUCUCUGCAGGUUUUCAUGUACCAAUCAUGGAAUCUUCGCAUCAUCGUUGUUAGAGACCUUUCAUCUUUGACGAGAGGCUUCCCGUACUCGUAUCUAUGUUCUUCCACCUUCAAGAAUUCAUAAUGUACAUCGUCGGGCAGGUAAUCUUCAAGACUGUUAUAACCGGGCACCAUCCUUGAAUCGUUAGCGAAGAUAUCGCUAGACACCUUGAGCGGGGGGAACGAUUGGUUCGCUUGUUCACCCAGCUGGGCAAUUUUUUUCCCAGCUCGUCGUUCCGCUAACCUUUGUUCCGCUAACAGUUUUCAAGAGAAGGUUGUGUGUGAUUGUUCACUGAUUUAACACGAUUUAUUUCUAAAAACUGUGUGCGUUGCCUGAGGUUAUCGCCCACGAUAUUUUCUCAAUAACCGUUUGCAAUAGUAAAACCCAAUUAGCAGGCUAAUUUUCCAUUAGCAGACUAAUUGCUCUAUUAUUAAUAAUCCAUUUAUUAAUCUAAUUGACAUUCAUAUUAAGCACAUAAUAUAUUUAAUUUCCAUAUUAAGGAAGCAGGAUUUCAUAAUUGAAAUACAUCAGAGUACAACAUGAUAUAGCUUCAGCACUCAGCUACUCCAUUAUACAACUGCAUCAGCACCAAGUUUCACAUGCAACAUGUAGAACCUUUCGAAAUUAGCAUCAUAGACGGUAUAUAAACAGAUGCAUCUCAUCUGGAAAACUGCUGAAGCGGAAGGCGGAUAUUGAGCCUUCAUUCAUGUUGAAGGUCUUUGCAACUUUAGGCCAGUGCGUGUGGAUGAUUGACCGUUCGUCUUUCGUCCUCUUCAGGAACACUUCAAUGUUGAACCUUGGGUGUUGUAUGAAAACCUUCCUCGCCUCCUGACUAUAGAGAUGGUUAUCGGAUGCAAUUAUACAACUAAUUUGACACAUAAUAUUAUGUAAUAUAAUACCUGAAAGGGCAAGGAUCCAAGCAUCACUAAUGCCUCACGAUGAGCAAGAUGGUGCUCCUAAUAAUCUAUUUUUUAAUUAGAACUUACAAGAGAAAAAAGAAAGCAUGCUACAGAAAAAGAAAUAGAAAAUUGUUUACAUGAGCAUCUAUGUCUCGCUUUAAGCUCCCACAUUACUAUGCCAAAGUCAUAUGGGUUGCGUGUAUCUUUGGGAAUGAAAAAAGUAAAAAAAAAGAUGAAACUGAAAACCCUAACUCUAUAUCUCGUCAUCGAGUCCACGAGAGAAUUAUCCUUGUUUGCUAAAAAAAUGACGAGGCGUUGUUGCCGUUUAUGACCCAAAGCUGUCCUCCUCUCUUGUUUAUUGUUCUGUCCUAUGACUUUGAAUUGUCUGAAUACUAGGUUAUGCAGAAGGAGACAACUGCGUUGAGCCAAAAAUAUCGAUAAUGAUUUGAUAUGUCGACACAUGGUUGGUUUGGCACAUAGUUUGGCGGUUCUCUAGUUGGGUUAUUCUACUGUUAAAUAAAUGAUAUUACUAUACAAAUAUACCAAAAAAAGGCGACAAUCCAAACAAUUGAAAGAAACAGAUAUCCCUGCCGACGCUGAUUGCUGCCUUGUCGUCAGCUUCUUUUCUAAAUACAACUUGCAAGAGAAAAGAAAACCCGAAAGAAAUAGGAGAAUUUGCAAGAGAAAAAGUUCUCUCUUUUUUUUGCGAUGAGCAUCGAUGCCUCACUUACUAUCAGGUAUGCCAUUAUUAAAGCAAAGUCAUAUGCAUAUAUUGCAAGUACUUUCUAGAAUAAAACAAAAAAAAUGCAUUUUUCGAAACAGAAAAAUGUGUAAGAAAAAGGAGUGAGAUGUGCAAUCUUUCACAUGUGAGUGACGUGGCUUAGGACAUGUACAGUCACCGAUCACCUGAUCAGGCAGGUCAACUGACACGUCAGCAUCGUGGCAAUGGUGGUGUGCAAAAGCUGGACGUUUAUCUGAGCUGCCACAUGUCCUCUUUGUGAAAUGCCCUUGUUUAUGUAUUGUGGUUUCGUUUUCUCAAGCCUAAUGUUAAACAUAGGGGUUGUAUUGUUCAGUCUGAGACAACUGCCGUCCCACCGCGUCGCCCUCUGGCGACUCGGGGGGUGAAACCCUACCGCCGCCACCUAGUACUCUCGUACUCCUGCCCGUCUCGCCGCCGCCAGAGGCGCCCGCCCGCGAAGCUCGGCUAGGAUCCAGGGACGGCGGCGGCGGGGCGCAUCUCCGACUGACGCGAGGCGACGUCGUUCGCUGCUCGGGAGCGUGAAGUGGUGUUGUCCGGGAUCUGGCAGGCGGAUGGGCCUGUGGACCAAUGUCGAUGCGCGGAGGGCGUGCUGGGCGCGUUCCCGACGCGUGGUGACGAGUCUCCUGGCUCCGCGCAAGAGCGAGGGCAACCGCGCGUGGCGCUGUUCCGGCUGCAGCGAAGGAAAGGUUGGGUUGUGGUGUGCUGAGCUGCGCGUCCCAGAUCUGAGGCAUUUCCUUUGCUCGAUGGAGACGAGGCACCUGCAGGCUGCUAGGAGCAAAGCGGCCAGUUGGUUGGCUGGGUUGGGGAUUGACCUCUUUGUCCGGCCGAUUGCCGGAAUCCCCUUGCGCAUGGGCGUUGUUUGGCGGCGGCGCUGCAUAUCGGAUCUGGCACAAGGCCUCGGGUGUUCCCCGUGUGCGGUGGCCGGCCAGCGGCGCUGCGAUCCACGGCUUAGUGGUGGUGAUCCAGAUCUGAUCGGCCAGAUGGUGAUGACUGCAUAUACUGCAGAGACUUCCCACGGUUCCACGAUGGCGUGGUCAUCGAAAGGACUUUAGGAGGGUUCAUCUCUCCUGGUCGAGUUGAUGACUUCAGCGGUGAGAUACAAAUUAUGGACGGCGACUUGACGCAGAGGGAUGGUGGUGCAGUGGCGGCUGUUGCCUCGAAUGUAGCUGCUGGGAUCGCGGAAAAGUGGUGGCGAAAACACAUGCAUGGUGCUGCGAGCACCCGGUCUUGAGCUCCAGGGCGAAAGCCUAGGUCAGACCCGAGUGGCUUACCUGGCAUUGGCGAUGUUUUUUUACAUCGUGACCUUGUUGAAGGCAUUGCUUGGAUAUGCUCAGACUGAUUUUUCAGGGUGAAAACCUAGAUUCUGGCCUUUGGUUGGAUCCCGUGACGGCGGCGCUCGAGUGUCGCUCCCUUCCUGAAGGCGUUGCUGUUGAAGAACCUUGUUGCCUAUGUGGCGUCAUGAAAUGAUUGGUGCGUAUAUGGUUGUUGUUGUAGUUUCCCGGUAGAAGAUCUAACCGCCUUGGGCUUUUUUUUUUCCCACGCUUAGGCAUAGCUUUGGUCUUAUAUGACUUUGCUAAUCAUUGGCGUGUUUUUCUCGUGUAUGUGAGUUGGUGUCGACUGUGUGCAUCCUAGCUAUGAAGAGGCCGGAUGUAUGCUCAUUGUGUUUUGUAUCUUCUUGAUUCUUUAUUUUGAACUAAUAAAAUCCAUCCUUUGUCGAAAAAAAGGAGUUUGUAUUGUACUUUCUCCCUAAAGAUAAACCCAUCUAAUUUGUCAUAUAUAGCAAGUGACUCACUCAAUUGACACUAUUUUCGCAUGAAAAUGAAUUAUAUUAACAAUCCUUAGAAUAGUUAUGCCUUAACGAAAUAUAUUUCAGCUUUCCUACUCUGUUCUAUUCGGCAACAAAAGUGUUUCUCUAAAAUAGAAUCAUGAAAAGGUCAAAGUUACCCUUUUUUUCCUACGUGGCCUUGCUUGCGUCCUCAGGGGGCAUUCAUUUAGGACGUCUAGCUUGGCUCCACAAAAAAGAUGCAAUCUGUCAUCCCUUCGGAAGAACUACAAUGUCGACUUCACGACACUACAUAAAUCAUGUACAGAAAUCAAGGUCACAAAAGGUCGCCUUAACGUGAAAAAAAACACGGCCUUUUUUUUACAUUCCAUCUUGUUAUAUGUAUUUUUGUUCCUCACCAAAGCAAAACAAGGGAAGACCCUACACAGUCUCAACUUGUUGACACGCCUAAAUUAAUUUUGCGCUUACAAUUUGGUUACUUUUUUUUUACAGAACCUUGUCAGAGGGCAGGGUGUUUCUGUGAUUUCAUUAAGAAGAAGGGAGUUGACACACUUUAUAUGGAAAACUGGGCCUAAAAUCACACAAACUGCAUGAUUGAUUAGAGGAGAACCAAGUCAAAAUCCCAACGAUGAAUACAGAUAACCUUUAACCAAAACUAGGCACCACCACCGUCGCACAUCAAUGACCGAGAGCCAAAAAAUACCUGGGGUAUAUAUAUCGACUUGCCGACACUAAGAUCCUCAAAAAAUAAAAGACUUGGUGACACUACAUAAAUCAUGCACACACAUCGAGCUCAUAAAAAGUCGCCUUAACGUGGAAAAAAUGGCCCUUCUUUUCACAUCCUAUCUUGCUAUAUUUGUUUUUGUUCCUCAAAACAAAACAAGGGAAGAUCCUACACAACCAUAACUUUUCGAAACACCUAAAUUAAUUUUGCGCAUACAAUUCGGUUAUUUAAUCGGCGAAUAUAUAAUACUACUCGAGAAAGCGAGAAUCAACUACAACUUGCAAGAGAAAGUUGUUCCAAAAAGGACAACUCACUGUCACCUGGAAAUCAUCGCAGCCUAGUCACAUGUGCCGCUAGUGAUUGAAUAAAGUGAUUACAAGCAACUUCAACGAGGUGACCCAUUUUGUCCGUCGCUGUCUGUAUGGGUUGGUGCGGACACAAAAGGCGGUCCAACGCACCGACCCAAACGGACGCGCGUUUGCUUGGCGUCUGUAUGUUGACCCAUUUCUGGCUCAUUUUUGAGCCGGAUUUGCGUCGGCGUGGACACGAGACGGUCGCGCGAGCGCCCGUCUACUCCUCUUCCCGGGCCCGCCUGUCGGUGGCAGCCACCAUAAUCCCCCCCCCCCAAUUUUUCCCAAAACCCUUUCGCCCGUGCGCGUGCUCCCGCCCCACACCCGCCAUGGACGACGACCUUGACCUUGACCUUGACGGCGCCGCCGGCCUCGCCUCCCUCGCCUCGUCCGGCAUAACGACCGCCCCCUUCGGCAAAGGCAACACGCAAGACCACUGUCGCGCCCAAGCCAAAGAAGGCGCUGACGCCCAAACAGCGGGUAAGGGAGUCGUCCAAGAGGAAGCAGGGCCGGAGGCACGCCACGGACGCGAGGGAUGAAGCCAUCGUGACUGCCGCCGUCGCCGCCACCGCGCAGCAGGAGGUCACUAAUGCCCGCGUCGCAGCGGCAACGAGGGAGGCACUCUAUAUGCUAGGGUUAAACCCAUAGCCAGCACAGCCUCGUCAACGCCGCCGUGGCCGCUGCGGCCAUCACCGGCUCAUCUGCGUUUCCUCGGAUGGUGCUGCCCGACUCGCCCUGCGUGUCGGCUUGCACCCCGAUGCCCGGCUUCCAUGUGUACCCACAGGCCUCCCGCCUCUCCGGGGAGUGCUUGCCCGACGUGAGCGUGGUGGCGCCUUCCACGCCCAUCGACCUCAACGCCACACCGGUGGCCGAUGGCUCGUCAUCGGGAGGCGCGAGGAAACACACGAGGCAAAUGCCGGCCGACGUGCUACCGGACGCCCGUAACCUAUUCGAGGGAAUGUCGACCGCCGGCGACGAGGACUACAUGCAGAACCUCAUCUUCGAGGGCGGUGUGCCGGCCGCUGGCUACGAUCCUGACGAGACACAAAGUCAGGACGGCCGCGAGGUGUUCACGCCGACCGCUGGCUAUGAUCCCGAUCAGGCGGCCUUCAUGCGUGAUCAGGUCGACAUGGACCUGGACGGCUUCCCGCUUGACCACGAGUUUCCGGAUGACUACGGGCAAGAGGAAGAGGACGAGUGCGACAUCGAAGUGAAGCCUUUGUUCGAGGACGAGCUCGCCAACCAAGCCAGCAGGCCGAAGCCGAAGCGCAAGAGCAAGCGGACGAAGGCAUACACGGCGGCCGAGGACAAGCUUCUUUGCGAGUGUUGGCGAGACAUUGGACAAGACCCCAAGACCAGCGGCGAACAAAAGCAUUCAACUUUUUGGAUUCGUGUUCACCGAGAGUUUCAUGAGCGCAAGAAGUUUCCGCCUUACCAAAUUAUGAGCACGCGCUGGUGGGUGUCCAUUUCGAAGCGAUGAAGGGUGAUCCAACAAGAGUGCAACAAGUUUUGUGCCACUCUUGAGAGUGUCAAGGCCCUCCCCGUGAGCGGCAUCGGCAUGUAAGACAUGGUAUGCUAGCAAGCCGCCCUCUUUUCUUUCAUCAAGUUUAUGCUUGCAUGUUCAUUUGCCUACCAUUUGCCAAUAUGCUUGCAUGAAAAUAUUUGUAGGCAUUUCAAGCUUUGGAGGCAUUCAAGGUCCAACACAAUGGCAAGUGCUUCAACCUCUCCCAUUGCUUUAGGGUCAUCAAAGAUGAGGAGAAGUUCAAGGCGCAAUAUGCCGCCCUCAAGUCGCGUGGGGGAAGCAAGCCGUGGAGGAGGUUGGGGGCGAGCUGGCACGGCCGCGGGGGAAGACCAACUCCAAGAAGGAGGACAAGAGGGAUGCGGCAUCGAACGCCUUGAUCGCAAGCGUGGAGGGCAUGAUGAAUAAGAAGAACUCAAGGGAGGAGGAGCGCCGGCGUUUCAAAGAAGAGCAAAUGAACGCCUUCAUGGAGAUUCAAAGGAGGAGGCUUGAGAUGUACGCGGAGAAGCAAGCCAAGAUGCUUGAGAUGGAGGCGGAGAAGCAAACCAAGAUGCUAGAGAUCGAGGCCGCCAACGCCAAGACCAAGGCGAAAGAAGUGGCUCUCACGAGCAUGAUGACCGGGGUGGAGAUCAUGAAGGUGGAUAUCAACAUCGUGUCGCCAAGGAAGAGGCCGUGCUUCAAGAAGAUGCAGGCCGACAUGCUCAAGUUCACCGACGAGUGAUCUCGUGGCCGCGAGCGCCUUCCUUUUUUUAUGCCGGCUUGUGUGCUGGCAUGACCACGGGGCCGCGAUGGCAUGGUCGAACUCAAGUCUCGGUUCGUGGCUGGAACCGGGACUAAAGACCAGCCUUCUGUCCCGGUUCGAGCCAAGAACCGGAACCAAUGUUUGUGGGCCAGGAGCGAGGCCCAUUGGUCCCGGUUCGUGCCUAGAACCGGGACAAAUGGGUCCAUACGAACCGGGACCAAUGCCCAUGAGGCCCCGGCCGGCCCCCCUGGGCUAAAGAACCGGGACGAAUGUCCCCAUGAAUCCCGGUUCGUGACUGAACUGGGAGUAAUGAGUUUCCCUGCCCGAACCAAAGCCCUGUUUUCUACUAGUGUAUCUAAAAAAAAAUAGAUCUAUUAUAAAGAUUCAUCAGAAGUACAAAAGAUCUCAAACAUAAUAAAAUUUACAUCGAGGUCCAUGGAUCACCGAACGACCAUUGCCGUCACCAUAACAAGCCGUCGACCCAUCGAUGUCACCGCUCCCGUACCGGAGCCGGCUGAUACUUCUCCGUCGUAUCUACUUUUCCAAACAUUUUUGCCUUUGUUUUGAACUCUAAUAUUGCGCCUACAAUUUGGCUCUAGUCGACGUAUAUAUAAUAUUACUCGAGAAAGCGAGAAUCAAAUGCAACUUGCAAGAGAAAGUUGUCUCAAAAGGGUUUUGAGAUGGGCAUAUCGACAAUUGCUUGAUGAUAAGUCACUGUCACCUGAAAAUCGUCACGACGUAGUCAUAAAGUGAUUAAGCAAAUGGCUUUCUAGUCUAGUCUAGUGUAGCAUAGGUAGCAGGGAAGCGUGCAAUCACGCGUGGCUGAGCGUGUCGACUGACGUGGCUCCGAUUCAAGCACCUGAUCGAGCAGGGCAAGUGACACGUCACGUCUGCAUCGUGACAUCGACACGCGCUGCAAAAAGUUAUAGGCCUAUCUGGCCUGCCACGUGCCCUGUUUGUCCAAUAGCUUCAUCGUCCUGUGUACAAAACUUACAUGUCACUCAAAGCAUUUGUAGACAAAACUGUCCGAUUUGUUGUAUCAGGCGAGUGACUCACCAUUCUUUUUACCAAAUUUAGGGAGCUCACCAUGCAUGCCAUGUCGCGAUUGACUCACUUAGUUGAUACUCCCUCCUUUCGAUAAUGUAGUGUUGGGUUUCAUAGUAAUUUCAAAAAUUUCCUACGCACACACAAGAUCAUGUGAUGCAAAGCAACGAGAGGGGAGAGUGUUGUCUACGUACCCACGCAGACCGACUGCGGAAGCGUUGACACGACGUAGAGGAAGUAGUCGUACGUCUUCACGAUCCAACCGAUCAAGCACCGAAACUACGGCACCUCCGAGUUCGAGCACACGUUCAGCUCGAUGACGAUCCCCGGACUCCGAUCCAGCAAAGUGUCGGGGAAGAGUUCCGUCAGCACGACGGCGUGGUGACGAUCUUGAUGCACUACAGCAGCAGGGCUUCGCCUAAACUCCGCUACAGUAUUAUCGAGGAAUAUGGUGGCUGGGGGCACUGCACACGGCUAAGGAAUAGAUCACGUGGAUCAACUUGUCUCUUUCUGGGGUGUCUCUGCCUUUGUAUAUAAAGGACUAGAGGGGGAGGCUGGCCGGCCAUAGGAGGCGCGCCAGGAGAGUCCUACUCCCUCUGGGAGUAGGAUUCCACCCCCCCCCCCAAUCCUAGUUGGAAUAGGAUUCGGGGAGGGGGAAAAGAGAGAGAGGGGGCCGGCCACCUCUCCUAGUCCUAAUAGGACUAGGGGAAGGAGGAGGCGUGCAGCCCAUGUAGGGCUGCCUCUUCUCUUUUCCACUAAGGCCCAUCAUGGCCCAUUAAGCUCCCGGGGGGUUCCGGUAACCUUCCCGGUACUUCGGUAAAAUCCUGAUUUCACCCGGAACAUUUCCGAUAUCCAAACAUAGGCUUCCAAUAUAUCAAUCUUUAUGUCUCGACCAUUUCGAGACUCCUCGUCAUGUCCGUGAUCACAUCCGGGACUCCGAACAACCUUCGAUACAUCAAAAUGCAUAAACUCAUAAUAUAAUUGUCAUCGUAACCUUAAGCGUGCGGACCCUACGGGUUCGAGAACAAUGUAGACAUGACCGAGACACGUCUCCGGUCAAUAACCAAUAGCGGGACCUGGAUGCCCAUAUUGGCUCCUACAUAUUCUACGAAGAUCUUUAUCGGUCAGACCGCAUAACAACAUACGUCGUUCCCUUUGUCAUCGGUAUGUUACUUGCCCGAGAUUCGAUCGUCGGUAUUCCAAAUACCUAGUUCAAUCUCGUUACCGGCAAGUCUCUUUACUCGUUCUGUAAUACAUCAUCCCGCAACUAACUCAUUUAGUUGCAAUGCUUGCGAGGCUUAAGUGAUGUGCAUUACCGAGAGGGCCCAGAGAUACCUCUCCGACAAUCGGAGUGACAAAUCCUAAUCUCGAAAUACGCCAACCCAACAUCUACCUUUGGAGACACCUGUAAUGCUCCUUUAUAAUCACCCAGUUACGUUGUGACGUUUGGUAGCACCCAAAGUGUUCCUCCGACAAACGGGAGUUGCAUAAUCUCAUAGUCAUAGGAACAUGUAUAAGUCAUGAAGAAAGCAAUAGCAACAUACUAAACGAUCGGGUGCUAAGUUAAUGGAAUGGGUCAUGUCAAUCAGAUCAUUCUAUUAAUGAUGUGAUCCCGUUAAUCAAAUAACAACUCAUUGUUCAUGGUUAGGAAACAUAACCAUCUUUGAUUAACGAGCUAGUCAAGUAGAGGCAUACUAGUGACACUUUGUUUGUCUAUGUAUUCACACAUGUAUUAUGUUUCCGGUCAAUACAAUUCUAGCAUGAAUAAUAAACCUUUUAUCAUGAUUAUAAGGAAAUAAAUAAUAACUUAUUAUUGCCUCUAGGGCAUAUUUCCUUCAGUCUCCCACUUGCACUAGAGUCAAUAAUCUAGAUUACACCGUAAUGAUUCUAACACCCAUGGAGCCUUGGUGCUGAUCAUGUUUUGCUCGUGGUAGAGGCUUAGUCAACGGGUCUGCAACAUUCAGAUCCGUAUGUAUCUUGCAAAUCUCUAUGUCUCCCACCUGGACUAGAUCCCGGAUGGAAUUGAAGCGUCUCUUGAUGUGCUUGGUUCUCUUGUGAAAUCUGGAUUCCUUUGCCAAGGCAAUUGCACCAGUAUUGUCACAAAAGAUUUUCAUUGGACCCGAUGCACUAGGUAUGACACCUAGAUCGGAUAUGAACUCCUUCAUCCAGACUCCUUCGUUCGCUGCUUCCGAAGCAGCUAUGUAUUCCGCUUCACAUGUAGAUCCCGCUACGACGCUUUGUUUAGAACUGCACCAACUGACAGCUCCACCAUUUAAUGUAAACACGUAUCCGGUUUGCGAUUUAGAAUCGUCCGGAUCAGUGUCAAAGCUUGCGUCAACGUAACCAUUUACGACGAGCUCUUUGUCACCUCCAUAUACGAGAAACAUAUCCUUAGUCCUUUUCAGGUAUUUCAGGAUGUUCUUGACCGCUGUCCAGUGAUCCACUCCUGGAUUACUUUGGUACCUCCCUGCUAGACUUAUAGCAAGGCACACAUCAGGUCUGGUACACAGCAUUGCAUACAUGAUAGAUCCUAUCGCUGAUGCAUAGGGAACAUCUUUCAUAUUCUCUCUAUCUUCUGCAGUGGUCGGGCAUUGAGUCUUACUCAAUUUCACACCUUGUAACACAGGCAAGAAUCCUUUCUUUGCUUGAUCCAUUUUGAACUUCUUCAAAAUUUUGUCAAGGUAUGUUGUUUGUGAAAGUCCAAUUAAGCGUUUUGAUCUAUCUCUAUAGAUCUUUAUGCCUAAUAUGUAAGCAGCUUCACUGAUGUCUUUCAUUGAAAAACUCUUAUUCGAGUAUCCCUUUAUGCUAUCCAGAAAUUCUAUAUCAUUUCCAAUUAGUAAUAUGUCAUCCACAUAUAAUAUCAGAAAUGCUACAGAGCUCCCACUUACUUUCUUGUAAAUACAGGCUUCUCCGAAAGUCUGUAUAAAACCAAAUGCUUUGAUCACACUAUCAAAGCGUUUAUUCCAACUCCGAGAGGCUUGCACCAGUCCAUAAAUGGAUCGCUGGAGCUUGCACACUUUGUUAGCUCCUUUUGGAUCAACAAAACCUUCUAGUUGCACCAUAUACAACUCUUCUUCCAGAAAUCCAUUCAGGAAUGCAGUUUUGACAUCCAUUUGCCAAAUUUCAUAAUCAUAAAAUUGUUGGGGAACGUUGCAGAAAACAAAAAUUUUCCUACGGUUUCACCAAGAUCCAUCUAAGAGUUCAUCUAGCAACGAGUGAUUAGAUGCAUCUACGUACCUUGUAGAUCGCGAGCAGAAGCGUUCAAAGAACGUGGAUGAGGGAGUCGUACUCGACGUGAUUCGAAUCACCGAAGAUCCUAGCACCGAAUGGACGGCACCUCCGCGUUCAACACACGUACGGAACAGCCACGUCUCCUUCUUCUUGAUCCAGCAAGGGGAAAGGAGAGGUUGAGGGAGAUGGCACCAGCAGCAGCACGACGGCGUGGUGAUGAUGGAGCUGCAGUACUCCGUCAAGGCUUCGCCAAGCGCUAUGGAGGAGGAGGAGGUGUUGGAGAGGGAGAAGGAGGCAACCAAAGGCGUGGGAGAAAAGCCCUCCUUCUCUUACUAUAUAUAGGAGGGCCAAGGGGGGGGGCGCCGGCCCUAGGAGAUCCAAUCUCCUAGGAUGGGGCGGCGGCCAAGGGGGGUUUCCCUCCCCCCAAGGCACCUAGGAGGUGCCUUCCCCUCCUAGGACUCUUUCCCCUUGUAACCCUAGGCGCAUGGGCCUCUUGGGGCUGGUGCCCUUGGCCCAUGUAGGCCAAGGCGCACCCCCUACAGCCCAUGUGCCCCCCGGGACAGGUGGCCCCACCCGGUGGGCCCCCGGGACCCUUCCGGUGGUCCCGGUACAAUACCGAUAACCCCGAAACUUGUCCUGAUGGCCGAAAUAGUACUUCCUAUAUAUAAUUCUUUACCUCCGGACCAUUCUGGAACUCCUCGUGACGUCCGGGAUCUCAUCCGGGACUCCGAACAACAUUCGGGUCACUGCAUAUACAUAUCCCUACAACCCUAGCGUCACCGAACCUUAAGUGUGUAGACCCUACGGGUUCGGGAGACAUGUAGACAUGACCGAGAUCGCUCUCCGGUCAAUAACCAACAACGGGAUCUGGAUACCCAUGUUGGCUCCCACAUGCUCCUCGAUGAUCUCAUCGGAUGAACCACGAUGUCGAGGAUUCAAACAACCUCGUAUACAAUUCCCUUUGUCAAUCGGUAUGUUACUUGCUCGAGGUCCGAUCAUCGGUAUCCCAAUACCUCGUUCAAUCUCGUUACCAGCAAGUCACUUUACUCGUACCGUAAUGCAUGAUCCCGUGACCAGACACUUGGUCACUUUGAGCUCAUUAUGAUGAUGCAUUACCAAGUGGGCCCAGUGAUACCUCUCUGUCAUACGGAGUGACAAAUCCCAGUCUCGAUCCAUGUCAACCCAACAGACACUUUCGGAGAUACCCGUAGUAUACCUUUAUAGUCACCCAGUUACGUUGUGACGUUUGACACACCCAAAGCACUCCUACGGUAUCCGAGAGUUACACGAUCUCAUGGUCUAAGGAAAAGAUACUUGACAUUGGAAAACUCUAGCAAACGAACUAUACGAUCUUGUGCUAUGUUUAGGAUUGGGUCUUGUCCAUCACAUCAUUCUCCUAAUGAUGUGAUCUCGUUAUCAAUGACAUCCAAUGUCCAUAGUCAGGAAACCAUGACUAUCUGUUGAUCAACGAGCUAGUCAACUAGAGGCUUACUAGGGACAUGUUGGUGUCUAUUAUUCACACGUGUAUUACGAUUUCCGAAUAAUACAGUUAUAGUAUGAAUAAAGACAAUUAUCAUGAACAAAGAAAUAUAAUAAUAAUACUUUUAUUAUUGCCUCUAGGGCAUAUUCCAACAGUCUCCCACUUGCACUAGAGUCAAUAAUCUAGUUACAUCGUGAUGAAUCGAACACCCAUGGAAUUCUGGUGUUGAUCAUGUUUUGCUCUAGGGAGAGGUUUAGUCAACGGAUCUGCUACAUUCAGAUCCGUAUGUACUUUACAAAUCUCUAUGUCUCCAUCUUGAACAUUUUCAGGAAUGGAGUUGAAGUGACGCUUGAUGUGCCUUGUCUUCUUGUGAAACCUGGGCUCCUUUGCAAGAGCAAUAGCUCCAGUGUUGUCACAGAAGAGCUUGAUCGGCCCCGACGCAUUGGGUAUGACUCCUAGGUCGGUGAUGAACUCCUUCACCCAAAUUGCUUCAUGUGCUGCCUCCGAGGCUGCCAUGUACUCCGCUUCAUAUGUAGAUCCCGCCACGACGCUCUGCUUGCAACUGCACCAGCUUACUGCCCCACCAUUCAAAAUAUACACGUAUCCGGUUUGUGACUUUGAGUCAUCCAGAUCUAUGUCGAAGCUAGCGUCGACGUAACUCUUUACGAUGAGCUCUUCAUCACCUCCAUAAACGAGAAACAUUUCCUUAGUCCUUUUCAGGUACUUUAGGAUAUUCUUGACCGCUGUCCAGUGUUCCUUGCCGGGAUUACUUUGGUACCUUCCUACCAAACUUACGGCAAGGUUUACAUCAGGUCUGGUACACAGCAUGGCAUACAUAAUAGAACCUAUGGCUGAGGCAUAGGGGAUGACACUCAUUUCUUCUAUAUCUUCUGCCGUGGUCGGACAUUGAGCCGAGCUCAAUUUCACACCUUGUAACACAGGCAAGAACCCCUUCUUAGAAUGAUCCAUAUUGAAUUUCUUCAAUAUCUUAUCAAGGUAUGUGCUUUGUGAAAGACCUAUGAGGCGUCUUGAUCUAUCUCUAUAGAUCUUGAUGCCUAAUAUAUAAGCAGCUUCACCAAGGUCCUUCAUUGAAAAACUUUUAUUCAAGUAGGCCUUAAUGUUGUCCAAGAGUUCUAUAUCAUUUCCCAUCAAAAGUAUGUCAUCUACAUAUAAUAUGAGAAAUGCUACAGAGCUCCCACUCACUUUCUUGUAAACGCAGGCUUCUCCAUAAGUCUGCGUAAACCCAAACGCUUUGAUCAUCUCAUCAAAGCGAAUGUUCCAACUCCGAGAUGCUUGCACCAGCCCAUAAAUCGAGCGUUGGAGCUUGCACACCUUGUCAGCAUUCUUAGGAUCGACAAAACCUUCCGGUUGCAUCAUAUACAAUUCUUCCUUAAGGAAACCAUUAAGGAAUGCCGUUUUGACGUCCAUCUGCCAUAUCUCAUAAUCAUAAAAUGCGGCAAUUGCUAACAUGAUUCGGACGGACUUCAGCUUCGCUACCGGUGAGAAAGUCUCAUCGUAGUCAACCCCUUGAACUUGUCGAUAACCCUUAGCGACAAGCCGAGCUUUAUAGAUGGCCACAUUACCAUCCGCGUCUGCCUUCUUCUUAAAGAUCCAUUUAUUUUCUAUGGCUCGCCGUUCAACGGGCAAGUCAGUCAAAGUCCAUACUUCGUUUUCAUACAUGGAUCCUAUCUCAGAUUUCAUGGCUUCUAGCCAUUUGUCGGAAUCCGGGCCCGCCAUCGCUUCUUCAUAGUUCGAAGGUUCACCGUUGUCUAACAACAUGAUUUCCAAGACAGGGUUGCCGUACCACUCUGGUGCGGAACGUGUCCUUGUGGACCUUCGAAUUUCAGUAGGAGCUUGAUCAGAAGUAUCUUGAUCAUCAUCAAUAACUUCCUCUCUAGUCGGUGCAGGCGCCUCAGGAACAUUUUCUUGAGUUGCGCCAUUUUCCGGUUCAAGAGGUAAUACUUCAUCAAGUUCUACUUUCCUCCCACUUACUUCUUUCGAGAGAAACUCUUUCUCUAGAAAGGAUCCAUUCUUGGCAACAAAGAUCUUGCCUUCGGAUCUGAGGUAGAAGAUAUACCCAAUAGUUUCUUUAGGGUAUCCUAUGAAGAUGCAUUUUUCCGAUUUGGGUUCGAGCUUUUCAGGUUGAAGUUUCCUGACAUAAGCAUCGCAUCCCCAAACUUUUAGAAACGACAGCUUAGGUUUCUUCCCAAACCAUAAUUCAAAUGGUGUCGUCUCAACAGAUUUCGACGGAGCCCUAUUUAAAGUGAAUGCGGCAGUCUCUAAAGCAUAGCCCCAAAAAGAUAGUGGUAUAUCGGCAAGAGACAUCAUAGAUCGCACCAUAUCUAAUAGAGUGCGAUUACGACGUUCGGACACACCAUUACGCUGAGGUGUUCCAGGCGGCGUGAGUUGUAAAACUAUUCCACAUUUUCUUAAGUGUGUACCAAACUCGUGACUCAAGUAUUCUCCUCCACAAUCUGAUCGUAGAAACUUGAUUUUCCUGUCACGUUGAUUCUCCACUUCACUCUGAAAUUCCUUGAACUUUUCAAAGGUCUCAGACUUGUGUUUCAUUAAGUAGACAUACCCAUAUCUACUCAAGUCAUCAGUGAGGGUGAGAACAUAACGAUAGCCACCGCGAGCCUUAGCACUCAUUGGACCGCACACAUUAGUAUGUAUGAUUUCCAAUAAGUUGGUUGCUCGCUCCAUUGUUCCUGAGAACGGAGUCUUGGUCAUUUUACCCAUGAGGCAUGGUUCGCACGUGUCAAAUGAUUCAUAAUCAAGAGACUCUAAAAGUCCAUCAGCAUGGAGCUUCUUCAUGCGUUUGACACCUAUGUGACCAAGGCGGCAGUGCCACAAGUAUGUGGGACUAUCAUUAUCAAUCUUACAUCUUUUGGUACUUACACUAUGAAUAUGUGUAGCAUUACGCUCGAGAUUCAUAAAGAAUAAACCAUUCACGAUCGGAGCAUGACCAUAAAACAUAUCUCUCAUAUAAAUAGAACAACCAUUAUUCUCGGAUUUAAAUGAGUAGCCAUCUCGAAUUAAACGAGAUCCUGAUACAAUGUUCAUGCUCAAACUGUUGGAAAUAUGCCCUAGAGGCAAUAAUAAAAGUAUUAUUAUUAUAUUUCCUUGUUCAUGAUAAUUGUCUUUUAUUCAUGCUAUAACUGUAUUAUCCGGAAAUCGUAAUACACGUGUGAAUAAAUAGACCACAAUAUGUCCCUAGUGAGCCUCUAGUUGACUAGCUCGUUGUGAUCAACAGAUAGUCAUGGUUUCCUGGGUAUGGACAUUGGAUGUCGUUGAUAACGGGAUCACAUCAUUAGGAGAAUGAUGUGAUGGACAAGACCCAAUCCUAAGCCUAGCACAAAGAUCGUGUAGUUCGUAUGCUAGAGCUUUGCCAAUGUCAAGUAUCUCUUCCUUUGACCAUGAGAUCGUGUAACUCCUGGAUACCGUAGGAAUGCUUUGGGUGUAUCAAACGUCACAACGUAACUGGGUGACUAUAAAGGUGCACUACAGGUAUCUCCGAAAGUAUCUAUUGUUUUAUGCGGAUCGAGACUGGGAUUUGUCACUCCGUGUAAACGGAGAGGUAUCUCUGGGCCCACUCGGUAGGACAUCAUCAUAUGCGCAAUGUGACCAAGGAGUUGAUCACGGGAUGAUGUGUUACGGAACGAGUAAAGUGACUUGCCGGUAACGAGAUUGAACAAGGUAUUGGAUACCGACGAUCGAAUCUCGGGCAAGUAACAUACCGAUAGACAAAGGGAAUUGAAUAAGGGAUUGAUUAAGUCCUUGACAUCGUGGUUCAUCCGAUGAGAUCAUCGUGGAACAUGUGGGAGCCAUCAUGGGUAUCCAGAUCCCGCUGUUGGUUAUUGACCGGAGAACGUCUCGGUCAUGUCUACAUGUCUCCCGAACCCGUAGGGUCUACACACUUAAGGUUCGAUGACGCUAGGGUUAUAAAGGAAGUUUGUAUGUGGUUACCGAAUGUUGUUCGGAGUCCCGGAUGAGAUCCCGGACGUCACGAGGAGUUCCGGAAUGGUCCGGAUGUAAAGAUUUAUAUAUGGGAAGUCCUAUUUUGGCCACCGGAAAAUGUUCGGGAUUUUUCGGUAUUGUACCGGGAAGGUUCUAGAAGGUUCCGGAGUGGGGCCCACCUGCAUGGGGGGACCCACAUGGACGUGGGUAGUGGGGGCAAGGCCCCACACCCCUGGUCAAGGCGCACCAAGAUCCCCCCUUAGAAGGAAUAAGAUCAUAUCCCGAAGGGAUAAGAUCAAGAUCCCUAAAAAGGGGGGAUAACAAUCGGUGGGGAAGGAAAUAAUGAGAUUUCUUUCCUCCCACCUUGGCCAACGCCCCAAUGGACUUGGAGGGCAAGAAACCAGCCCCUCCACCCCUAUAUAUAGUGGGGAGGCGCAUGGGAGCUAUAGACGAAGUUCUGGCGCAGCCCUCUACCUCUCUUCCUACUCCUCCUCUCCCAUGGUGCUUGGCGAAGCCCUGCUGGAUUGCCACGCUCCUCCACCACCACCACGCCGUUGUGCUGCUGUUGGAUGGAGUCUUCCUCAACCUCUCCCUCUCUCCUUGCUGGAUCAAGGCGUGGGAGACGUCACCGGGCUGUACGUGUGUUGAACGCGGAGGUGCCGUGCGUUCGGCACUUGAUCAUCGGUGAUUUGAAUCACGACGAGUACGACUCCAUCAACCCCGUUCACUUGAACGCUUCCGCUUAGCGAUCUACAAGGGUAUGUAGAUGCACUCUCCUUCUACUCGUUGCUGGUUUCUCCAUAGAUAGAUCUUGGUGACACGUAGGAAAAUUUUGAAUUUCUGCUACGUUCCCCAACAGUGGCAUCAUGAGCUAGGUCUAUUGCGUAGAUUCUUUGCACGAGUAGAACACAAAGUAGUUGUGGGCGUUGAUGUUGUUCAAUAUGCUUACCGUUACUAGUCCAAUCUUGUUUCGACGGUAUUGUGGGAUGAAGCGGCCUGGACCGACCUUACACGUACUCUUACGUGAGACAGGUUCCACCGAUUGACAUGCACUUGGUGCAUAAGGUGGCUAGCGGGUGCCAGUCUCUCCCACUUUAGUCGGAACGGAUUCGAUGAAAAGGGUCCUUAUGAAGGGUAAAUAGCAAUUGGCAUAUCACGUUGUGGUUUUGCGUAGGUAAGAAACGUUCUUGCUAGAAACCCAUAGCAGCCACAUAAAACAUGCAAACAACAAUUAGAGGACGUCUAACUUGUUUUUGCAGGGUAUGCUAUGUGAUGUGAUAUGGCCAAAAGGAUGUGAUGAAUGAUAUAUGUGAUGUAUGAGAUUGAUCAUGUUCUUGUAAUAGGAUUCACGACUUGCAUGUCGAUGAGUAUGACAACCGGCAGGAGCCAUAGGAGUUGUCUUAAUUUAUUGUAUGACCUGCGUGUCAUUGAAGAACGCCAUGUAACUUACUUUACUUUAUUGCUAAACGCGUUAGCCAUAGAAGUAGAAGUAGUCGUUGGCGUGACAACUUCAUGAAGACACGAUGAUGGAGAUCAUGAUGAUGGAGAUCAUGGUGUCAUGCCGGUGACGAUGAUGAUCAUGGAGCCCCGAAGAUGAAGAUCAAAAGGAGCAAAAUGAUAUUGGCCAUAUCAUGUCACUAUUUGAUUGCAUGUGAUGUUUAUUAUGAUUAUGCAUCUUGUUUACUUAGGACGACGGUAGUAAAUAAGAUGAUCCCUUACAAAAUUUCAAGAAGUGUUUGUUGGAAAUAUGCCCUAGAGGCAAUAAUAAAAGUAUUAUUAUUAUAUUUCCUUGUUCAUGAUAAUUGUCUUUUAUUCAUGCUAUAACUGUAUUAUCCGGAAAUCGUAAUACACGUGUGAAUACAUAGACCACAAUAUGUCCCUAGUGAGCCUCUAGUUGACUAGCUCAUUGUGAUCAACAGAUAGUCAUGGUUUCCUGGCUAUGGACAUUGGAUGUCGUUGAUAACGGGAUCACAUCAUUAGGAGAAUGAUGUGAUGGACAAGACCCAAUCCUAAGACUAGCACAAAAGAUCGUGUAGUUCAUUUGCUAGAGCUUUGCCAAUGUCAAGUAUCUCUUCCUUCGACCAUGAGAGCGUGUAACUCCUGGAUACCGUAGGAGUGCUUUGGGUGUAUCAAACGUCACAACGUAACUGGGUGACUAUAAAGGUGCACUACAGGUAUCUCUGAAAGUAUCUAUUGUUUUAUGCGGAUCGAGACUGGGAUUUGUCACUCCGUGUAAACGGAGAGGUAUCUCUGGGCCCACUCGGUAGGACAUCAUCAUAAUGUGCACAAUGUGACCAAGGGGUUGAUCACGGGAUGAUGUGUUACGGAACGAGUAAAGAGACUUGCCGGUAACGAGAUUGAACAAGGUAUUGGAUACCGACGAUCGAAUCUCGGGCAAGUAACAUACCGAUAGACAAAGGGAAUUGAAUACGGGAUUGAUUAAGUCCUUGACAUCGUGGUUCAUCCGAUGAGAUCAUCGUGGAACAUGUGGGAGCCAACAUGGGUAUCCAGAUCCCGCUGUUGGUUAUUGACCGGAGAACGUCUCGGUCAUGUCUGCAUGUCUCCCGAACCCGUAGGGUCUACACACUUAAGGUUCGGUGACGCUAGGGUUAUAAAGGAAGCUUGUAUGUGGUUACCGAAUGUUGUUCGGAGUCCCGGAUGAGAUCCCGGACGUCACGAGGAGUUCCGGAAUGGUCCGGAGGUAAAGAUUUAUAUAUAGGAAGUCCUGUUUCGGCCAUCGGGACAAGUUUCGGGGUCAUCGGUAUUGUACCGGGACCACCGGAAGGGUCCCGGGGGCCCACCGGGUGGGGGCACCUGCCCCGGGGGGCCACAUGGGCUGUAGGGGGUGCGCCUUGGCCUACAUGGGCCAAGGGCACCAGCCCCAAGAGGCCCAUGCGCCUGGGGAAACCCUAAAGGAAGAGUCCCAGCAGGGGAAGGCACCUCCUAGGUGCCUUGGGGGGGGGGGGGAGGACUCCUCCCCUGGCCGUCGCCUCCUUGGAGAUUGGAUCUCCUAGGGGCUGGCGCACCCUGAUGGGGUUGUGUACCUAGGGUAGGAUCAUGGACCUGAUCCAAGUAACUUACCCUAGGACAUCCUUAGAAGAGGUCGCCUUCCAGUCGACCAACGAGGAUUCACUCGACUGGCCUGAAGGACUUGACCACGAAGACUCACUCGACCACCAGGAGGUCAAGAGGCACUCUGCACUGCAACAGCCUGUAAUCAAGUAGACUUUAUGAUAGUAAAGGCACUUUAUGUGGGGCGUUACCAGUAACGCCCCAGACUUAACUCACCUUAAACCCUCUCCUGCGUGGGAUGGCUAGGGUCCUGGCGCACUCUAUAUAAGCCACCCUCCUCCACAGGCAGAGGGGUUCGGCACCUUGUAAUUCAUACAUUCAUAAUCCACUCGACCGCCUCCGGGCUCCGAGACGUAGGGCUGUUACUUCUUCCGAGAAGGGCCUGAACUCGUACAUCCUUUGUGCUUACAACCUCUCCAUAGCUAGGACCUUGCCUCUCCAUACCUACCCCCCACUCUACUGUCAGGCUUAGAACCACGACAGUUGGCGCCCACCGUGGGGCCGGUAUUUUAGCGAUUUUGUGGAGAAGUUGCGAUUCUUCCGAGUACUCUCAUCAUGGUGUCUGCUGGAGUUUUGGUCAAGGGUCAAGAGAUCCGUCUCGGCACUCUCACCUUCAUCGCCGACGACUCCGCAUGGCUCCAGGAGGCUCCACUCGACGUAGACGCGCUCCCCGUCCGCGGUGCGACGCAUUUUCGCGCAUGUGUCCGCGGCGUUCUGCUGCGGCAACCGUCGACCCAGUAUCGGUCGGCUCCUCCAUCGUCCACCCUCCUGGUCUCCCGCCAGCGCAAGCGCUCAGGCCGGUCGAGGCUUCAGCGAUGGGUGAGUCACGCGGUGGCUCGCCAAUCGGCUACUACACAAGUUGCGGCAAUCGAGCCCAACGAAUCUCUCUACGGCUUGUUCGAUCAGUCGACUGGCUCCGGAGAGACUGCAUCCGAGUGCGGAAGCAGUGAUCCAGCGGCGGAAAUCUUGAUGGUCGACGGGCCCCACAGCCCUCCUGGCUUCGCCCGUGGUGGUGGAGCAGGUGACGGCGGCGACCCUGCACGAGACUACGAAGAGUACCAGCCCGAGCCACUCGACUCUCUGCAAAGAGAAGAGCUUCGCCGCAGGAACGAGGAUCCCCUGCGUAUUCCCAUCGCAGGAGAAACCCCCGAGGCUCGUGCCUUGGAGGAGGCGCGUCUGGCCAAUUUGGCCGAGCGCACUCGACUGGAGAACCUUCAGCGAGCACUCGACGAGCGCGCGCGGCAACGAGUUCCCGACACCAGUCGACGUCAACUCUUCCCGCCGACUCAGGUAUAUCGAACCCCAAUUCAGAAUUUAGCAGCUGCGACCCGUAUAGCAGAGUCCAUUCAGCCUUCGCAGUCAGAAGCUGGCAGAGGUUUGCUGCAGAUCAGGGAUCUGCUCCGGGCAGCAGGAGAUCAGAAUUCAGCCGUGUCUCAGUCGCGCAACAGAAUUCACAGUCGAUCUGUCUCUGUGAAUACGGUUCAGUCGGCUCACAGCCCCAGAUCGCCUCCGCGGCGCGAAGGGCGUGAGAAUCGGCGAGAUCAAUAUGGCGACAGACUCGACCGAGAUGAUAGGCGUCGAGUGCCCUAUUCCCCUUCGAGGGGUGGGUCUUACGCUCCUCGGCAGCCAGAUGAUAGGCGUCAGUACAGUACAGGGCGUAGGGUUCCAGUUGACCCCAGAGAGCCAGGCUUCGACGCGCGAUCCAUUAUCGUGCAAGGGUUGGUCGACCGGAACAGAGCCCAUCGAGGCGCACUCGACAGAGAUGUACCCACGAGCAGUCGAGUACAUGUUUCUGGUCCUGAAUGUUUCAGCAGAGCUAUCAGAGCCGCAGUUAUCCCCCCCAAUUUCAGGUUGGCAACAGGAGUCAGCAAGUUCACUGGUGAGUCUAAGCCUGAAACUUGGCUUGAAGACUACCGAGUGGCAGUUCAGAUCGGUGGUGGGAACGACGAGGUGGCCAUGAAGCAUUUGCCCCUCAUGUUGGAAGGUUCUGCCAGGGCAUGGUUGACUCAAUUACCUCCUAGCAGCAUUUACACUUGGGAAGAUCUGUCCCGAGUGUUCGUCAGAACGUUUGAAGGGACUUGCAAGCGACCAGCGGGAUUGACAGAGUUGCAAGUCUACGUGCAGAAAACUAAUGAGACUCUUAGAGAGUAUAUUCAGAGGUGGAUCACUUUGCACCACACUGUGGAAAAUGUCUCUGAUCAUCAGGCAGUAUGCGCCUUCAAAGACGGCGUCAAGAACAGAGAACUGAGUUUGAAAUUUGGUCGAACCGGUGACAUGACCUUGAGUCGGAUGAUGGAGAUUGCUACCAAGUACGCCAACGGCGAAGAAGAAGACCGACUCCGAAGCGGCAAGCACAAGCCGAGUCAGUCAGAAAAAGGAAACACCAGUCGGAAACAGAAGCGGAAGGCUGAACCGGCAGCUCCUGGAGAGGCUCUGGCCGUGACUCAAGGAAAGUUUAAGGGGAAACCAAAAGGAUCCUGGAACCCCAAGAAGGUAAAGGAUAAAGAAGGGAACGACGUGAUGGAUAUGCCGUGUCAUAUUCACACGAAGAAAGAUGAAGAGGGGAAUAUCAUUUACCCAAAGCACACCACUCGCCAAUGUCGACUCCUGAUCCAGCAGUUUCAGGGAAAACAGUCUAAGGACAAGGAGAAGGAGUCGGACAAGGCCGAAGACAAAGAGGACAGUGAGGGAGGAUAUCCGCAUAUCAACUCCACUCUGAUGAUCUUUGCAGAUGUGGAAAGCAGAAGUCGACUGAAAGUGAUUAACCGAGAGGUGAACAUGGUUGCCCCAGCAAAGGCAAAUUAUCUGAAGUGGUUUCAAACACCCAUCACAUUCGACCAAUCUGAUCACCCGACUCAUAUUGCCACACCCGGGAGGCAAGCUUUGGUGGUCGAUCCAGUUGUCGAAGGCACUCGACUGACAAAGGUGCUGAUGGAUGGUGGAAGUGGGCUGAACUUAUUGUAUGCAGACACAUUGAAAGGUAUGGGCAUUCCGAUGUCCCGACUGAGCACUAGUAACAUGAGCUUCCAUGGAGUUAUACCAGGGAAGAAGGCCGAGUCACUCGGCCAGAUAGCUUUGGACGUAGUGUUUGGUGAUUCGAAGCAUUUUCGCAAAGAAAAGUUGACGUUUGAGGUCGUGGAUUUUCAAAGUGCAUAUCAUGCCAUUUUGGGGAGACCAGCCUAUGCACGGUUCAUGGCUCGACCAUGUUACGUGUACCUCAAAUUGAAGAUGCCCGGUCCCAAAGGUGUGAUCACUGUCACCGGUGAUAGGAAAAAGGCAGAGGAGUGCUUUCAGAAGGGCUCCAAGAUUGCCGAUUCCCAAGUGACAGCGGUCGAGUUCGAAGAAUACAAGCAAAACGCAGAUCCGAGUGACUUGCUGCGAUCCAAGAAGCCCGCCACAGAGUCUGCAUUCCAAUCGUCCGGUAAGACGAAGCCUGUUCACAUUCACCCGACCGACCCCGAAGCAGCUCCGACCCGCAUCUCCACAACACUCGACCCAAAAUAGGAAGAAGCGCUCAUCCAGUUCCUCCGUGAGAACUGGGACAUUUUUGCAUGGAAGCCCGCUGACAUGCCAGGUGUUCCCAGGGGACUGGCUGAGCAUCGCCUAAGAGUCGACUCGUCUGCAAAACCAGUCAAAGAGCAUCUUCGGCGGUCCGCCGUCCAGAAGAGAAAGGCCAUCGGUGAAGAAGUGGCUCGACUGUUGGCGGCAGGAUUUAUCCGAGAGAUAUACCACUCCGAGUGGCUCGCUAAUGUCGUCAUGGUUCCUAAGAAGGACAAGUCGCUCCGAAUGUGCAUUGAUUUCAAGCACAUCAACCGGGCCUGCCCGAAAGAUCACUUUCCUCUCCCUCGCAUAGAUCAAAUUGUUGACUCGACCGCGGGAUGCGAGAGGUUGUCUUUUUUAGAUGCUUACUCCGGGUACCACCAGAUCCGUCUGUACGGGCCCGAUGAGGUAAAAACAGCUUUCAUCACUCCAUUCGGGUGCUUCUGCUAUAUCACCAUGCCAUUCGGCCUCAAGAACGCCGGAGCCACAUUUAUGCGAAUGAUUCAGAAGUGUCUACUCACCCAAAUCAGUCGGAAUGUGGAAGCUUAUAUGGAUGAUAUUGUUGUCAAGUCACGAAAAGGUUCCGACCUGCUCGCUGACCUUGCUGAAACAUUUGCCAACCUCAGAAGGUAUGAUAUCAAGCUCAAUCCAUCAAAGUGCACAUUUGGAGUUCCUGGUGGCAAGUUACUCGGUUUUCUCGUUUCCGAACGGGGAAUCGAUGCUAACCCAGAGAAGAUUGGCACUAUUCUCCGAAUGAAACGCCCUGUACGAGUGCACGAUGUCCAGAAGCUUACUGGAUGCUUGGCCGCAUUAAGUCGAUUCAUUUCACGACUCGGUGAAAAGGCUCUGCCUCUUUACCGACUGAUGAAGAAGGCUGACAAGUUCGAGUGGACUCCAGAAGCUGAUGCAGCGUUUGCCGAGCUAAAAGCUCUGCUCUCCACCUAGCCGGUGCUUGCUGCUCCAAUCAGCAAAGAGCCUCUGUUGCUCUACAUCGCAGCCACAGGACAAGUCGUCAGUACUGUGCUAACGGUCGAGCGGGAAGAAGAAGGAAAAGCUCUCAAAGUUCAGCGCCCAGUGUAUUAUUUGUCUGAAGUCUUGACUCCAUCCAAGCAGAGAUAUCCUCAUUAUCAGAAGCUUGUGUAUGGAAUAUACAUGACCACAAAGAAGGUUGCUCAUUAUUUCUCUGACCAUUCCAUCACAGUCGUCAGCGACGCUCCACUAUCAGAGAUUUUGCACAACAGAGAUGCAACUGGUCGAGUGGCCAAAUGGGCGAUUGAACCUCUUCCCCUUGAUAUCAAGUUUGAGGCAAAGAAAGCCAUUAAGUCCCAGGCGAUAGCAGAUUUCCUCGCCGAGUGGAUUGAACAACAGCAGCCGACUGAAGUUCACUCGGAGCAUUGGACCAUGUUUUUCGAUGGCUCUAAGAUGUUGAAUGGUUCCGGUGCUGGGGUUGUCCUGGUUUCCCCCAGAGGAGAUAAGCUCAGAUAUGUGCUCCAGAUUCACUUUGAUUCCUCCAACAAUGAGGCAGAGUAUGAGGCCCUCCUAUAUGGGUUGCGCAUGGCCAUUUCACUCGGCGUCCGUCGCCUAAUGGUCUAUGGCGACUCGGAUUUAGUGGUCAAUCAGGUGAUGAAAGAGUGGGACGUGAGAAGCCCAGCCAUGACUGGAUACUGCAGUGCAGUGAGGAAGCUGGAGAAGAAGUUCGAGGGGUUGGAGCUCCAUCAUAUACCCCGACUGAAAAAUCAAGCAGCUGAUGAUCUAGCAAAGAUAGGUUCCAAGAGAGAAGCCAUUCCGAGUGGUGUGUUCUUGGAGCAUAUACACACUCCGUCAGUCAAAGAAGAUCCUUUCACCGAAGAAACUCCGCAGCCCAAGAGCGCCACAGAUCCGACUGAAGUUGAAGUCCCAGCGGUGGUCGACUUGAUCAUGGAGGUUUUGGUGGUCAUUCCCGACUGGACGAUUCCGUAUGUCGCAUAUAUCUUGAGGAAAGAGCUUCCGGAGGAUGAGGAAGAGGCUCGACAGAUCGUCCGUCGAUCUAAGGCCUUUACCGUAAUCAAAGGACAAUUAUACAGAGAAAGCACGACUGGAGUCGGUCAGAAGUGCAUAACACCAGAAGAAGGUCGACUCAUCCUCAAUGAUAUUCACUCGGGGACCUGUGGUCAUCAUGCGUCCUCUCGGACCAUCGUGGCCAAAGCAUACCGAGCCGGAUUUUACUGGCCCAAGGCGAAUGAGAUGGCAAAAGAGAUAGUAGAUAAGUGCGAGGGAUGUCAGUUCUACUCGAAUAUGUCGCACAAGCCUGCGUCAGCUUUGAAGACCAUCCCACUCGUCUGGCCUUUUGCAGUUUGGGGGCUGGACAUGAUCGGUCCUUUGAGAACAGGACGAAGUGGCUUCACGCAUGUACUGGUGGCAGUCGACAAGUUCACCAAGUGGAUCGAGGCUAAACCAAUCAAGAGCCUUGACACCGGUACUGCUGUUAGCUUCAUCAGGGAACUAAUAUUCAGAUAUGGAGUCCCGCACAGCAUCAUUACGGAUAAUGGGUCGAACUUUGACUCAGAGGAAUUCAGAGCUUUCUGCGACUCCCAGGGCACACGGGUCGACUACGCAUCAGUCGCCCAUCCACAGUCGAAUGGACAAGCAGAGCGAGCUAAUGGACUGAUUCUCAAGGGACUGAAGCCUCGACUGAUGCGUGAUCUCAAACACGCGGCUGGAGCUUGGGUCGACGAACUUCCAUCUGUACUCUAGGGACUGCGGACCACGCCUAAUCGGUCGACCGGAAGAACUCCAUUCUUCUUGGUCUAUGGAGCUGAAGCAGUCUUGCCGAGUGAUCUUCUCCACAAUGCUCCUCGAGUUGAAAUCUACAACGAAGCAGAAGCUGAACAAGCGCGGCAGGACGCAGUCGACCUUUUAGAGGAAGAAAGGGAGAUGGCUCUGAUCCGAUCGACCAUCUACCAACAAGUUCUGCGCCGUUUCCACGCCCGAAAUGUGAGAGGUCGAGCCUUCCAGGAAGGGGAUUUGGUUCUCCGAGUGGAUCAGCACAAACCACACAAGCUUGCUCCUUCUUGGGAAGGCCCCUUCAUCGUCACCAAGGUUCUCCACAACGGGGCGUACCGUCUUUACAACGUCGAGCAUAAUAUCGACGAGCCCCGAGCUUGGAACGCGGAGCUACUCCGCCCAUUUUACACUUAAGUUUUAUCACUCGGAUGAGUUGCAAUGAAGUACUUUUGUAGUUCAUGGACCUCAAAAUAAUAGUGUCAUAGUUCCUCCACAAUAUCUGUCACUUUUUAUUUUCCAAUAAAAUUCCCCUCAGUGGGUGACUUAGUUGCGAAUCCUUUUCGCCUAAGUUUGUAAAAAUCCUACCGAGUGGUGAGCCAGACUCCCACUCAGAGGCUUAGCUGCGAAUCCGUUUCGCCUAAGUUAUCAAAAUCCUGCCGAGUGAAGAGCAAUCCUCUCACUCGGGGGCUUAGCUGCAGCCAUGUGCUCGUCUAAGUUAUCAAAAUCCUACCGAGUGGUAAGCCAGCCUUCCACUCAGAGGCUUAGCUGCAGCCUCGUGCUCGCCUAAGUUAUAAAAAUCCUACCGAGUGAAGAGCAAGCCUCUCACUCGGGGGCUUAGCUGCAGUCCAAGCACUCGCCUAAGUUAUAAAAAUCCUACCGAGUGAAGAGCAACCCUCUCACUCGGGGGCUUAGCUGCAGUCCAAGCACUCGCCUAAGUUGUAAAAAUCCUACCGAGUGGUGAGCCAGGCUCCCACUCGGAGGCUUAGUUGCGNNNNNNNNNNNNNNNNNNNNNNNNNNNNNNNNNNNNNNNNNNNNNNNNNNNNNNNNNNNNNNNNNNNNNNNNNNNNNNNNNNNNNNNNNNNNNNNNNNNNNNNNNNNNNNNNNNNNNNNNNNNNNNNNNNNNNNNNNNNNNNNNNNNNNNNNNNNNNNNNNNNNNNNNNNNNNNNNNNNNNNNNNNNNNNNNNNNNNNNNNNNNNNNNNNNNNNNNNNNNCCGAGUGAAGAGCAAUCCUCUCACUCGGAGGCUUAGCUGCAGCCUCGUGCUCGCCUAAGUUAUCAAAAUCCUACCGAGUGGUAAGCCAGCCUUCCACUCGGAGGCUUAGCUGCAGCCUCGUGCUCGCCUAAGUUAUAAAAAUCCUACCGAGUGAAGAGCAACCCUCUCACUCGGGGGCUUAGCUGCAGUCCAAGCACUCGCCUAAGUUGUGAAAAUCCUACCGAGUGAAGAGCAACCCUCUCACUCGGGGGCUUAGCUGCAGCCCUGUGCUCGCCUAAGUUACAAAAAUCCUACCGAGUGAAGAGCAACCCUCUCACUCGGGGGCUUAGCUGCAGUCCAAGCGCUCGCCUAAGGUAUAAAAAUCCUGCCAAGUGGAGAGCAACCCUCUCAUUCGGAGGGCUUAGCUGCAGCCCAGUGCUCGUCUAAGUGGACUAAAGAAUAAGUCGAUUGCAGCACAGGCACCUUGCUUUGAACCUGCAAAAGACAUUCCGAGCCGAAGGCAAUCGUAUUCAAGCACCAAAUCCAAGUUUGAAUCGACAUCUAAAGGAACCGAAAGUGCUCAGGCGUCAAGCCUGUUAAGGUUUGUCGGUUACAAUUUCACUCGGCAUACCGAGGCAAAUUUAAAGCGUCGAGCCAGAAGAAGUUUUUUACCCCUCCUGUGGAGGGCUGGAAGGUGCAACAAAUUCAUCAAGGUCAAUCCCGUCGGCGAUCCGAGUGGCAGCUGCAAGGAAAGUUUCCAUAAAGGAUCUGAAGUCGUGCUUCUUGGUAUUGGCCACCCGAAGGGCCGCCAGCUUCUCUUCUCGCGCAUCUUUGAAGUGGACUCGGGCCAGACACAGAGCGACAUCUGCACCACACCGAGCCGAGGACUUCUUCCAUUCCUGCACUCGACCAGGGAUCGUGUUCAAGCGGGCCAUCAGCGACUCAAGGUCAUUCGGAAGUGUCUCCUCAGGCCAGAGCGUCGAGUCGAUGCAAGAUGUGGCGGCCUUCAGCCUUGCGAGAUAGUCCACGACAGCUGCAACACGAGACUCCAGUCGGAAAACAUCCAUGGCAACUUCGUCGUUCACCGGAGAAUUGACGGGGUCAAGGUUUGGCUCCAGUCGGCUGGUUUCUUCUUCAAAGUUUUGACAAAAUUCUGCAAGGGUGAUCACUAAGUCAAGGAGAUAGUCGAAUGGAAAAAGCCACAAUUGGAAAUAUUUGCCAAACAUGGAGGUCUACCUUCAAGCAUAAGGAACAACUUCUUGGCAAGGCCACUCAGGAAGGCCUCCAGUUCAGUUUUCUUCUCAGUCAAUUUGCUGACUUGGUCGGUCAGGGCAGCUUUGUCAGUUUUCAGUCGACUGACCUCCUUGUUGGCAAUCCCAAGAGCAGCUUUCAGAUUGGUAUUGUCUUGUUCGAGCUCGGUGACUGAAGCUAACUUCUCGUCAGCAAGCUUGAUCUUCUCAGCUAGCUCAAGGUCUUUCUUCUGCUGGGCCUCCCUUACCUUACCUGCAAGUUACAGCAAGAUCAGAUGCUGAAACAAGCAAAGGGAAAAGCAGUCGUCAGGGUCUCACCAAACAUACCUUCGGUCUCCUCCUUUGCCUUUGUCAGCUUCUCCUGAACCAGCUUCAAGCUCAGCUCGACUUGAGUAUGUUUUUGUUCCAGCUCUGAGUAGCGAGCCACAAGAUCACAGGAGUUCUGUGAAGAACCAAUCGACUAAAUGUCAAAUAUAAUUCACUUCCGAGUGAAAAAGGGAUAAACACGCGUUUCUAAGACUACAGCCAAAUACAAGCAUUCGACCGUAGUCUCGGGGACUACACCCAGUGGGUGCACUCAGCGUGCCCCCACCGGUUUGUGAAAUCCAGUCGACAUAGUCGACUGAAAGAAAAAUUGACGUCAUAAAGCCUAAAGCCGACUGCCAGCAGUCGACCUUAGCCUUGGGGACUACACCCAGUGGGUGCACUCAGCGUGCCCCCACCGGUUUGUGAAGUCCAGUCGACCAGUCGACUGACAGAAAGAUUGACAUCAUAAAGCCUAAGGCCGACUGCCAGCAGUCGACCUUAGCCUUGGGGACUACACCCAGUGGGUGCACUCAGCGUGCCCCCGCUAACACGGAGUUUAUUCGACACACCCAGUGGGUGACUAAUAUAAAUUCCGGAAAAGAAAAGUUUUUGGUAGCAUAUCCAACAGAACAAACAGCGGUCGACUGACCUGGACAUUGCUUUGGAGGGCAGAACUGGCGUCAUAAGCUGCCUGGCUCGCGUCCCGGAUGGUCUUCAGCUGCUCCAUCAUGAGUCCCGCCUGGCGUAUUGCCUCCUUCGCUGCGCCAGCUUGGUCCUCUGGGACGUGGUGCGUCGUAAAGAGGGAGGGCUGCUGAGCACUCGUCAGUGGAUUUGCGAAGGACACCGUGUGUCGAGUGGUGUUCCCUUCCUCCACAGUCAGAAUCUCAGACGCCGUCACAUCCUGAGGUACCUUACUGGCGGACGCUUUCCGACUCCUCCUGCGUGUCAGUGGUUCUUCAUCCUCGUCGUCGUCAGGGAGAUUGAUAACAAUGUUGGGUGGAGCUACGGAGAAGGAUCAGGAUCAGAGAUCGCGAGUCAGUCGACUAAGAACGGUGUUAAGAACACAGUACCUGGAUUCGAAGUUGCUGCAUCCUCCAUCUCGUGGUCAUCAGCCCGGGCCGAGGUCUCAGAAGUAGCAGCACUGCAACUCCAAAGGAUCAGUCGACUAACUUCAGCGUCGACCAGAGAUAAAGUUCGCACAGAAUAAGAAAAUAUGAGCAGCACAAUUACCCUGAUAUGGUGGGGAUGGACACCUUCAUCUUCGGCAGGAGCUUGGUCGGCUUUGGCGGAGCCCCCCUAGGCUGCUUCGGCGCCUUUUCAGUCGGCGCUGGAGAAGUGGUCCUAGGGCGCUUGGUCGACUGCGUCGCAACCCCCUUGCCACGUUCAGUCGAAGGGUCGUGGACGAGCUUCGACCGCCUUUCCGAGCGCGGUGGCACGACCUCCUCCUCUUCCUCCUCGUCUUNNNNNNNNNNUCACUAAGUCAAGGAGAUAGUCGAAUGGAAAAAGCCACAAUUGGAAAUAUUUGCCAAACAUGGAGGUCUACCUUCAAGCAUAAGGAACAACUUCUUGGCAAGGCCACUCAGGAAGGCCUCCAGUUCAGUUUUCUUCUCAGUCAAUUUGCUGACUUGGUCGGUCAGGGCAGCUUUGUCAGUUUUCAGUCGACUGACCUCCUUGUUGGCAAUCCCAAGAGCAGCUUUCAGAUUGGUAUUGUCUUGUUCGAGCUUGGUGACUGAAGCUAACUUCUCGUCAGCAAGCUUGAUCUUCUCAGCUAGCUCAAGGUCUUUCUUCUGCUGGGCCUCCCUUACCUUACCUGCAAGUUACAGCAAGAUCAGAUGCUGAAACAAGCAAGGGGAAAAGCAGUCGUCAGGGUCUCACCAAACAUACCUUCGGUCUCCUCCUUUGCCUUUGUCAGCUUCUCCUGAACCAACUUCAAGCUCAGCUCGACUUGAGUAUGUUUUUGUUCCAGCUCUGAGUAGCGAGCCACAAGAUCACAGGAGUUCUGUGAAGAACCAAUCGACUAAAUGUCAAAUAUAAUUCACUUCCGAGUGAAAAAGGGAUAAACACACGUUUCUAAGACUACAGCCAAAUACAAGCAUUCGACCGUAGUCUCGGGGACUACACCCAGUGGGUGCACUCAGCGUGCCCCCACUAAUCCUGUUGAAGACAAAGUCGACCAGUCGACCUCAAAAAAAAAGAGAGAUGCAUUCUCUAAGACUGUGAUCAACUGCAAGCAGUCGACCACAGUCUCGGGGACUACACCCAGUGGGUGCACUCAGCUUGCCCCCACCGGUUUGUGAAAUCCAGUCGACAUAGUCGACUGAAAGAAAAAUUGACGUCAUAAAGCCUAAAGCCGACUGCCAGCAGUCGACCUUAGCCUUGGGGACUACACCCAGCGGGUGCACUCAGCGUGCCCCCGCUAACACGGAGUUUAUUCGACACACCCAGUGGGUGACUAAUAUAAAUUCCGGAAAAGAAAAGUUUUUGGUAGCAUAUCCAACAGAACAAACAGCGGUCGACUGACCUGGACAUUGCUUUGGAGGGCAGAACUGGCGUCAUAAGCUGCCUGGCUCGCGUCCCGGAUGGUCUUCAGCUGCUCCAUCAUGAGUCCCGCCUGGCGUAUUGCCUCCUUCGCUGCGCCAGCUUGGUCCUCUGGGACGUGGUGCGUCGUAAAGAGGGAGGGCUGCUGAGCACUCGUCAGUGGAUUUGUGAAGGACACCGUGUGUCGAGUGGUGUUCCCUUCCUCCACAGUCAGAAUCUCAGGCGCCGUCACAUCCUGAGGUACCUUACUGGCGGACGCUUUCCGACUCCUCCUACGUGUCAGUGGUUCUUCAUCCUCGUCGUCGUCAGGGAGAUUGAUAACAGUGUUGGGUGGAGCUGCGGAGAAGGAUCAGGAUCAGAGAUCGUGAGUCAGUCGACUAAGAACGGUGUUAAGAACACAGUACCUGGAUUCGAAGUUGCUGCAUCCUCCAUCUCGUGGUCAUCAGCCCGGGCCGAGGUCUCAGAAGUAGCAGCACUGCAACUCCAAAGGAUCAGUCGACUAACUUCAGCGUCGACCAGAGAUAAAGUUCGCACAGAAUAAGAAAAUAUGAGCAGCACAAUUACCCUGAUAUGGUGGGGAUGGACACCUUCAUCUUCGGCAGGAGCUUGGUCGGCUUUGGCGGAGCCCCCCUAGGCUGCUUCGGCGCCUUUUCAGUCGGCGCUGGAGAAGUGGUCCUAGGGCGCUUGGUCGACUGCGUCGCAACCCCCUUGCCACGUUCAGUCGAAGGGUCGUGGACGAGCUUCGACCGCCUUUCCGAGCGCGGUGGCACGACCUCCUCCUCUUCCUCCUCGUCUUCGGCGUCAUCAUCAUCGCCGUCGUCAUCAUCAUCGUCGUCGUCGUCCCCUGCAACGUCCGAGUCCCAUUCCUCCUCGUCCUGGCUCUCGCCCCCACUCGCCUCACCCUCCUCAGUCGGAGUUUGUGCCCCAUUGGGCAUCGAGUACAGCUUGGUGAGGGCCUAGCAGAUAUCAAGACAAUGAUCAGUCGACCAGUCGGCAGAGUAAACAGAGAUGAAUGCGACAAGAAUGCAGUGGAGAGCAGGGCAAGUGUACCUUAUUUGGAUCACUGUUGUGGUCGAGUGGAGGAAUCCUUCUGGCUCCGCGUGGGUUGUCCUUGUUUCCGGUGACGGCUACCAUCCAUCUUUCCAGAGUGACAUCGUCGACUGCUUCUGGAUGGACUCUAGUCUCGUCUUCGGUCCCACAGUACAACCACAUGCAGUGGCUCCGGAACUGGAGAGGCUGGAUGCGACGCCUGAGGAAAACCUCCAGGAGGUCCAUGCCCGUCACUCCCUCCUGAACCAACUGCACCACGCGCUCCAUCAACAUCUUCACGUCAGCUUUCUCCUCCGGAAUCAGCUUCAGAGGGGAAGGCUUGCUCACUCGGUCCAUGGUGAACGGAGGGAGUCCACUCGACUGCCCUGGCGUCGACUGGACCUGGCAGUAGAACCAAGUCGACUGCCAGCCUCUGACGGACUCGGGAAAGGUCAUGGGCGGGAAGGUGCUCUUAUUCCUCACCUGAAUCCCCAGGCCUCCGCACAUUUGGACGACUCGGGUUCUCUCAUCACCUGGGCUCGCCUUCUUCACGGUCUGAGAUCGACACGUGAAUAUAUGUUUGAACAAACCCCAGUGCGGUCGACAGCCCAAGAAACCCUCACACAUGGACACGAACGCGGCAAGAUAGGCAAUGGAGUUUGGGGUAAAGUGGUGGAGCUGCGCUCCGAAGAAGUUCAAAAAGCCACGAAAGAAAACACUCGGUGGCAAGGAAAACCCGCGAUCAACAUGGGUGGCCAAAAGCACACACUCACCCUCUUCUGGCUGGGGCUGCCACUCCUUCCCCGGAAGCCUCGCAGCUCCGUGGGGGAUCAAGCCCUCGUUGGCCAUGUCGAGGAGGUCAUUCUCCGUGAUGGUCGACUGGAUCCAGUCUCCUUGGACCCAGCCCUUCGGCAGGCAGGAUCUGGACGAGGACCCUCCGCGGCUGGUGGAUCUUCCUUUCGCCUUCUCCGAUGCCGACGCCUUCUUUGCACGCUCCAGCGCCGCCGUCUUCUCCUUGGCCAUGGUCACCGGCGAGAUGCGCAAAGGGAAGUGGUGCGGGGGCGAGAGCGAGCACGCUGAGCAGGGAGGAAGGAAGCAGAGAGAGGGGAAGAAUGCUAAGGCGCAGCACAGAAAUCCUCGCCGGGCACAUUUAUAAGGUCCCUUCCGAGUGGAUGACAGGUGGGCCCGGGCGAUCUAAUCAUAUCUGGAACAGUUAUGCAGGCGGGAUACGUGGCGAAAAAGGCGGCGCGGAGAUCGAGGCGUCCAUGCCCCGUCCCAUCCGAACGCCGCGGUCCGCCCCGCUUCGCGCGCGCCCCAAAAUUUCGCAUCCCGCGGAAUCCGCGAGCAACAAAUCAGUCUGUCAGGCGCGGUGUUUCCGGCGAUCCGUCGCUCGGAGAUCGUCGAAGCCUGAAAGAUCACUCGACGCAAAAACAGAAUGGAUCAAGUUGACUGAAGGCAAUUUGUUUCCUGUCGACAAAGGGAUUCUUUGGUCCAGAACAGCGCACAACCGGAGCGCAAAGGUUAAUCGGAAACGACAUCAACUCCUUCUUCACUCGAAGCCUCGAUCCAUUCGGGGGCUAAUGAUGGGGUUGCGUACCUAGGGUAGGAUCAUGGACCUGAUCCAAGUAACUUACCCUAGGACAUCCUUAGAAGAGGUCGCCUUCCAGUCGACCAACGAGGAUUCACUCGACUGGCCUGAAGGACUCGACCACGAAGACUCACUCGACCACCAGGAGGUCAAGAGGCACUCUGCACUGCAACGGCCUGUAAUCAAGUAGACUUUAUGAUAGUAAAGGCACUUUAUGUGGGGCGUUACCAGUAACGCCCCAGACUUAACUCACCUUAAACCCUCUCCUGCGUGGGCUGGCUAGGGUCCUGGCGCACUCUAUAUAAGCCACCCUCCUCCACAGGCAGAGGGGUUCGGCACCUUGUAAUUCAUACAUUCAUAAUCCACUCGACCGCCUCCGGGCUCCGAGACGUAGGGCUGUUACUUCUUCCGAGAAGGGCCUGAACUCGUACAUCCUUUGUGCUUACAACCUCUCCAUAGCUAGGACCUUGCCUCUCCAUACCUACCCCCCACUCUACUGUCAGGUUUAGAACCACGACACACCCCCCCCUUGGGAUCCCUAUAUAUAGUGGGGUAGGAGGGCCUCCCAAACAUACCUUAUGCCUUUGGUGCAGCCCCUCCCUCUCUCCCAAGUUCUCCUCCUCUUCUCCCAUGGUGCUUGGCGAAGCCCUGCGGGAUUGCCACGCUCCUCCACCACCACCACGCCGUUGUGCUGCUGCUGGAUGGAGUCUUCCUCAACCUCUCCCUCUCUCCUUGCUGGAUCAAGGCGUGGGAGACGUCACCGGGUUGUACGUGUGUUGAACGCGGAGGUGCCGUCCGUUCGGCACUUGAUCAUCGGUGAUCUGAAUCACGACGAGUACGACUCCAUCAACCCCGUUCACUUGAACGCUUCCGCUUAGCGAUCUACAAGGGUAUGUAGAUGCACUCCCCUUUCUACUCGUUGCUGGUCUUUCCAUAGAUAGAUCUUGGUGUUACGUAGGAAUUUUUUUGAAUUUCUGCUACGUUCCCCAACAGUGGCAUCAUGAGCUAGGUCUAUUGCGUAGAUUCUUUGCACGAGUAGAACACAAAGUAGUUGUGGGCGUUGAUGUUGUUCAAUAUGCUUACCGUUACUAGUCCAAUCUUGUUUCGACGGUAUUGUGGGAUGAAGCGGCCCGGACCGACCUUACACGUACUCUUACGUGAGACAGGUUCCACCGAUUGACAUGCACUUGGUGCAUAAGGUGGCUAGCGGGUGCCAGUCUCUCCCACUUUAGUCGGAACGGAUUCGAUGAAAAGGGUCCUUAUGAAGGGUAAAUAGCAAUUGGCAUAUCACGUUGUGGUUUUGCGUAGGUAAGAAACGUUCUUGCUAGAAACCCAUAGCAGCCACGUAAAACAUGCAACAACAAUUAGAGGACGUCUAACUUGUUUUUGCAGGGUAUGCUAUGUGAUGUGAUAUGGCCAAAGGAUGUGAUGAAUGAAUAUAUGUGAUGUAUGAGAUUGAUCAUGUUCUUGUAAUAGGAUUCACGACUUGCAUGUCGAUGAGUAUGACAACCGGCAGGAGCCAUAGGAGUUGUCUUUAUUUUUUUGUAUGACCUGCGUGUCAUUGAAGAACGCCAUGUAACUUACUUUACUUUAUUGCUAAACGCGUUAGCCAUAGAAGUAGAAGUAGUCGUUGGCGUGACAACUUCAUGAAGACACGAUGAUGGAGAUCAUGAUGAUGGAGAUCAUGGUGUCAUGCCGGUGACAAGAUGAUCAUGGAGCCCCGAAGAUGAAGAUCAAAAGGAGCAAAAUGAUAUUGGCCAUAUCAUGUCACUAUUUGAUUGCAUGUGAUGUUUAUCAUGUUUAUGCAUCUUGUUUACUUAGGACGACGGUAGUAAAUAAGAUGAUCCCUUACAAAAUUUCAAGAAGUGUUCUCCCCUAACUGUGCACCGUUGCUACAGUUCGUCGCUUCUAAGCACCACGUGAUGAUCGGGUGUGAUGGAUUCUUACGUUCACAUACAACGGGUGUAAGACAGUUUUACACAGCGAAAACACUUAGGGUUAACUUGACGAGCCUAGCAUGUGCAGACAUGGCCUCGGAACACGGAGACCGAAAGGUCGCGCAUGAGUCGUAUAGUAGAUACGAUCAACAUGAAGAUGUUCACCGACGUUAACUAAUCCGUCUCACGUGAUGAUCGGACACGGCCUAGUUGACUCGGAUCAUGUGAUCACUUAGAUGACCAGAGGGAUGUCUAUCUGAGUGGGAGUUCAUAAGAUGAACUUAAUUAUCCUGAACAUAGUCAAAAGACCUUUUGCAAAUUAUGUCGUAGUUCACGCUAUAGUUCUACUGUUUUAGUUAUGUUCCUAGAGAAAAUAUAGUUGAAAGUUGACAGUAGCGAUUAUGCGGACAGUAGAAAGCUUAUGUCCUUAAUGCACUGCUCAAUGUGCUGAACCCCAAACGUCGUUUGUGGAUGUUUCGAACAUCGAACAUACACGUUUUGAUAACUACGUGAUAGUUCAGUUAAACGGUUUAGAAUUGAGGCACCAAAGAUGUUUUUUGAAACAUCGCGAAACAUAUGAGAUGUUUUGAGGGCUGAAAUUGGGAUUUCAGGCUCGUGCCCACGUCAAGAGGUAUGAGACCUCCGACGAUUUUCUUAGCCUGCAAACUAAGGGAGAAAAGCUCAAUCGUUGAGCUUGUGCUCAGAUUGUCUGAGUGCAACAAUCACUUGAAUCGAGUGGGAGUUGAUCUUCCAGAUGAAAUAGUGAUGUUUCCCCAAAGUCAUUGCCACCAAGCUGCUAGAGCUUCGUGAUGAACUAUAACAUAUCAAUGAUAGAUAUGAUGAUCCUUGAAAUAUUCAUGAUGUUUGACACCGCGAAAGUAGAAAUCAAGAAGGAGCAUCAAUUGUUGAUGGUUGGUGAAACCACUAGUUUCAAGAAGGGCAAGGGAACAAAGGGAUACUUCAUGAAACAGCAAUUCAGCUGCUGCUCUAGUGAAGAAACCCAAGGUUGAACCCAAACCCGAGACUAAGUGCUUCUGUAAUAAGGGGAACAGUCACUAGAGCGGAAUUACCCUAGAUACUUGGUAGAUGAGAAGGCUGGCAAGGUCGAUAGAAGUAUAUUGGAUAUACAUUAUGUUAAUGUGUACUUUACUAGUACUCCUAGUAGCACCAGGGUACAUGAUACCGGUUCGGUUGCUAAGUGUUAGUAACUCGAAAUAAAAGCUACGAAAUAAAAGGAAACUAGCUAAAGGUGAGCUGACGAUAUGUGUUGGAAGUGUUUCCAAGGUUGAUGUGAUCAAGCAUCGCACGCUCCCUCUACCACCGAGAUCGGUGUUUGCGUUGAGCAUAGACAUGAUUGGAUUAUGUCUAUCGCAAUACGGUUAUUCAUUUAAGGAGAAUAAUGGUUACUCUAAUUUUUGAAUAAUACCUUCAAUGGUCUUGCACCUAAAGGAAUGGUUUAUUGAAUCUCGGUCGUAGUGAUACACAUUUUCAUGCCGAAAGAUAUAAGAUAGUAAUGAUAGUACCACUUACUUGUGGCACUGCCAUGUAAGUCAUAAUGGUAUAAAACGCAUGAAGAAGCUCCAUGUUGAUGGAUCUUUGGACUCACUCGUUUUUGAAAAGUUUGAGACAUGCGAACCAUGUCUAUUGGUGUAUAUGCAUGAAGAAACUCCAUGCAAAUGGAUCGUUUGGACUCACUUGAUUUUGAAUCACUUGAGAUAUGCAAAUCAUACCACAUGGGCAAGAUGAUUGAAAAGCCUCGUUUUCAGUAAGAUGGAACAAGAUAGCAACUUGUAGGAAGUAACACAUUUUGAUGUGUGCAGUCCAAUGAGUGCUGAGGCAUGCAGUGAAUAUCGUUAUGUUCUUACUUCACAGAUGAUUCGAGUAGAUAUUGAGAAUAUUUACUUGAUGAAACACAAGUCUGAAUUAUUGAAUGGUUCAAGUAAUUUCAGAGUGAAGUAGAAGAUCAUUGUGACAAGAGGAUAAAAUGUCUAUGAUAUGAUCAUAGAGAUGAAUAUCUGAGUUACGAGUUUUGGCACACAAUUAAGACAUUGUGGAAAUUGUUUCGCAAUUAAUACCGCCUGGAACACCAUAAUGUGAUGGUGUGUCCGAACAUCAUAGUUGCACCCUAUUGGAUAUGGUGCGUACCAUGAUGUCUCUUAUCAAAUUACCACUAUCGUUCAUGGGUUAGGCAUUAGAGACAACCACAUUCACUUUAAAUAGGGCACCACGUAAUUCCGAUGAGAUGACACCGUAUGAAUUAUGGUUUAGGGAAACCUAAGUUGUCGUUUCUUAAAAGUUUGGGGCUGCGACGCUUAUAUGAAAAAGUUUCAGGUUGAUAAGCUCGAACCCAAAGCGGAUAAAAUGCAUCUUCAUAGGAAACCCAAAACAGUUGGGUAUACCUCCUAAUUCAGAUCUGAAAGCAAUAUGGAUUGUUUCUAGAAUCGGGUCCUUUCUCGAGGAAAAGUUUCUCUCGAAAGAAUUGAGUGGGAGGAUGGUGGAGACUUGAUGAGGUUAUUGAACCGUCUCUUCAACUAGUGUGUGACAGGGCACGGGGAGUUGUUCCUGUGGCACCUACACCAAUUGAAGUGGAAGCUUAUGAUAUUGAUCAUGAAACUUCGGAUCAAGUCACUCCCAAACCUUGUAGGAUGACAAGGACGCGUACUACUUCAGAGUGGUACGUAAUCCUGUCUUGAAGGUCAUGUUGCUAGACAACAAUGAACCUACGAGCUAUGGAGAAGCGAUGGUGGGCCCGGAUUCCGAUAAAUGGCUUGAGGCCAUAAAAAUCCGAGAGAGGAUCCAUGUAUGAAAACAAAGUGUAGACUUUGGCAGAACGGCUCGAUGGUCGUAAGGCUAAUGAGUACAGAUGGAUUUCAAAAGGAAGACGGACAAUGAUGGUAAAUGUCACCAUUAAGAAAGCUCGACUUGUCGUUAAGAUGUUUUCCGACAAGUUCAAGGAGUUGACUACGAUGAGAUUUUCUCACUCGUAGUGAUGCUAAGAGUCUAUUGGAAUUAUAUUAGUGAUUACUGCAUUAUUUAUGAAAUCUUGCAGAUAGGAUGUCAAAACAUUGUUUCCUAAACGAUUUUAAUGAGGAAAGGUUGUAUGUGAUACAACCGGAAGGUUUUGUCAAUCCCGAAAGAUGCUAAUAAGUAUGCAAAGCUCCAGCAAUCCUUCUAAGGACUGGAGUGAGCAUCUCGGAGUUGGAAUGUACGCUUUGAUGAGAUGAUCAAAGAUUUUGGAUCUAUACAAAGUUUAUGAGAAACUUGUAUUUCCAAAGAAGUGAGUGGGAGCACUAUAGAAUUUCUGAUGAGUAUAUGUUGUUGACAUAUUGUUGAUCAGAAAUGACGUAGAAUUUCUGGAAAGCAUAUAGGGUUAUUUUGAAAGUGUUUUUCAAUGGAAAGCCUGGAUUAAGCUACUUGAACAUUGAGCAUCAAGAUCUAUAAGGAUAGAUCAAAAUGCUUAAUAAUACUUUCAAAUGAGCACAUACCUUGACAUGAUCUUGAAGGUGUUCAAGAUGAACCAGUCAAAGAAGGAGUUCUUGCCUGAGUUGUAAGGUAUGAAGUUAAGACUUAAAGCUCGACCACGGCAGAAUAGAGAGAAAGGACGAAGGUCGUCCCCUAUGCUUAAGAUGUAGGCUCUUCAGUAUGCUAUGCUGUGUACCGCACCUGAAGUGUGCCUUGCCAUGAGUCAGUCAAGGGGUACAAGAGUGAUCCAAGAAUGGCUCACAGGACAGCGGUCAAAGUUAUCCUUAGUAACUAGUGGACUAAGGAAUUUUCUCGAUUAUGGAGGUGGUAAAAGAGUUCGUCAUAAAGGUUACGACGAUGCAAGCUUGACACCUAUCCGGAUAGCUCUGAGUAGAGAGACCGGAUACAUAUAAUGGAGCAAUAAUUUAGAAUAGAUCCAAGUAGAACAGUUAUUUGGAACAGCUCCAAAUAGAGCGUGGUAGCUGCAUCUAGGAGAUGACAUAGAGAUUUGUAAAGCACACACGGAUCUGAAAGGUUCAGACCCGUUGACUAAAACCUCUCUCACAAGCAACAUGAUCAAACCUAAAACUCAUUGAGUAUUAAUCACAUAGUGAUGUGAACUAGACUACUGAUUCUAGUAAACUCUUGGGUAUUAGUCACAUGGCGAUGUGACCUGUGAGUGUUAAUCACAUGGCGAUGUGAACUAGAUUAUUGACUCUAGUGCAAGUGGGAGACUGUUGGAAAUAUGCCCUAGAGGCAAUAAUAAAAGUAUUAUUAUUAUAUUUCCUUGUUCAUGAUAAUUGUCUUUUAUUCAUGCUAUAACUGUAUUAUCCGGAAAUCGUAAUACACGUGUGAAUAAAUAGACCACAAUAUGUCCCUAGUGAGCCUCUAGUUGACUAGCUCGUUGUGAUCAACAGAUAGUCAUGGUUUCCUGGGUAUGGACAUUGGAUGUCGUUGAUAACGGGAUCACAUCAUUAGGAGAAUGAUGUGAUGGACAAGACCCAAUCCUAAGCCUAGCACAAAGAUCGUGUAGUUCGUAUGCUAGAGCUUUGCCAAUGUCAAGUAUCUCUUCCUUUGACCAUGAGAUCGUGUAACUCCUGGAUACCGUAGGAAUGCUUUGGGUGUAUCAAACGUCACAACGUAACUGGGUGACUAUAAAGGUGCACUACAGGUAUCUCCGAAAGUAUCUAUUGUUUUAUGCGGAUCGAGACUGGGAUUUGUCACUCCGUGUAAACGGAGAGGUAUCUCUGGGCCCACUCGGUAGGACAUCAUCAUAUGCGCAAUGUGACCAAGGAGUUGAUCACGGGAUGAUGUGUUACGGAACGAGUAAAGUGACUUGCCGGUAACGAGAUUGAACAAGGUAUUGGAUACCGACGAUCGAAUCUCGGGCAAGUAACAUACCGAUAGACAAAGGGAAUUGAAUACGGGAUUGAUUAAGUUCUUGACAUCGUGGUUCAUCCGAUGAGAUCAUCGUGGAACAUGUGGGAGCCAUCAUGGGUAUCCAGAUCCCGCUGUUGGUUAUUGACCGGAGAACGUCUCGGUCAUGUCUACAUGUCUCCCGAACCCGUAGGGUCUACACACUUAAGGUUCGAUGACUCUAGGGUUAUAAAGGAAGUUUGUAUGUGGUUACCGAAUGUUGUUCGGAGUCCCGGAUGAGAUCCCGGACGUCACGAGGAGUUCCGGAAUGGUCCGGAGGUAAAGAUUUAUAUAUGGGAAGUCCUAUUUUGGCCACCGGAAAAUGUUCGGGAUUUUUCGGUAUUGUACCGGGAAGGUUCUAGAAGGUUCCGGAGUGGGGCCCACCUGCAUGGGGGGACCCACAUGGACGUGGGUAGUGGGGGAAAGGCCCCACACCCCUGGUCAAGGCGCACCAAGAUCCCCCCUUAGAAGGAAUAAGAUCAUAUCCCGAAGGGAUAAGAUCAAGAUCCCUAAAAAGGGGGGAUAACAAUCGGUGGGGAAGGAAAUAAUGAGAUUUCUUUCCUCCCACCUUGGCCAACGCCCCAAUGGACUUGGAGGGCAAGAAACCAGCCCCUCCACCCCUAUAUAUAGUGGGGAGGCGCAUGGGAGCUAUACACGAAGUUCUGGCGCAGCCCUCCCCCUCUCACAAGUUCUCCUCUCCCGUGGUGCUUGGCGAAGCCCUGCAGGAUUGCCACGCUCCUCCACCACCACCACGCCGUCGUGCUGCUGCUGGACGGAGUCUUCCCCAACCUCUCCCUCUCUCCUUGCUUGAUCAAGGCGUGGGAGACGUCACCGGACUGUACGUGUGUUGAACGCGGAGGUGCCGUCCGUUCGGCACUAGGAUCUCCGGUGAUUUGGAUCACGACGAGUACGACUCCUUCAACCCCGUUCUCUUGAACGCUUCCGCUUAGCGAUCUACAAGGGUAUGUAGAUGCACUCUCCUUCCCCUCGUUGCUGGUUUCUCCAUAGAUAGAUCUUGGUGACACGUAGGAAAAUUUUGAAUUUCUGCUACGUUCCCCAACAGUGGCAUCAUGAGCUAGGUCUAUUGCGUAGAUUCUUUGCACGAGUAGAACACAAAGUAGUUGUGGGCGUUGAUGUUGUUCAAUAUGCUUACCGUUACUAGUCCAAUCUUGUUUCGACGGUAUUGUGGGAUGAAGCGGCCUGGACCGACCUUACACGUACUCUUACGUGAGACAGGUUCCACCGAUUGACAUGCACUUGGUGCAUAAGGUGGCUAGCGGGUGCCAGUCUCUCCCACUUUAGUCGGAACGGAUUCGAUGAAAAGGGUCCUUAUGAAGGGUAAAUAGCAAUUGGCAUAUCACGUUGUGGUUUUGCGUAGGUAAGAAACGUUCUUGCUAGAAACCCAUAGCAGCCACAUAAAACAUGCAAACAACAAUUAGAGGACGUCUAACUUGUUUUUGCAGGGUAUGCUAUGUGAUGUGAUAUGGCCAAAAGGAUGUGAUGAAUGAUAUAUGUGAUGUAUGAGAUUGAUCAUGUUCUUGUAAUAGGAUUCACGACUUGCAUGUCGAUGAGUAUGACAACCGGCAGGAGCCAUAGGAGUUGUCUUAAUUUAUUGUAUGACCUGCGUGUCAUUGAAGAACGCCAUGUAACUUACUUUACUUUAUUGCUAAACGCGUUAGCCAUAGAAGUAGAAGUAGUCGUUGGCGUGACAACUUCAUGAAGACACGAUGAUGGAGAUCAUGAUGAUGGAGAUCAUGGUGUCAUGCCGGUGACGAUGAUGAUCAUGGAGCCCCGAAGAUGAAGAUCAAAAGGAGCAAAAUGAUAUUGGCCAUAUCAUGUCACUAUUUGAUUGCAUGUGAUGUUUAUUAUGAUUAUGCAUCUUGUUUACUUAGGACGACGGUAGUAAAUAAGAUGAUCCCUUACAAAAUUUCAAGAAGUGUUUGUUGGAAAUAUGCCCUAGAGGCAAUAAUAAAAGUAUUAUUAUUAUAUUUCCUUGUUCAUGAUAAUUGUCUUUUAUUCAUGCUAUAACUGUAUUAUCCGGAAAUCGUAAUACACGUGUGAAUACAUAGACCACAAUAUGUCCCUAGUGAGCCUCUAGUUGACUAGCUCAUUGUGAUCAACAGAUAGUCAUGGUUUCCUGGCUAUGGACAUUGGAUGUCGUUGAUAACGGGAUCACAUCAUUAGGAGAAUGAUGUGAUGGACAAGACCCAAUCCUAAGACUAGCACAAAAGAUCGUGUAGUUCAUUUGCUAGAGCUUUGCCAAUGUCAAGUAUCUCUUCCUUCGACCAUGAGAGCGUGUAACUCCUGGAUACCGUAGGAGUGCUUUGGGUGUAUCAAACGUCACAACGUAACUGGGUGACUAUAAAGGUGCACUACAGGUAUCUCUGAAAGUAUCUAUUGUUUUAUGCGGAUCGAGACUGGGAUUUGUCACUCCGUGUAAACGGAGAGGUAUCUCUGGGCCCACUCGGUAGGACAUCAUCAUAAUGUGCACAAUGUGACCAAGGGGUUGAUCACGGGAUGAUGUGUUACGGAACGAGUAAAGAGACUUGCCGGUAACGAGAUUGAACAAGGUAUUGGAUACCGACGAUCGAAUCUCGGGCAAGUAACAUACCGAUAGACAAAGGGAAUUGAAUACGGGAUUGAUUAAGUCCUUGACAUCGUGGUUCAUCCGAUGAGAUCAUCGUGGAACAUGUGGGAGCCAACAUGGGUAUCCAGAUCCCGCUGUUGGUUAUUGACCGGAGAACGUCUCGGUCAUGUCUGCAUGUCUCCCGAACCCGUAGGGUCUACACACUUAAGGUUCGGUGACGCUAGGGUUAUAAAGGAAGCUUGUAUGUGGUUACCGAAUGUUGUUCGGAGUCCCGGAUGAGAUCCCGGACGUCACGAGGAGUUCCGGAAUGGUCCGGAGGUAAAGAUUUAUAUAUAGGAAGUCCUGUUUCGGCCAUCGGGACAAGUUUCGGGGUCAUCGGUAUUGUACCGGGACAACCGGAAGGGUCCCGGGGGCCCACCGGGUGGGGCCACCUGCCCCGGGGGGCCACAUGGGCUGUAGGGGGUGCGCCUUGGCCUACAUGGGCCAAGGGCACCAGCCCCAAGAGGCCCAUGCGCCUGGGGAAACCCUAAAGGAAGAGUCCCAGCAGGGGAAGGCACCUCCUAGGUGCCUUGGGGGGGGAGGACUCCUCCCCUGGCCGCCGCCUCCUUGGAGAUUGGAUCUCCUAGGGGCUGGCGCACCCCCCCUUGGGAUCCCUAUAUAUAGUGGGGUAGGAGGGCCUCCCAAACAUACCUUAUGCCUUUGGUACAGCCCCUCCCUCUCUCCCAAGUUCUCCUCCUCUUCUCCCAUGGUGCUUGGCGAAGCCCUGCGGGAUUGCCACGCUCCUCCACCACCACCACGCCGUUGUGCUGCUGCUGGAUGGAGUCUUCCUCAACCUCUCCCUCUCUCCUUGCUGGAUCAAGGCGUGGGAGACGUCACCGGGCUGUACGUGUGUUGAACGCGGAGGUGUCGUCCGUUCGGCACUUGAUCAUCGGUGAUCUGAAUCACGACGAGUACGACUCCAUCAACCCCGUUCACUUGAACGCUUCCGCUUAGCGAUCUACAAGGGUAUGUAGAUGCACUCCCCUUUCUACUCGUUGCUGGUCUUUCCAUAGAUAGAUCUUGGUGUUACGUAGGAAUUUUUUGAAUUUCUGCUACGUUCCCCAACACAAACUUGGCACUAAAUAACAAUUAUUGAGGUUCAAAACUAAUCCCGUAGGUAAAUGUAGAGGUAGCGUGCCGACGGCGAUCACAUCGACCUUGGAACGAUUCCCGACGCGCAUCGUCACCUCGUCCUUCGCCAUUCUCCAUUUAUUCCGCAGCUCCUGCUGUGAGUUACAAAUAUGAGCAACGACACCGGUAUCAAAUACCCAGGAGCUACUACGAGUACUGGUAAGGUACACAUCAAUUACAUGUAUAUCACAUAUACCUUUCGUUUUGCCGGCCUUCUUGUCCGCUAAGUAUUUGGGGCAGUUCCGCUUCCAGUGACCACUUUCCUUGCAAUAAAAGCACUCAGUCUCGGGCUUGGGUCCAUUCUUUGGCUUCUUCCCGGCAGCUUGCUUGUCGGGCGCGGCAACUCCCUUGCUGUCCUUCUUGAAGUUCUUUUUACCCUUGCCCUUCUUGAACUUAGUGGUUUUAUUGACCAUCAACACUUGAUGUUCCUUCUUGACUUCUACCUCUGCUGAUUUCAGCAUAGCAAAUACUUCAGGAAUGGUCUUUUCCAUCCCCUGCAUAUUAAAGUUCAUCACAAAGCUCUUGUAGCUCGGUGGAAGCGACUGAAGGAUCCUGUCAAUGACCGCGUCAUCUGGGAGAUUAACUCCCAGCUGAGUCAAGCGGUUAUGUAACCCAGACAUAGUGAGUAUGUGCUCACUGACAGAACUAUUUUCCUCCAUCUUACAACUGAAGAAUUUGUCGGAGACUUCAUAUCUCUCGACCCGGGCAUGAGCUUGAAAAACCAUUUUCAGCUCUUCGAACAUCUCAUAUGCUCCAUGUCUCUCAAAACACUUUUGGAGCCCCGGCUCUAAGCUGUAAAGCAUGCCGCGCUGAACGAGGGAGUAGUCAUCGGUACGUGCCUGCCAAGCGUUCAUAACGUCUUGUUUUGCAGGGAGAACAGGUGCAUCACCUAGCGGUGCUUGUAGGACAUAAUCUUUCUUGGCAGCUAUGAGGAUGAUCCUCAUGUUCCGGACCCAGUCCGUGUAGUUGCUGCCAUCGUCUUUCAGCUUGGUUUUCUCUAGGAACGCGUUGAAGUUGAGGACUACGUUGGCCAUUUGAUCUACAAGACAUAUUGUAAAUAUUUUAGACUAAGUUCAUGAUAAUUAAGUUCAUCUAAUCAAAUUAUAAUGAACUACCACUUAGAUAGACAUCCCUCUUCUAGUCAUCUAAGUAUAACAUGAUCCGAGUUGGCUAGGCCGUGUCCGAUCAUCAUGUGAGACGGACUAGUCAACGUCGGUGAACAUCUUCAUGUUGAUCGUAUCUUCUAUACGACUCAUGCUCGACCUUUCGGUCUUCUGUGUUCCGAGGCCAUGUCUAUGCACAUGCUAGGCUCGUUAAGUCAACCUAAGUGUAUUGCGUGUGUAAAUCUGUCUUACACCCGUUGUAUGUGAACGUAAGGAUCUAUCACACCCGAUCAUCACGUGGUGCUUCGAAAUGACGAACUUUAGCAACGGUGCACAGUUAGGGGGAACACUUUCUUGAAAUUAUUAUGAGGGAUCAUCUUAUUUACUACCGUCAUUCUAAGCAAACAAGAUGCAAAACAUGAUAAACAUCACAUGCAAUCAAAUAAUAAUAGUGACAUGAUAUGGCCAAUAUCACAUAGCUCCUUUGAUCUCCAUCUUGGGGCUCCAUGAUCAUCUUGUCACCGUCAUACUCAUCGACAUGUAAGUUGUGAUUCCUAUUACAAUAGCAUGAACAUCUCAUACAUCACAUAUAGAUCAUUCAUCAUUCAUCACAACUUUGGCCAUAUCAUAUCACAAAGCACUUGCUGCAAAAACAAGUUAGACGUCCUCUAAUUGUUGUUGCAAGUUUUACAUGGCUGAAGUAGGGUUCUAGCAAGAACGUUUUCUUACCUACGUGAAAGCCACAACGUGAUUUGUCAACUUCUAUUUACCCUUCAUAAGGACCCUUUUCAUCGAAUCCGCUCCAACUAAAGUAGGAGAGACAGACACCCGCCAGCCACCUUAUGCAACUUGUGCAUGUUAGUCGGUGGAACCAGUCUCAGGUAAGCGUACGUGUAAGGUUGGUCCAGGCCGCUUCAUCCCAGAAUACCGUUGAAGCAAGAUAAGACUAGUAGAGGAAAGAAAGUUGACAACAUCUACGCCCACAACAAAUUGUGUUCUACUCGCGCAAGAAGAACUACGCAUAGACCUAGCUCAUGAUGCCACUGUUGGGGAACGUUGCAGAAAACAAAAGUUUUCCUACGGUUUCACCAAGAUCCAUCUAGGAGUUCAUCUAGCAACGAGUGAUUAGAUGCAUCUACGUACCUUGUAGAUCGCGAGCGGAAGCGUUCAAAGAACGUGGAUGAGGGAGUCGUACUCGACGUGAUUCGAAUCACCGAAGAUCCUAGCACCGAACGGACGGCACCUCCGCGUUCAACACACGUACGGAACAGCCACGUCUCCUUCUUCUUGAUCCAGCAAGGGGAAAGGAGAGGUUGAGGGAGAUGGCACCAGCAGCAGCACGACAGCGUGGUGAUGAUGGAGCUGCCGUACUCCGUCAAGGCUUCGCCAAGCGCUAUGGAGGAGGAGGAGGUGUUGGAGAGGGAGAAGGAGGCAACCAAAGGCGUGGGAGAAAAGCCCUCCUUCCCUUACUAUAUAUAGGAGGGCCAAGGGGGGGGGGCGCCGGCCCUAGGAGAUCCAAUCUCCUAGGGUGGGGCGGUGGCCAAGGGGGGUUUCCCUCCCCCCAAGGCACCUAGGAGGUGCCUUCCCCUCCUAGGACUCUCUCCCCUUGUAACCCUAGGCGCAUGGGCCUCUUGGGGCUGGUGCCCUUGGCACAUGUAGGCCAAGGCGCACCCCCUACAGCCCAUGUGGCCCCCCGGGACAGGUAGCCCCACCCGGUGGGCCCCUGGGACCCUUCCGGUGGUCCCGGUACAAUACCGAUAACCCCAAAACUUGUCCCGAUGGCUGAAAUAGUACUUCAUAUAUAUAAUUCUUUACCUCCGGACCAUUUUGGAACUCCUCGUGACAUCCGGGAUCUCAUCCGGGACUCCGAACAACAUUCGGGUCACUGCAUAUACAUAUCCCUACAACCCUAGCGUCACCGAACCUUAAGUGUGUAGACCCUACGGGUUCGGGAGACAUGUAGACAUGAUCGAGAUCGCUCUCCGGUCAAUAACCAACAGCGGGAUCUGGAUACCCAUGUUGGCUCCCACAUGCUCCUCGAUGAUCUCAUCGGAUGAAUCAUGAUGUCGAGGAUUCAAACAACCCUGUAUACAAUUCCCUUUGUCAAUCGGUAUGUUACUUGCUCGAGAUCCGAUCGUCGGUAUCCCAAUACCUCGUUCAAUCUCGUUACCAGCAAGUCACUUUACUCGUACCGUAAUGCAUGAUCCCGUGACCAGACACUUGGUCACUUUGAGCUCAUUAUGAUCAUGCAUUACCGAGUGGGCCCAGUGAUACCUCUCCGUCAUACGGAGUGACAAAUCCCAGUCUUGAUCCAUGUCAACCCAACAGACACUUUCGAAGAUACCCGUAGUAUACCUUUAUAGUCACCCAGUUACGUUGUGACGUUUGGCACACCCAAAGCACUCCUACGGUAUCCGGGAGUUACACGAUCUCAUGGUCUAAGGAAAAGAUACUUGACAUUGGAAAACUCUAGCAAACGAACUAUACGAUCUUGUGCUAUGUUUAGGAUUGGGUCUUAUCCAUCACAUCAUUCUCCUAAUGAUGUGAUCUCAUUAUCAAUGACAUCCAAUGUCCAUAGUCAGGAAACCAUGACUAUUUGUUGAUCAACGAGCUAGUCAACUAGAGGCUUACUAGGGACAUGUUGGUGUCUAUUAUUCACACGUGUAUUACGAUUUCCGGAUAAUACAGUUAUAGCAUGAAUAAAGACAAUUAUCAUGAACAAAGAAAUAUAAUAAUAAUACUUUUAUUAUUACCUCUAGGGCAUAUUUCCAACAAAAAUGCGGCAAUUGCUAACAUGAUUCGGACGGACUUAAGCAUCGCUACGGGUGAGAAGGUCUCAUCGUAGUCAACCCCUUGAACUUGUCGAAAACCUUUUGCGACAAGUCGAGCUUUGUAGACAGUAACAUUACCAUCAGCGUCAGUCUUCUUCUUGAAGAUCCAUUUAUUCUCAAUUGCUUGCCGAUCAUCGGGCAAGUCAACCAAAGUCCAUACUUUGUUCUCAUACAUGGAUCCCAUCUCAGAUUUCAUGGCUUCAAGCCACUUUGCGGAAUCUGGGCUCACCAUCGCUUCUUCAUAGUUCGUAGGUUCAUCAUGAUCUAGUAGCAUGAUUUCCAGAACAGGAUUACCGUACCACUCUGGUGCGGAUCUCACUCUGGUUUACCUACGAGAUUCAGUAGUAACUUGAUCUGAAGUUUCAUGAUCAUCAUCAUUAGCUUCCUCACUAAUUGGUGUAGGUGUCACAGAAACCGGUUUCUGUGAUGUACUAAUUUCCAAUAAGGGAGGAGGUACAGUUACCUCAUCAAGUUCUACUUUCCUCCCACUCACUUCUUUCGAGAGAAACUCCUUCUCUAGAAAGUUUCCGAAUUUAGCAACAAAAGUCUUGCCUUUGGUCUUGUGAUAGAAGGUGUAUCCAAUAGUUUCUUUUUCGAUAUCCUAUGAAGACACAUUUCUCCGAUUUGGGUUCGAGCCUAUCAGGUUGAAGCUUUUUCACAUAAGCAUCGCAGCCCCAAACUUUCAGAAACGACAACUUUGGUUUCUAGCCAAACCACAGUUCAUAAGGCGUCGUCUCAACGGAUUUUGAUGGUGCCCUAUUUAAUGUGAAUGCAACUGUCUCUAAUGCAUAACCCCAAAACGAUAGUGGUAAAUCGGCAAGAGACAUCAUAGAUUGCACCAUAUCUAAUAAAGUGCGGUUACGAUGUUCGGACACACCAUUACACUGUGGUGUUCCAGGUGGCGUGAGUAGUGAAACUAUUUCACAUUGUUUUAACUGAAGGCCAAACUCGUAACUCAAAUAUUUUACCUUUGCGAUCAUAUCGUAGAAACUUUUAUUUUCUUGUUACGAUGAUUCUUCACUUCACUCUGAAAUUCUUUAAACUUUUCAAAUGUUUCAGACUUGUGUUUCAUCAAGUAGAUAUACUCAUAUAUGCUCAAAUCAUCUGUGAAGAUCAGAAAAUAAUGAUACCUGUCGCGAGCCUCAAUAUUCAUCGGACCACAUACAUCAGUAUGUAUGAUUUCCAACAAAUAUGUUGCUCGCUCCAUUGUUCCGAAGAACAGAGUCUUAGUCAUCUUGCCCAUGAGGCAUGGUUCGCAAGCAUCAACUGAUUCAUAAUCAAGUGAUUCCAAAAGCCCAUUAGCAUGGAGUUUCUUCAUGCGCUUUACACCAAUAUGACCUAAACGGCAGUGCUACAAAUAAGUUGGACUAUCAUUAUUAACUUUGCAUCUUUUGGUUUCAAUAUUAUGAUUAUGUGUAUCACUACGAUCGAGAUCCAACGAACUAUUUUCAUUGGGUGUGUAACCAUAUAAGGUUUUAUUCAUGUAAACAGAACAACAAUUUAUUCUCUUACUUAAAUGAAUAACCGUAUUACAAUAAACAUGAUCAAAUCAUAUUCAUGCUCAACGUAAACACCAAAUAACACUUAUUUAGGUUCAACACUAAUCCCGAAUUUUUAGGGAGUGUGCGAUGAUGAUCAUAUCAAUCUUGGAACCACUUCCAACACACAUCGUCACUUCACCCUUAACUAGUCUCUGUUUAUUCUGCAACUCCCGUUUCGAGUUACUAAUCUUAGCAACUGAACUAGUAUCAAAUACUGAGGGGUUGCUAUAAACACUAGUAAAGUACACAUCAAUAACAUGUAUAUCAAAUAUACUUAUGUUCACUUUGCCAUCCUUCUUAUCUGCCAAUCACUUGGGGUAGUUCCGCUUCCAAUGACCAGUCCCUUUUGCAGUAGAAGCACUUAGUCUCAGGCUUAGGAUCAGACUUGGGUUUCUUCACUUGAGGAGCAACUUGCUUGCCGUUCUUCUUGAAGUUCCCCUUCUUCUUUUUGCCAUUUUCUUGAAACUAGUGAUCUUGUCAACCAUCAACACUUGAUGCCCUUUCUUGAUUUCUACCUUCAUCAAUUUCAUCAUCAUGAAAAGCUCGGGAUUCGUUUUCGUCAUCCCUUGCAUACUAUAGUUCAUCACGAAGUUCUACUAACUUGGUGAUGGUGACUAGAGAAUUCUGUCAAUCACUAUCUUAUCUGGAAGAUUAACUCCCACUUGAUUCAAGCGAUUGUAGUACUCAGACAAUCUGAGCACAUGCUCACUAGUUGAGCGAUUCUCCUCCAUCUUUUGGCUAUAGAACUUGUUGGAGACUUCAUAUCUCUCAACUCGGGUAUUUGCUUGAAAUAUUAACUUCAACUCCUGGAACAUCUCAUAUGCUCCAUGACGUUCAAAACGUCUUUGAAGUCCCGAUUCUAAGCCAUUAAGUAUGGUGCACUAAACUAUCAAGUAGUCAUCAUAUUGAGCUAGCCAAACAUUCAUAACGUCUGUAUUUGCUCCUGCAAUAGGUCCGUCACCUAGCGGUGCAUCAAGGACAUAAUUCUUCUGUGCAGCAAUGAGGAUAAACCUCAGAUCACGGAUCCAAUCCGCAUCUUUGCCACUAACAUCUUUCAACUUUGCUUUCUCAAGGAACGCAUUAAAAUUUAACGGAACAACAUCACGAGCCAUCUAUCUACAAUCAACAUAAACAAGCAAGAUACUAUCAGGUACUAAGUUCAUGAUAAGUUUAAGUUCAAUUAAUCAAAUUACUUAAGAACUCCCACUUAGAUAGACAUCCCUCUAAUCUUCUAAGUGAUUACGCGAUCCAAAUCAACUAAACCAUAACCGAUCAUCACGUGAGAUGGAGUAGUUUUCAAUGGUGAACAUCGUUAUGUUGAUCAUAUCUACUAUAUGAUUCACGCUCGACCUUUCGGUCUCCGUGUUCCGAGGCCAUAUCUGCAUAUGCUAGGCUCGUCAAGUUUAACCUGAGUAUUCUGCGUGUGCAAAACUGGCUUGCACCCGUUGUAGAUGGACGUAGAGCUUAUCACACCCGAUCAUCACGUGGUGUCUGGGCACGACGAACUUUGGCAACGGUGCAUACUCAGGGAGAACACCUCUUGAUAAUUUAGUGAGAGAUCAUCUUAUAAUGCUACCGUCAAUCAAAGCAAGAUAAGAUGCAUAAAAGGAUAAACAUCUCAUGCAAUCAAUAUAAGUGAUAUGAUAUGGCCAUCAUCAUCUUGUGCUUGUGAUCUCUGUCUCCGAAGCACCGUUAUGAUCACCAUCGUCACCGGCGCGACACCUUGAUCUCCAUCGUAGCAUCGUUGUCGUCUCGCCAAUCUUAUGCUUCCACGACUAUCACUACCGUUUAGUAAUAAAGUAAAGCAUUACAUCGCGAUUGCAUUGCAUACAAUAAAGUUACAACCAUAUGGCUCCUGCCAGUUGCCGAUAACUCGGUUACAAAACAUGAUCAUCUCAUACAAUAAAAUUCUGCAUCAUGCGUUGACCAUAUCACAUCACAACAUGCCCUGCAAAAACAAGUUAGACGUCCUCUACUUUGUUGUUGCAAGUUUUACGUGGCUGCUACGGGCUUAAGCAAGAACCAAUCUCACCUACGCAUCAAAACCACAACGAUAGUUUGUCAAAUAGACUCCGUUUUAACCUUCGCAAGGACCGGGCGUAGCCAUACUUGGUUCAACUAAAGUUGGAGAGACAAUCGCCCGCAAGCCACCUGUGUGCAAAGCACGUCGGGGGAACCGGUCUCGUGUAAGCGUACGCGUAAUGUUGGUCCGGGUCGUCUCGUCCAACAAUGCCGCCGAACCAAAGUAUGACAUGCUGGUAGGCAGUAUGACUUAUAUCGCCCACAACUUACUUGUGUUCUACUCGUGCAUAUAACAUCAACAUAAAUAACCUAGGCUCGGAUGCCACUGUUGGGUUUCGUAGUAAUUUCAAAAAUUUCCUACGCACACGCAAGAUCAUGUGAUGCAAAGCAACGAGAGGGGAGAGUGUUGUCUACGUACCCACGCAGACCGACUGCGGAAGCGUUGACACGACGUAGAGGAAGUAGUCGUACGUCUUCACGAUCCAACCGAUCAAGCACCGAAACUACGACACCUCGGAGUUCGAGCACACGUUCAGCUCGAUGACGAUCCCCGGACUCCGAUCCAGCAAAGUGUCGGGGAAGAGUUCCGUCAGUACGACAGCGUGGUGACGAUCUUGAUGCACUACAGCAGCAGGGCUUCGCCUAAACUCCGCUACAGUAUUAUCCAGGAAUAUGGUGGCUGGGGGCACCGCACACGGCUAAGGAAUAGAUCACGUGGAUCAACUUGUCUCUUUCUGGGGUGCCUCUGCCUCAGUAUAUAAAGGACUAGAGGGGGGAGGCUGGCCGGCCAUAGGAGGCGCGCCAGGAGAGUCCUACUCCCUCUGGGAGUAGGAUUCCCCCCCCCCCAAUCCUAGUUGGAAUAGGAUUCGCGGAGGGGGAAAAGAGAGAGAGGGGGCCGGCCACCUCUCCUAGUCCUAAUAGGACUAGGGGAAGGAGGAGGCGCGCAGCCCAUGUAGGGCUGCCUCUUCUCUUUUCCACUAAGGCCCAUCAUGGCCCAUUAAGCUCCCGGGGUUCCGGUAACCUUCCCGGUACUCCGGUAAAAUCCCGAUUUCACCCGGAACACUUCUGAUAUCCAAACAUAGGCUUCCAAUAUAUCAAUCUUUAUGUCUCGACCAUUUCGAGACUCCUCGUCAUGUCCGUGAUCACAUCCGGGACUCCGAACAACCUUCGGUACAUCAAAAUGCAUAAACUCAUAAUAUAACUGUCAUCGUAACCUUAAGCGUGCGGACCCUACGGGUUCGAGAACAAUGUAGACAUGACCGAGACACGUCUCCGGUCAAUAACCAAUAGCGGGACCUGGAUGCCCAUAUUGGCUCCUACAUAUUCUACGAAGAUCUUUAUCGGUCAGACCGCAUAACAACAUACGCCGUUCCCUUUGUCAUCGGUAUGUUACUUGCCCGAGAUUCGAUCGUCGGUAUUCCAAAUACCUAGUUCAAUCUCGUUACCGGCAAGUCUCUUUACUCGUUCUGUAAUACAUCAUCCCGCAACUAACUCAUUUAGUUGCAAUGCUUGCAAGGCUUAAGUGAUGUGCAUUACCGAGAGGGCCCAGAGAUACCUCUCCGACAAUCGGAGUGACAAAUCCUAAUCUCGAAAUACGCCAACCCAACAUCUACCUUUGAAGACACCUGUAAUGCUCCUUUAUAAUCACCCAGUUACGUUGUGACGUUUGGUAGCACCCAAAGUGUUCCUCCGGCAAACGGGAGUUGCAUAAUCUCAUAGUCAUAGGAACAUGUAUAAGUCAUGAAGAAAGCAAUAGCAACAUACUAAACGAUCGGGUGCUAAGCUAAUGGAAUGAGUGAUGUCAAUCAGAUCAUUCUAUUAAUGAUGUGAUCCCGUUAAUCAAAUAACAACUCAUUGUUCAUGGUUAGGAAACAUAACCAUCUUUAAUUAACGAGCUAGUCAAGUAGAGGCAUACUAGUGACACUUUGUUUGUCUAUGUAUUCACACAUGUAUUAUGUUUCCGGUUAAUACAAUUCUAACAUGAAUAAUAAACCUUUUAUCAUGAUCAUAAGGAAAUAAAUAAUAACUUACCUGAUAGUUUUGGUGUUCUCUUCUAGGCGUAAACGCUAGAUUGGCUCCACAAGAACAGUCAGCCACACACAGACGUACUGAGGCGGUCACUAGAGAGGUUGCUUGGCGGUGAGCAUCUAAAGAGCCAUGAGCCCCCAAAACGGUAGAUACGAUCACUCAUGCGGACUGCCGACGUCUAGAUUGGCCUUGCGAUGACACAAGAAUUGCCCAUGAGCCCCCAAAACAACUACGAUGUCGAUCACACAUUACUAGAAAAAUAAAUCAUGGGCGGUGAUCGAGCUAAUAAAAGGUCGCCUCAAAAGUAUAUUUUGAUGGAAGAAAAAGAAAGAUAAAAUCAUGCACGCAGAUAUGACAAAUUCCUUUUUGCAAGGUCACGAGGCCAAACGAAAAGCCUUGAUCAUUUUCAACGGAUGAGAUGAAGCCACGUUACUUCUUCUUCCCCAUAUCUCCGUCCCUGUCUCUUAUAGUUAUAGAGAGCAGGGCAACAACAAAACAUACUACUCCCUACUCGUCAGAGCUCCAUCUCCCGCCGCCGCCGGCUUCGCACCUCCGGCGCCACCGCCUCCGCCGCCGUCCUCCUCCGUGGUAGGAUCCUCCGAGACCGUGCGCCCCGCUACGCCUGCCUGGUCCUCGCCGAAUCUUCCGCCAGGUACAGCCACAUGCCGAGCACGGAGAUUUCUUGGCUCUCCUCCUCCCCCCCUCUCUAGUUCGCCGGCUUGGAGUUCAGAUCCGCCCGGGUUCCGGAUUGAUUUUAUCUCGCUGCACUGGUGGCGAACCCUAACCUGCUGGCCUGGAUUGGGUUAUCGCGGGAGAUCAGUCUAGCUCUGGUGCUCUCUUUGCUCGCCCUCGGCGAUCUACUCCGAAAUAGAUCUCUAUGGGGUGGAAGGGUACUCCAAUCCAGUCCAGCCCACCCCAAUCAAAUCCAUCCAAUUCGUUGCGGCCCGGCCUGUGGAAGCACCAAUUGCCAGCUGAUUCCAGACUCCAGAGGAUACUUUACUUGGGUUCAGUUCAACUGAAUGCCUUGUGCCGUAGGUCUAGGAUAAGAGGGAUCCUUCUUGAUCUGAUGAAGAUGGCAGCACCUUGCUCCGGGGAAAAGGGGGCGAUGAUUCCCAACACACAACAGGGGUUGUACAAGGGGAAUGAAUUCUUGAAACAGCUCGGCUCUGUCUUUUCUUUAUUUCCUCUCGGACAGGCCCUCUUUUUUCAUUCGAAUGGAAGGGGGCAUAUGUAGUUAGUCUAGUAUAUGAUAGCAUCGAGCUUCAGGAUUGGGCGCGGUCUUCCGUCUUGCCGUCUAGCGCAAGCGUGCAUGUUAACAUAAGAAUGAUAUUUUGUAACUAGCGGCGCCCUUCGACUGACGGCGUUGCUUGAUUUUAGCUCAUCCGUACAAUCGUGGAUUCUAGCGUGACGUGAUCUGUGUUUGUCGACAGGUGCCGAAUGGAGGAGGUUGACCCCGCCUCAGCUAAUAGCCAAGCUUCGACUGGUGAUGCUGCGGCAGAUCAGCCUAUCAACGUGUACGUGUGGGACUUGGAUGAAACACUUAUUCUGCUCAAGUCCCUGCUAGAUGGGUCGUUUGCCGGGCAUUUUGAGGGCCUCAAGGACCAUGAAAAAGGUACUGAAAUAGGCAAGCGCUGGGAGAACAUCAUUCUUGAACUCUGCGAUGAGCACUUCUUCUAUGAGGAGGUCAGUCGACACCUCAAAUCUUGUCUGCUGACAGCUUACUAGAGCAAUGUGUUUCUCUAUGCACGUCAUUGUGCAUAUGGAUAUGUCAUUGCUAUCUACUGAUAGUCUUGUUCUCUCACGUAUGCAGAUUGAGAACUACAAUCAACCCUAUCUCAGUUGUUUACAUGAGUAUGAUGAUGGGAAAGACUUGACAAAAUAUGAUUUUGAGGCCGACUGCUUUAGUUCUCCUUUUGAUGAUGUGAAUAAAAGGAAGCUUGCCUACAGGCAUCGUGCUAUUGGAGACAAGUAUGCAAAGGUGUCACAAUAAUUAAUUUAUCUCACUCUAUUUCCUUCAACUUUUGUUAAAUGAUUAAGCAGUGUUGUUGCAUUUAGAAGUGACCUUCUACAUAUGCUGACAUCCAAUGUCCAUAUUACUCUUGUAAAAACUAUAAUAUUUCAUUCCGUUUCAUGAAAAUGACUGAACAACUCAUAUAACAUGAUGAGUGAAUUCAUAUAGUAGCAGUCUCUGUUUUCUGUAGCAACAUCUUCUUUUGUGGUAUUUGGUUGAUAGUGCUCAGGCCUAAUCCUUGUGAUGUUUGUACUUGGCCUUAAUUUUCGACGGUGUGUAGAAAGUGGUAGUGCUAUGUCAGGCAAUUCAGUGUGCAAACUUUUUGUUCGUACAACUCCUUCGACGUGCAUAUCCUGAUCUUGUAACACAAGACAUCCAGUUUUGUUUAGAGAUGUCAAGAUUUUUUUUCCUUAUGAGCUUCCAGACUGCGUGGUAGUCUAAUAAACAUCUGGUUAUUUCUGCAAGAGCUUUAUAUUAAGCACUGACCGUAUUUAAAUAGUUACCAUAGUUUUUUUUCCUUUUUUGGCUUUCCGUGAGGGUGGGGGUGGUCUUGCAUCAAGGUGAUGGGCAAUGUCAAGAAAGUGUCUGUGUUCUGUAAAUUAGGAUCAGGCAGCUGAACUGCAGUAGGUAUAUGAGAUUAAGUGGACACCAGAACAAUGGUAAGAUGCCCCUUCUGCAGUGAUUCACCAGCAGUUUUGUGUUUCAUUGCAAGCACUUUUGUACAGAGGUUUAGAUCUUAGCAAAAAACUUGGUUUAGAAAUGGUAAGUAAAUAUGAGGUCUCGUAAGUUCUGUACUGGGUAUUUUCAGAGCAUCGUAACUGAAUAAACACUUCCCUGCCAUCAUUUGGUAAUUGAAUGCUCUUCAGCUUCUGUUUAGUUGCAACUUUUGGACUUAUUAUUGCUGCAGUCAUUAAUUUCUGCAUUCUACUAUUUCUGUUUGUGUCAUGUUUGAACUACUAAGCUCAGCUGCGUUGGUGUUUCUUCAGGGUUUGCAAAAAAUUCUGGACCACCGCAUGUUCAAAGUCUGGAGUGAUUUGUAUAGUUCAACAGACAAAUAUACUGAUGGCUGGCUUUCUUCAGGUAUUCUGAUUCAUACUAGUUUGGGGGAACUUCUUUUACUAAUGAGAAAGUAUCAAUAUUCAAUCAAGAGAUACUUCUGAUAUUUUGUUUGUGGUUGGCCAAAAAAGGUUGUGGACAUCCAUUGUGGCUAUAAGUAUUAUUUCCAAAAGUCGGCUAGUGCCUAAUAGCGCUGCUUAAUGCAAAUUAUGUAAUCCAAGAUAAUAACUGUAAUAUCAAAUCAAGAGACUGCUGAAUUUUCUACUUUCAGUAAGUGGAAAAGAAGAGGGUGCUUUCAGUUUCUUGGCGCACUAGAUUAUGCUAUGAUCAUGGUAUACAUGUUUACCACCAAGAGAAUACAUUACGUAAUGAAUAAUAUGUUACAAUCUAGAAUUUUGUUUUUGGGUUUCCGUAUGUACCGUUGGUUGGGAAAUAUGUUCAAGUGAUGUUAUCCUUUGAUAGCAUUCUUGUUAACUUUAAUAACCUUUCUCUGCACUGAAAUUGUUUGCCUACUCUAAAAAAACUGAAUUACAUGUACAAUCUAAGCUUACUAUUGAUUCAAUUUUGUAUGCUUGAAUACUCAAUACCGUUCCCCUGCUAUGCAGCUCAUAAGUUGCUGGAAGAAGCGCUGGGUAAAUCAACAGCUGAGCCUGUUGUCAAAUCUUCAAGUAUCAAUUGCAUAGUUACUUCAGGGUCCCUGGUUCCGAGCAUUGCCAAAUGUUUGCUGUAUCGCCUGGACGAUGUGGUCUCAUCAGAUAAUGGUUCGUCUCUAAUGUUGUCACAACUGUUUUCGGCCGCUUCAUCUGUGUUGCAUAUUGCAAGCUGUGAAUCUGUUACCUGAAAUAUACUAAUGGCAACAAAUUGUCUCCUUGCAUGAGCAGUUUACAGCUCGUGGGAAUCGGGGAAGCUGCAGUGCUUCAAGUGGAUCAAGGAACGCCAUGGCGGCCCGAACGUCCGCUUCUGCGCGGUUGGAGACGGCCCCGAGGAGCGCAGCGCAGCUUCCAUAAUGAAAUGGCCGUUCGUCAAGAUCGAGAUCCGCCCCGAUGCUCCUCACAGGUUCCCCGGCCUGAGCCUGUCGACGAUCCAUGGCAUCAUGGACGCCGUGUACCAGUCAUCGGGCAAAGACGGUUGACCUCUGGUGCGCGAGGCGGCAUAGAUGUCUUGAGGCAUCAGUCGCCAUGGACGAGGAGUCCAGUCAGGUGAUAGUUCAAUGGAACCGCAUAGUGGAGAUACCAUAUAUAUAGGAGGCAUAUUGCCCUCCCUGCCUGGAGGAUCCGGGGACGCCUGUGAGAUAAAUAAAGAGCGCCCGACCAUAUAGUUUGAUCCGUUCCGGCAUGUUUGAAUUGAAUUCUGCCAGUGUUUGCCCACCUUACUGUCAUCUGGGGAAUCGUCUGCUGAUGUAAGUCGUAACCGUUGGUUGGUUGUUGUGGCAAGUCUGUAUCUUUGUGCUUUGGCAUCUCAGAUUUGAUGGUGUACAUGGGAAUUCUGGUCCAGCGAAAAGUUCAUUCUAGUCCCCUGAAUUGCCAAAUCCUUGACUACCUCUUUGGUUUGCAGGCAGUUCUUUUACAAUUUGUUACCAAGUGUUUCCUGUGAAAUCCAUGCAGUACAUUUCAGGAGGCAGACUUUUUUAUUUUUGCAGGGAUUUUGGAGUCGGGCUUUUUCUAUUUUCUGGAGUCAGACUUGGGCAGAUCCAUGUUACAAAUACUCCUCGGUUACUGUUUUUCCCAUGAAACGAGAACAAGAGCUAAUCAACAAAUAUUGAAGAGAUAACAACAGUGUGUCUAAAUCAAUCUUCAAUCUUAUACUCAAUGCUAGAUACAUCCAUUUAAGCGACAACCAAUUCCAGACGGAGGAAGUACAAAUCAAAUGACAAACAAACACUGAAGAAUGAACAACAAUGUUUCUCAACCGAUCUUAAACCAAAAUGGCAACUUCUUGCAGUUGAGAUCUGAAAGAAAAUUGUUUUUAUCAAGAUGAAAAGGUGAUAGUUUCCCCUGACGCAUUGAUUAGUAUCUUAGGUGUCCAAGAUGAAGAGGUGUUGCUUCAAUAAAUCUAUGGAAGUUCAGUCUGUAUUAAUACAUGGAGAUACGCCAUGAAAAUGAGCACCUAUCAUAUCUGUGAAUAGAAAAGGCAUUAAUACGAGGAUAUCCAAAAUGAGAACCAACAUAUUUGUGCAUACCUAAACAAUAGUCAUUCUGAUACCUAUGUUCAAACUGUAUACUGCAUUUAUGAAUCACCAACACAUCCGCGCAAGCAAAAGCAUAAGACCAACAUUGAUCAUUUCGAAAUCCUUAUCAAGCUGUGUUGCAUUAGCAUACAACUAGCACUAAUAUCAGGAGAUCCAAAGUGAGCAUCAAAAUAUCUACAUAUCUCUGCACUAAAUAUACACUAAUCCUUUGGAUAUCCACUGCCAAACUGGAUACUUGCAUUCACGAACCCCCACUAUACCUGAUUUGUAUAAAUACCUAUGCAUAUAUCACCUCAAUCCAUCCAACCAUCCAUCCAUUUCUGCCUCAGGCAUCGGUCUCUAUCCAUCUAUCCCCACCACACCCAGCCAAUUCAAGGCUUCUCGCAGGCCUUGCGGCAAUGGCAACAUCACAUAUGACCACCACCGUCUUCUCUGCCAUCGUCAUCAUUCUUCUUUCCUCAGCCAUGGCCGCUCAGAGCAGCGGCGAUGUCGGUGGCAAGAAGCCCAAGCCUACUGACUUCAUGCUGGAAGCGUGCAAGAAUGCCUCGAACUGGUCCAAGAGCUACAACGAAGGUUACAACUACGUGACCGCGGAAUUUUGCAUCUCGACCCUCCUCUCCGACAACCGGAGCGCCGACGCCAAGGACCGUCGCGACUUGGCGCUCAUACCCGUCGACAUCCUCAAGGAGCGUGUUGUCACCGCCGGUGGCAACGUCAAGAAGAUGCUGCACAGCACCAAGAACAGCACGUCGACGACAGCACGCCAUCUCAGAACCUGCGAGCUGGACUACACGGCCACCGCGGGCAUCCUCAACUUCUGCGACGCCUUGAUGAGGGACUACCAGGGUGACAGGAGAAGCGAGGACGAAGACAACGACGGGCCCCUAAACUUCGAGCUGCCUGAAUGUGUGGACGAGGCGAACGAGGCCUGGGGCUACUGCGGGCUUGCUCUUCUUCAUAUACCGGGGGCGGAGGCGCUGGUCAAGGAAGGCGAUGAACUACAGAUGCUGAUGAAUCUCAGCAUUGCCUUGCUAUCACCAUACAGACUGGACUGAUUCAUGACAUGCUUUUUUCUGCCAGAAAAAAACAUACAGUAUUAAUGUUGCAACGUCAAUUCUACUUCCAUUUGGAAUAAUAGGAAUAAUGCUUCAUCAUCAUAUAUAGAGUAUUUUUUUUUUCGAUCAGAAGGGCCACGCGGCCCCCAUUUUCAUUACGAAAAUGGAGUCACAGCAUACGAAUCAAGUUUCAUACAGACUUAAACUUUUUUCGAUGCCUAACAUAUGCAUCAUGAAAAAAAACUACUCCUACAUCUUGAGGCACUUCAACUGCACCUACAGGAUGCUACAACAUCUUGAAGCUCAUCAACAUCUUGAAGCUCAUCAACAAAAAGCUUCAUUUUUGCAUCAUGUGAAAUAACUCACUACAACCUGAGAUACCAAACUCUGCACCUACAGGGUGUUAUAGCAAAAGAACAAGAGAGAUCAUCACAAAUGCUACAUCUAUCACCACUUGAUCAACAGAGCCUCCGUACAGCAGGCCCCCAACCGUAAACACGCUUGAAGACGUCCCUCGCUAUCUGGGCCAACCUCUUGGUCACUUCCUUAAGAGUUUUUUGCACUCCUCUUUUCUGUAGCACACCCCACGAAUCCAACACAGAACAUAAGGAGAAGAUAAUAUCAGUAGGAUCUUUAGAUAAAGAACUUUGAAAGCAAGAUUUAUUUCUUGUUUUCCAGAUCGACCAUAAUAAAGCAGCCGUACCAAUAGCUAUAACCACUAUAUCUUUCCCAGUAUACUUAGGAAGCCAAUUCUGACAAAAGUCAAAAAAUGACAGGGGUGUUUGGGGAUUUCCCAAAGCACUCCCAACUACAUUCCAAAGAAACCGAGCAAAAGAGCAAGUGAAAAACAGAUGGUCAAUACGUUCAUUGGCAUCACAAAAUUCACAUUUGUUGGUGCCUUUCCAGCCUUUUUUACACAAAUUGUCCUUGGUCAGGAUCCUCCCUUUGAUAACUAACCAAAUAAAAGCCUUAAUUUUCAAAGGUACCUUCAGUCUCCACAGAAACUUAAAAGGGAACACUACUCUCCUAGCAAUAAUAUAUUGAUAAAGAGAUUUAACAGAGAACUGGCCAGAGCUGGUCAAAAGCCAUUUGACUUUGUCAGGUUCCUUACUCAGAACAACCUGACCGCACAUAUCUAGAAGUUUAUUCCACAUAUCCAAUGUCUCCCCAUAUAAACAUCUCCUAAAUCUAAUGCAGUUAAAAUCUUGUUCAAAUGCUUUAGCAACUGUAAUGUUUUGAUGGAAAGUAAGUUUCUACAAGUGAGGAAAAAGUUGACAGAGAGGCUUGUUGUGGAUGCAAGCAUCUUCCCAAAAACUAGUUUUACACCCAUCUCCAACAAUUCUCUGACAGCAUUUGUAAAAGAUAUCUUUAACACUCAUGAUACCAUUCCAGAAAUGAGAGUUGGCAGGAGAUGAUUCACAUUGAGACAAAGUUUUCCUCUUCAAAUACUUUGCUCUAAUCAUCUCCUGCCAAUCCCCAUCUUCAUUCUCAAGUCUCCAGAGCCAUUUACACAAAAUACUAAUAUUCUUGAUAUCCAGAUUAGUAACACCCAACCCCCCUUAGUCUCUAGGUUGACGACAUCAAGCCAGUUAACUAAAUGAAACUUCCUAACCCCCUCUUUCUCUUGCCAAAGCACCCGAGCUCGAAAGAAGUCGAUUCUUUUGCCUACUCCCUUUGGUAGACGGAAAAAGUUAAGUAAAUGACUAAUGACGUUACUCAAGCAAGUUUCAGUACGGAUAAGCCUACCAUCCAUAGAUAAAAGAGCCCCCUGCCACGCUGCAACUCCUUUCUCUACUUUUUCUUUCGCUGGCUUCCGGUCAGCAUUACAAAGCUUUUUAUAAUGCAGGGGAAGACCUAAAUACUUAAAAGGAAGGUAACAGGAUUUUUAUAACGCUGGCUUCCACCCAUAGAGUAUUUAUGUCCAUUGAUUAAUUUCCAAUCUUUUUUCUGAAACAAGAUUUGAAAAAAACCAUGGCGUUCCAUGCAAAUCCAAAAAGCUAACAAAAGGUAACAGGAUUUUUCAUUAAUGAUUUCAGACAACUGGAACAUAGACAUCCUCAAGAAGUUCACCAUAAUCACUGCAAUUAUCAAAGCAGUAUGACACAAAACUUUGUCGAUCUGUUACUCCCUCCUGUAGGAGAGAAGGAUUAGGAGGAAUGAUUCACCACACUUUUAUUAAGCUCUCGGCUGGGUCUUAUGUACAGAUUACAGGGCCAGCCAGGGAGAUCAUGGGGUGAUCCACUACCUGGGAUCGUGCGCCACGAUCAUAUACACACACGCUACACCUAGUGUCUACGCAACUACGGUAUAGCAGUNNNNNNNNNNNNNNNNNNNNNNNNNNNNNNNNNNNNNNNNNNNNNNNNNNNNNNNNNNNNNNNNNNNNNNNNNNNNNNNNNNNNNNNNNNNNNNNNNNNNNNNNNNNNNNNNNNNNNNNNNNNNNNNNNNNNNNNNNNNNNNNNNNNNNNNNNNNNNNNNNNNNNNNNNNNNNNNNNNNNNNNNNNNNNNNNNNNNNNNNNNNNNNNNNNNNNNNNNNNNNNNNNNNNNNNNNNNNNNNNNNNNNNNNNNNNNNNNNNNNNNNNNNNNNNNNNNNNNGGUGGCGGAGGCGACGCAAAGACUGGACGGAACUCAGAGAAAACAUCCGAUGGCAGGCCUUUGGUUAUGAUGUCGGCGAGUUGUUGGCGCGUGGGGAUGUGAAGAACACGGAAGUGGCCGAGGGAGACGCGCUCGCGCACGAAAUGGAUGUCCAGCUCCACAUGCUUAGUGCGGUGAUGAUGCAUCGGAUUGGCUGACAGGUAGACUGCGGACACAUUGUAACAGUACACCAGUGUCGCCUUGGUCACCGGAGCGGAGAGUUCGCCGAGGAGCUGGCGGAGCCAGAUGCAUUCAGUGACCGCGUUGGCGACCCCGCGGUAUUCAGCUUCGGCGCUGGAGCGCGAUACGGUCGCCUGGCGCUUGGAGGACCAGGAGACGGGAGCAUCGCCGAGGAAGAUGCAGAAGCCCGACGUGGAGCGCCGGGUGUCGGGGCAGCCGGCCCAGUCCGCGUCGGUGAACACACGGACGUCGAGCAUGGUCGAGGCGCGAAGAUGAAGCCCGAGUGCGCAGGUGCCCUUCACGUACCGGAGCACGCGCUUGACAAGCGCGAGGUGGCAUUCGCGCGGGUCAUGCAUGUGCAAGCAGAUUUGCUGGACGGCGUAGGCGAUCUCUGGAUGCGUGAUGGUGAGUGAAGGAGUCCUGGAUUAGGGGGUGUUCGGGUAGCCGGACUAUACCUUCAGCCGGACUCCUGGACUAUGAAGAUACAAGAUUGAAGACUUCGUCCCGUGUCCGGAUGGGACUUUCCUUGGCGUGGAAGGCAAACUUGGCGAUGCAGAUAUUCAAGAUCUCCUACCAUUGUAACCGACUCUAUGUAACCCUAACCCUAUCCGGUGUCUAUAUAAACCGGAGGGUUGUAGUCCGUAGGCAAUCAACUCCAUAUACAACAAUCAUACCAUAGGCUAGCUUCUAGGGUUUAGCCUCCGUGAUCUCGUGGUAGAUCUACUCUUGUACUACCCAUAUCAUCAAUAUUAAUCAAGCAGGACGUAGGGUUUUACCUCCAUCAAGAGGGCCCGAACCUGGGUAAAACAUCGUGUUCCCUGCCUCCUGUUACUAUCCGGCCUAGACACACAGUUUAGGACCCCCUACCCGAGAUCCGCCGGUUUUGACACCGACAUUGGUGCUUUCAUUGAGAGUUCCUCUGUGUCGUUGCCUUUAGGCCCGAUGGCUCCUUUGAUCAUCAACAAUGAUGCGGUCCAGGGUGAGACUUUUCUCCCCGGACAGAUCUUCGUCUUCGGCGGCUUCGCUCUGCGGGCCAAUUCGCUCGGCCACCCGGAGCAGAUCAAAAGCUACGCCCCUGGCCAUCAAGUCAGGUUUGAAAGCUUAAACUACACGGCUGACAUCCGCGGAGACUUGAUCUUCGACGGGCUCGAGCCACGGCCAAGCGCGCCGCACUAUCUCGAGGGGCAUGAUCUAGCUCUGCCCCCGGACAGUGUCCUGGAGGCCGCACACGCAUCGGUUCCGACCCCUAAAUCGGAGCCUAUUGCGCCAAUCGAGAAUGAGCGGUUGGACGUCACCUCGGGGGCUGCGAUCCCGAAAGCGAUCGAGCCGAAUGCUAGCCCCGCACUCUGCACGACCCAUGACUCCGAGGAUCCGGACUCCUCCCGGACUCCGAACCCCCCGCGCCCUUGCCAAUCGAAUCCGAUUGGGCACCGAUAAUGGAGUUCACCGCCGCAGACAUCUUUCAGCAUUCGCCUUUUGGCGACAUCCUGAAUUCUCUUAAGUCUCUCUCUUUAUCAGGAGAGCCCUGGCCGGACUACGGUCAGCGAGGGUGGGAUACGGACGAUGAGGAAAUUAAAAGCCCACCCACCACCCACUUUGUAGCCACUGUCGACGAUCUAACCGACAUGUUUGACUUUGGCUCCGAAGAUAUCGACGGCAUGGACGACGAUGUAGGAGACGAACAGGAACCGGCACCUGUAGGGCGCUGGAAGGCCACCUCGUCAUAUGACAUAUAUAUGGUGGAUACUCCAAAAGAUGGAGAUGGAGAUGGAACAGUGGGGGAUGACGCCCCCAAGAAACAGCCAAAGGGCCGGCGUCAGCGGCGCCGCUCUAAAUCCUGCCAAAGCAAAAACGGUGAUUCCGACACGGGAGAUAAUACUACCCCGGAUAGCGCCAAAGAACACCCACCUCAACAAGAUUCGGCACAGGAAGAUGGAGAAGCCAGCCCUCAUGAGUGAGCGGUAGACCGAGAGGUCGAGGAUGAUAACUAUACGCCUCCCUCCGAAGACGAGGCAAGCCUCGAUGACGACGAAUUCAUCAUACCAUCAGACCCCGCCGAACAAGAGCGUUUUAAACGCAAGCUUUUAGCCACGGCAAGCAGCCUCAAGAAAAAGCAGCAAUAGCUUAGAGCUGCCCAAGAUUUGCUAGCUGACAGAUGGACUGAAGUCCUUGCGGCCGAAGAGUAUGAACUCGAACGCCCCUUCAAGAGUUACCCGAAGCGCAGGCCGCUACCCCGAUCAGAGGAGGAAGCACCUACAUCACCAGCGCAUGACAUGGCAGACUGGCCACCUCGCGGCCGCGACAGAGAAGCCUCUCGGCCCUCCACCCAAGCCAUGCCCCGACGCCGCUCAACUAAGGCACGAGAAAAUGUGCCCGACCUGCGAGACAUACUGGAGGAUAAGGCAAGACAAACAAGAUCGAUCUACGGAUCGCGCAGGCGCCCUACGGCAUGUGACAAUGAUCUUCACUCCGGAUACAAUAAAUCCGGCCGGGCCGAACACAACAGACAUAGCUCUUCUGAGCUGCGUCGUGAUAUAGCCCAGUACAGAGGCGCCGCACACCCGCUAUGCUUCACGAAUGAAGUAAUGGAUCAUAAAAUCCCAGAGGGUUUCAAACCCGUAAACAUCGAAUCAUACGAUGGCACAACAGAUCCGGCGGUAUGGAUCGAGGAUUAUCUCCUUCACAUCCACAUGGCACGCGGCGAUGAUCUACACGCCAUCAAAUACCUCCCGCUCAAACUUAAAGGACCGGCCCGGCAUUGGCUUAACAGCUUGCCAGCAGACUCAAUCGUUUCUUGGGAGGACCUGGAAGCCGCAUUCCUCAAUAACUUCCAGGGCACUCACGUACGACCACCGGAUGCCGACGACUUAAGCCACAUAAUUCAGCAGCCAGAGGAAUCGGCCAGACAAUUCUGGACACGGUUCCUAACAAAGAAAAACCGGAUAGUCGACUGUCCGGACGCAGAGGCCCUAGCAGCCUUCAAGCAUAACAUCCGCGACGAGUGGCUUUCCCGGCACCUGGGACAGGAAAAGCCGAAAUCCAUGGCAGCCCUCACGACACUCAUGACCCGCUUUUACGCGGGAGAAGACAGCUGGCUAGCUCGCAGUAACAACUUAUCAAAGAACCCUGGUAAUUCGGAUACCAAGGACAAAAAUGGCAGGACACGUCGGAAUAAGCAAAAACGCCGCGUUAGCAGCGACAGCAAUGAAGACACGGCAGUCAAUACCGGAUUCAAAGGCUAUAAAUCCGGUCAGCGGAAAAAGCCAUUCAAAAAGAAUACUCAGGGCCCGUCCAGUUUGGACCGAAUACUCGAUCGCUUGUGCCAGAUACAUGGCACCCCCGAAAGGCCAGCCAAUCACACUAACAGGGAAUGUUGGGUGUUCAAGCAGGCAGGCAAGUUAAGGGCCGAAAACAGAGACAAGGGGCUGCAUAGCGACGACGAGGAGCCCAAGCCGCCGAACAACAAUGGACAGAAGGGCUUUCCCCCACAAGUGCGAACGGUGAACAUGAUAUACGCAACCCACAUUCCCAAGCGGGAGCGGAAGCGUGCGCUACGGGACGUAUACGCGAUGGAGCCAGUCGCCCCAAAGUUCAACCCAUGGUCCUCCUGCCCGAUCACCUUUGAUCGAAGGGACCAUCCCACUAGCAUCCGUCAUGGCGGCUUCGCCGCAUUGGUUCUCGACCCAAUUAUCGACGGAUUUCAUCUCACAAGAGUCCUCAUGGACGGCGGCAGUAGCCUGAACCUGCUUUAUCAGGAUACAGUGCGGAAAAUGGGCAUAGAUCCCUCAAGGAUUAAGCCCACAAGAACGACCUUUAAAGGCGUUAUACCAGGUGUAGAAGCCAACUGUACAGGCUCAGUAACACUUGACGUGGUCUUCGGAUCCCCGGACAAUUUCCGAAGCGAAGAGUUAAUCUUCGAUAUAGUCCCGUUUCGCAGUGGCUAUCACGCCCUGCUCGGACGAACCACAUUCGCAAAAUUCAAUGCGGUGCCGCACUACGCAUAUCUCAAGCUCAAGAUGCCAGGCCCUCGAGGAGUAAUUACGGUCAACGGAAACACCGAACGCUCCCUCCGUACGGAGGAUCAUACGGCGGCUCUCGCAGCGGAGGUACAAAGUAGCCUUCUCAGGCAAUUCUCCAGUCCGUCCAUUAAAAAGCCAGACACUGCCAAGCGCGCCCGGAGUAACCCACAGCAGGACCGCCUGGCACACUCUAAGCAAGCGUAGCAAUGCGGCCCCAACCCCAGCUUUCGCGACAUAGCGAAACCAGUACCUCGCGUACAUAACUACGCCCUUGAAAUACCAUGGGCACAGGGGAAGGGGCACAAUAACGGCACGCCCAAAAUACGGCUUAAAACGUACUAGGGGCUGCCGGAUUCUUUUUUUAAUUUUUUCUUACUUUCAGGACUCCAUACUUCGGACGACCUGUUCGGCAAUUCGACUGCCGCAUAAACGAUGCAAGAUCCAGGGAGGCAGACAAGCCAUGCCGCAUUAUGGAACUCCCAGGUGGUCUCUGUUACGAGCGGUAUACCUGUUUUAAAUACAAUUCCGCGGCCUGCCCCUGGUCAGGACAUGCUGAAUAGUCCAAUAUCUUUUGCUUACCGCACUAUUUGUAUCGUUCGGCUUUGAUAAAUAGCCUCUCUAUAAACAAUGCUUAGCUCCUUGUCUAUUUUUUGCAUUGUCUUCUUUUCACAUUUAUGUUUAUUAAAUGACAUGAUUGCACCCGUACACCAUGGUACGGCAAACACGCCAGGGGCUUCAGUACCCCUCAUAAUGGUGUGAGAAGUCCGUACACUUCCACAAGUGCGGCACCCCGAACUUAUAACACUAUAUGCAUCGGCUCCGAAUCAUGAUUUGGGUCAAUAGUUGGGUUUGCCCGGCUCCUAUGUUUUGGUGCCUUACGUUCCGCUCUAUCGGCUAAGGUAGCACUAGGAGAACCACUGUGAUUGUGCCCCGGUUCAGCUGGGUUAAGCACCUCAGUGGAGAAAGCUAAAACUGGCUGUCAUGAUGUGGCGACAGACCGGUCAUUGUUCGAGAGGUUUUUCGAGUCCCUAAAGGCUUAUGCCGCUUCGAGCGAGGAGCUGGCUUUGUCCGGCCAAGGCGUGGAUAGCGCCCCGAACUCGGUCUUUCGAACUAGGGGCUUCGCCGAAAUUUAAAAUUAUAGAGUUCUAUGGCUAAAUGAGAGUGUUCAAGCAUUAUAGUCCGAUUGCCUGGUUCGUUGUGCUGAGCGCCUCCCUCGAAGGACCCAACUAUGGGAAAAAGAGCGCUCAGGUUUAUCCGGAACACCCCAGCACUAGUGGCACGGGGGCAGAAGCCGACGACUGGCCAUCUCCCAAUUUUUGAUAAACGGCCACACAGAAAGUAAUAUUUUAAAUUCAAUAAGCAUUGCUUAGAGCAUAUGAACAAGUUUUCAGCGCACAGGAUAAACACGAGCGAGUUCAUUCAAAUAUCACAUCCUUGGUACAUUCAUCCGCCACAAGGCAGGCACCUGCAAGAACAUCCUUAUAGUAGUUCUCGGGUUUGCGAUGCUCCUUCCCCGGCGGCGGCCCGUCCUUCACAAGCUUCUCACCGUCCAGCUUACCCCAGUGCACCUUUGCACGGGCAAGGGCCCGACGGGCACCUUCGAUGCAGACGGAGCGCUUGAUGACCUCAAGCCUCGGAUAGGCCUCCACCAGCCGCCGCACCAACCCGAAAUAGCUCCCAGGAAGGGUCUCUCCGGGCCACAGCCGAACUAUGAAGCCCUUCAUGGCCUGCUCGGCCGCCUUGUGAAGCUCGACCAGCUGUUUCGGCUGGUCGCUCAAGGGCACAGGGUGUCCGGCCUCAGAAUACUGAGACCAGAACACCUUCUCCGUCGAGCUGCCCUCUUCAGCGCGGUAGAAUGCGGCGGCAUCGGAUACGCUGCGGGGAAGAUCUGCGAAUGUCCCUAGAGAGCUUCGGAUUCGGGUAAGUAACAGGUAGUUCACUUUUAUAUUUCUGCUUUGCAUAAAGAAUGCCUUACCCGCUGCUAUCUUCCUCAUCUCCUCCAACUCUUGGAGGGCCUUUUGGGCUUCGGCCUUGGCAGACUCUAGGGCCGUUGCAAGCUCGGAUGCUUGCGCCUUCGACUCCAGCUCCAAACUCUCAUGUUUUUUCAUGAGAGCCUGAAGCUCUUGCUGCACCUCGCCGACCUGAGCCCCAAGUCUGUCUCGCUCGGUGCGCUCCGCGGCCGUUUUCUUUUCGGCCUCAGACAGCGCCUGCUUAAGGGUCGCCACCUCAGUCGUGGCCCCUACAAUAAGCAGUACAAUCCUGUUACUCUUUUUACAAUCAAGCCUUUUUAUAGGCACUUUUUCUGUAAGGUAUUUCUUACCUUCUUCCUCCUUGAGCCGCCGCUUGGCAAGGCCAAGCUCUUGCUCGGUCCGCUCGAGGUCCUGCUUCAGGACACCCACCUCCGCAGUCAGCGCGGCGAUGGAUAGCAGCGAAGCCUGCAUACGCAUAUUGAUUCUUUUUUGUUAGACUCCUGCGAUAUUUAAUAGAUCCUCUAUUCGGCUUUUCUUUCCGAACGCCAAACAGAGCAUCAGGGGCUACUGUCUAUGCGUAAUAUUUUUACAUAUUUUUACUUACCUCGAAGCCUGUUAGAAGGCUAGCGCAAGCUUCAGUCAGUCCGCUCUUGGUGGACUGAACCUUCUGGAUCAUCGUACUCAUAAUAGUACGGUGCCCCUCGUCGAUGGAGGCAUCGUCAAGCACCUCCAGCAGAUUGUCCGGCACCUGCGGUUGGACGGAGGCCACCGGCUCAGAAGGCUUGCUCCUCUUGGAAGGAGUUCGCCUAUCGCGGUCCGGAACUGUUGAAGAUUCCAGCGCGGUGUCCGGCACAAAGCCGGACUGAGAGCCCUGGGGAGCCUUAUCCCCUUCACUCCUGGAGUCCGGGAGGUUGCCUUGCGGCUCCUCUGGGACCACCUCCUCCUGCCCCGGAGCUUGUCGCGACGCCACUUCGGCAUCGUCUGCAGUGCGGGGGGAGACAGUGGGUGGAACUGAGUUCACGUCCGAUGAGUCUAGGGAGCCGCCCGACGAUUCGUCGAAUUCGGCCCGGGGCGGACUGCAUAAUUACAUUCGACAUUAGGGAAAGCUGUGCAACAAAGGAACAUCAUGAGUUACCCUGAUAUCCGAACUUACGAUUUCGCCGGACGCUUGGCCCUGUUUGGCCACUCCUCUUUGCCCUCUUCGGCGUUGGGGGCGUAGUCUGGCGGAGGGGUCUUCCUUUUCCUAGACCCCUCGGCCUCCCCCGUCGGGGUGGCCUUCCUCUUCUCUCCUCCCUCCGCUGGGGGGGAGAGUUUUCUUCUUCCUCCUCCUCGUUUUCGCGGGAGGAGGGCGUCUCGGACUCGUCAGAUGACGAGUCCGACACCACCAUGUUGCGGGCACUCUUUCGAGUCCCCGUAGUCUUCUUUUUGGCCUUCUUCUCCGGCACCACAUAAGGCGCCGGAACCAGCAGCUUCGCUAGUAGAGCUGGGGCUGGGUCUUCGGGCAGCGGAGCCGGACAGUUAAUCGGUCCGGAUAUCGCCCACCAAGCCUGUCAAAGGUAAGGGAGUUUAGAUCCCGCAUAGAGUCAAACUAUGAAAAAAGCUUAACAUCCUGUAAAAGGUGCAGAUGGCAUACCUCGCUAGCGUGACGCUGCGAGCUGUAUCCGCGGUCCUCGGAAGCGGAUGCGGGAGUCUUGGCGCCCUUGAAUAGCAUCUUCCAGGUGUCUUCGUACAUCGUAUCGAAGAGCCUGCUGAGGGUUUGAUGCUGCGCCGGGUCGAACUCCCACAGAUUAAAAUCCCGUUGUUGGCACGGGAGGAUCCGGCGGACGAGCAUAACUUGGAUUACAUUAACAAGCCGGACUGGCUUGUUCACCAGGGACUGGAUGCAUGUUUGCAAUCCGGUCACCUCUUUUUCGUCAUCCCACGACAGGCCCGUCUUUUUCCAGGACAUAAGCCGCGUGGGGGGUCCGGAUCGGAACUCGGGGGCUGCGGUCCAUUUCGGAUCGCGCGGCUCGGUGAUAUAAAACCACCCGGAUUGCCAUCCCUUUAGGGUCUCCACGAAAGAGCCCUCGAACCAUAGGACGUUGGCCAUCUUGCCCGCCAUGGCGCCUCCGCACUCCGCCUAGCUGCCGCGCACCACCUUGGGCUUGACGUUGAAGGUCUUGAGCCAGAGGCCGAAAUGAGGGCGAACACGGAGAAAAGCCUCGCACACGACGAUAAACGCCGAGAUGUUGAGGAUGAAGUUCGGAGCCAGAUCAUGGAAAUCCAGGCCGUAACAUGAGCCCCCGGACAAAUGGGUGGAGUGGAAAACCCAGUCCGCGGAGGAAGUGGGGGAGAAAUACUACCCUCUCAUGGGGCCUUGGGGUGGGAAGAAGCUGCCCCUCUUCGGGAAGCCGGUGCGCGAUGUCCUUGGACAGGUAUCCGGCCUUCCUUAGCUUCUUGACUUUACCCUCCGUGACGGAGGAGACCAUCCACUUGCCUCCCGCUCCGGACAUUGCUAGAGAAGGUUCAGGUGGGAAGUGCGGGCUUGGGCGCUGGAGCUCGGGUGCGCAGGAGAUGGAUAGGCAAAGGAGGAAGAAGGCGUAGGUAAAAAGGUGGAUCCUUGUCCCCUUAUAUGGGCGGAUGUGGUUGUGCGUCCCCACCUGCCUAGUAAACUCACUUGCCUCCCAAGCGCCGUGAUAAGUGGCGCGGUUGGGUUACCCACGUCCGUAUUGAUGAGAAUCCCGUAAAAGGGGGGUACACGAUCUCUGCUUUGACAAGACGUGCCAAGGAAACCGCCUCGCAAAACACGUUGAGGUGGAAAAGUGAAAACGAUUCGAGUGAAGGACUUGGCUGUAGUGUGAUGACGCACUGCGGAAUACGUCAGCAGAUUUGAUUUGUGUUAAUAUUAUUCCCUCUAUGGCAAUAUGUGGAAGCUUAUUUUGCAGAGCCGGACACUACUCUUGGUGUUUACAAUCUUCUAUGAAGGACUUGGAGGAGGAGCCCGCCUUGCAAUGCCGAAGACAAUUUGCGCGCCAGACUCGUCGUCAUUGAAGCCUGGUUCAGGGGCUACUGAGGGAGUCCAGGAUUAGGGGGUGUUCGGGUAGCCGGACUAUACCUUCAGCCGGACUCCUGGACUAUGAAGAUACAAGAUUGAAGACUUCGUCCCGUGUCCGGAUGGGACUUUCCUUGGCGUGGAAGGCAAGCUUGGCGAUGCAGAUAUUCAAGAUCUCCUACCAUUGUAACCGACUCUAUGUAACCCUAACCCUAUUCGGUGUCUAUAUAAACCGGAGGGUUGUAGUCCGUAGGCAAUCAACUCCAUAUACAACAAUCAUACCAUAGGCUAGCUUAUAGGGUUUAGCCUCCGUGAUCUCGUGGUAGAUCUACUCUUGUACUACCCAUAUCAUCAAUAUUAAUCAAGCAGGACGUAGGGUUUUACCUCCAUCAAAAGGGCCCGAACCUGGGUAAAACAUCGUGUUCCCCGCCUCCUGUUACCAUCCGGCCUAGACGCACAGUUCGGGACCCCCUACCCGAGAUCCGCCGGUUUUGACACCGACAGUGAGGUACUGCAGGGUCCCAACGAUGCUCCGAUAGGCCGAGGGGUCGUUGACGCAGGGCCCAUCGGCUGAGGGGAGUUUGCUCUUCGUGUCGAUGGGCGUCGGGGAAGGGUGGCAGGUGUCCAUGCCGGCGCGUUUCAGGAGUUCGUCAACAUAUUGUUGUUGCGACAGGAAGAAGCCAGCUCGGGUGCGGGUGACGCGGAUGCCGAGGAAGAAGGCGAGCGAGCCCAGGUCCUUCAUGGCGAAUUCGCCUGUGAGGCGCUGGAUGACAUGGUGAAGCAUGCGUGAUGAGGAUGCGGUGAGCACGAUGUCGUCGACGUAGAGGAGGAGGAACGCCGUGUCGUUGCCGUGCCGGAAGGUGAACAACGACGAGUCCGAACACGUAGUUGCGAAGCCAAUGGAGCAAACAAAGCCGGCGAAGCGGAGGAACCAUGGGGCGCCUGCUUGAGCCCGUACAAGGACUUGGAGAGGCGGCAGACGUGCUCUGGUUUGUCGGGGUCGACGAAUCCGGCGGGCUGGAGGCAGUAGACUUCCUCCUCCAAGUUGCGAGGAAGACGUUGGAGACGUUGAGAUGGUGCACCGGCCAGCCGCGCGACGCGGCCAGAGUGAGCACUGUGCGGAUCGUUGCUGGCUUGACGAUAGGGGAGAACGUCUCGCCAUAGUCGACGCCGGCACACUGAUGAAAGCCCCGCACGACCUAGCGUGCUUUGUAGCGGGCCAGCGCGUCGGCGGCGUCGUUUUUGUGCUUGAAGAUCCACUUCCCUGUAAUCAGGUUGGCGCCGAGGGGCGGGGCACCAGCUCCCACAUGCGAUUGCGCACGAGCGCGUCGUACUUAGCACGCAUGGCACCGAGCCAGUUCGGGUCCCGACCCUCCAGUCCGACAACCGGAGCGCCGACGCCAAGAGCCCCAUCGACCUGGCGCUCAUACCCGUCCACAUCCUCAAGGAGCGCCUUGUCACCGCCGGUGGCAACAUUAAGGAAAUGCUGCACAACACCAAGAAUAGCACGUCGGCAACAGUGCGCCAUCUCCGAACCUGUGAGAUGGAAUACACGGCCAGUGCGAGCCUCCUAAACUUCUGCGACGCCUUGAUGGGGGACUACCAUGGUGAUGAUGACGAUAGUGUUUUGUCGUUCUACUACGAGCUGUCCGACUGUGUGAACACGGUGGACAAGGUCUCGGGCUACUGUUGGUUUGCUCUUCCUCAAAUUCCGGGGGCGGAGGCGCUUGCCAAGGAAAACAAGGAACUGAUGAAGCUGAUGUAUCUCAGCAUGGCCUUGCUAGAACCAUACGAAUAGCACACAAGUGUUGAUUCAUGAUAUGUUUUUUCUGCCAGAAAAAAACAUAUUAAUGUUGCAACAUUAAUUCUACACUAGUAGAAAACGGAGCUUUCAAACCGAUUCGUAAGGGCCUUUAGUGCCGGUUCCAUAACCGGCACUAAAGGGUGGGCACUAAAACCCCACCUCUUUAGUACCGGUUCGGCACGAACCGGCGUUAAAGUGCCACCACGUGGCAUGAGCUCGCGCCCUGGAAUGGGGAACCGGUACUAAAGGUUUUUUUUUGAAUUUUUUUUUGAAAAUUUUGUUUGAUUUUUUUUGAUUUUUAAUUUUUCUAAAUUAUUUAAUGAUUUAGUCUCUAAUCACCUCUCUUAACUGUUCAAGUGUGGAUCGCUCAUUCCAAAUCGCGUAACUUCCCAGCCGGUCACCCAUCCUCUCACUCCCUCAGCCUGAGCACGCUUAACUUCGGAGUUCUAUUCUUCCUACAUUCCAAGUCUGCACUUGUUGUUUCCUGAAAAAUGUAAGCUGUCAAUCCUAUUAACUCUCAGCAGUUUAGCUUGAGUAUUAAGUCACAUGUUUCACCGUUUGAGUUUGAAACUAUUAUUCUAAAAAACAGUAAUUAUUUAGUAACACUAAUAUUUCUUGAAUAAGUUUGACCAUAGUUUGACCACAAUUUGACCAUAGUUUGACUAGAUUUGACCAAAAAUUAAAAAAUUGAAAUAAUUAUUUAGUAACACUAAUAUUUUUGAAUAAUUAUGUAGUAACAUAAUACUUCUUGAAUAAGUAGUUUGACCAGAUUUAACCAAUUUUUUUUAAAAAAUCUAAAAUUUGACCAUAUCUUUUUUUCCUUUUGAAAUUUGAGGAUUUUAAAAAAUUGCAAACAAGCGGUAGGUCAUCUCCAUCGGAUGCGGAUUUUCGUGCUGAAUUUUUUGAUAUAUUAUACGUUUUUUCCGACAUCGUAUGCAAAAGUGAUAGCCGUUUUACAUUUUCUCUACACUUUUUGCAAAACAUGUUCAAGUUUAAGUUUUCAAAAUUUUCUAACUAGUAGAUGUAGUAAUAUAACUACCUCUCGAAGGAUUUAUUUUUUGAAGUUUUUAUUAUUUUUUUUUUGAUUUUUUUAAAACUGAAAUGGCGAUAAGGGGGUAGAGUUUGAAAAUUGCCCCCUUUAGUAUAGGUUCGUGGCAUGAACCAGUACUAUAUGUUAGACCGUUAGUAUCGAUUUGUGUCACAAACCGGUAUUUGACAGCUCUUUGUCGUCGUCUUGUGCGACAAAGCGCAGAGCUUCUGUUCGGCAGCUCCCGCGUUUCAUUACGAGGUCUUCAGAACAAGCGCAACGAGUUUAGCUCCCUGCGUGCCAGUACGAGGUUAGCUCCCUGCGUGCCAGUACGAGGUCUUUAGAACAAGCGCAACAAGUUCAUCUCCCUAGGUUCGGAUCGAGGCGACGCCACUGUCAAAUACAAGGAGAGCGCUCGAAUCACCCACCGCUAUCCUCCUGUCUCCCAUACGACCACGAGGAAGAGCCACCACCACUGACAUGGUGCCCGCCGGAGCUGCCUACGAGCUUUGUUUGUGCAUCCAUGACGGCGGUCUCCCAUACGACCACGAGGGAGAGCCGCCACCACUGACAUGGUGCCCGCCGGAGCCGCCUAUGAGCUUUGUUUGUGCAUCCAUGGCGGCAGCUGUGUUGAUGAUAGGGGAAGAAGAAGGAAGGAAAAGAAAACCUAGUGAUGUGUGCGCGAGCUGAAUCCAGUGGUUUUUAGUAGAAUGGGUUUGGUUCCUUAACAGGUCUCCGUUCCGUUUUUGGCUGGAAAGAAGACAGAAGAGCGCUAACAGAAGUUUUUCAGCGAUGGUCAGUCAGUUCUGUUGUUGGGCUGAUCGACUGACCCUAAAAUUAUGAUCAGUUUUGUACUGUCUUCUUUUCUUUUCUUCUAUUUCAAUAAUCGACUGACAAGAAUCAAACGGCAGGACAAGUGAAGAUACGGCUCUUAGAUUCAGACACCUCGCGGGACACCGCGCAAAGGGGAAAAGCAACCAACAAGGUCGCACGCAUCCAUCUAUGCACACAUACAGAGUUCUCGUCUCAACACCAAGUGCAAAAUUAAAAAGCACGCGUUGGUAAGUCAUUACACAAACAGUACAAAGUAGAGGCUUAUUAGCUAUCGAGAUCACAUCACACAGACGCGACGCAUGUGCCCAUCUAGCCAGCGAUCGAGCUGCCUAGCUGAUCAGUAGUAGUGGCCACCGGCGGCGGGAGGAGGGUGGUACGCCCCGGCCACCGGCGGGGGCGCGGCCACGAAUCCGACCCCGUGCUUGUGGUGGUGGCGGCCGCCGCCGCCGCCGUGCUUGUGGAUGCGGUGCUCCAUGGCCUCCUCCCGGUGGAGCGCCUUGUCCUGGUGCAGCUCCAUCUUUGCCGCGGCCACCUUGGCCUUGCCGCGCUCGUGCGCCAGCUCCCGCUCCGCGUGCGACCUCGCCGUGGCCGCCUCCGCCUUCUCCGACGCCUUGGCCUGCGUGAUCUUGGUCUUGGCCUUCACCGCGCUCACCCCGUCCUUCACCUUCUCCUUCGCCGCCUGCAUCUUCCCCGAGCCUCUUGAUUCUUCCCCGAUCGAGCAGCUAUUUCUUCCUCCUGCUGAUUGAUAGCCGAUGGUACUCUGGAUUGGUUUGCUGUGCUUGUUUGGAGCUUGUGAUUGGAAUUGGAUGUGGACUGCCUGUGGGUGGGUGUAUAUAUAUGGGGCGCGACCGCUGCGCGUGGACGAAUGGGUGCGGGACGCGUGGGAGGCGACGUGUUCGGCGUGCAUGCGCGAGCGCCGGCGCUGCUGGCUGCAUGCAUGACUCAUCCCUUCGGCUAGGGGUGAGGUGCCGGACGGACGAGAUGCUUCUAGACGAUGGAAUACCACACGUACGUGAAGGAAUCAAUGCACAUGCAUGCAUGGUGGGUCGAGGUAAUCAAUUGCGACCGCAACACUCCGGCACGAGAGAGGCAGAAGCUGUGAUCGAAUUAGACAGCGAUUGACGGCAGGAAAAAAAAAGCAUGUUGUUCGUCCCUAAUACUCUCUCCGUUCCAAAAUAAACGUCUCAACUUUAUAGUAACUUUAAUACAAAAAAUUGUACUAAGCUCAAGACACUUAUUUUGAGUCGGAGGAAGUAUUUAUUUGCCGGAUUACUUUCUUGUUUUUUAUUUUUUAUAAACAUUUAUAAAAUUAAAAAAAUCAUUAAAAAUGCAAAGCAUCUUAAACAUAAUAAAAAUUACUUUAUAGUCUUUAGGGCAUCCAACAAAUAGUGUGUAUGAUAGUUUGAUGUCCAAUACAAAUUAUGAACCGCACACAUUAAAAAAACAAUCUUAGGAUGGUCCGAUUGUGUAGUAAAAAAAUUAAUAGUGAAUUAUUAUACGCAUAUCAUCACUCCUCUAACUCUAAUUAAAUAAUUUUAAGUAAUUAUUAUGUAUGCCAACUAUACAAUUCUCAUGAAAUGGUGGUAUACAAUUAAAUUAUAAAAAUAGUGCGGAAAUCCAAUUCGGCUCUCGGGUGCACAUGCUCCUACACGUGGAAAAUGAUUUUUUCAAAAGUCAAAAAAAUCCUAAUUUUUUUAUUUGCUCAUAGUCACAUCCAAAUGCUACCUAUAAAUUUUUAGGUCAAAAAGUAAAGGAGUUUGGCUGGCACACAAAUAACAAAUUAAACACCAAAUGUCACCCUCAAAUGUUAGACCCAACUUUAUUUAUUCCACCGAGGAAACACUGCUACUCUGUUUCUCAUAAAAAUUGUCAAGCAUGUUUGGUUUUCUUGCUACUUGUUUGGUUUUCUAAUCUUGAGCAUAAAACCAAUUCAGUUAUACUACCUAGAGUGGUACAACGAUGAGCUCCCAAAACGUCUAGCGUGAAAUUAAUAUCAAAUCAAAUAUUAACACUAGCUCUAAUCAUAUAAUUAAUACACAAACAAUAUCUUACAUAAUUUUGUUAUUGAUGGUGUUCAGGACCGUGAAUGGUAUGGGUCAAGGUGCGUGCGUGCAGUGAUUAGAAUAUUACAUGGGAUGAGGGAUAAUGUUUAUGAGACUGGCAUCAUCAGAUGAUCAGAAUAUGACGAGGGAUAAUGUUUAUGAGAUUGACAUCAUCUAGAUGAGUAGUGUGUGCGAUUGAAAAGGUUUCACCAAGCACGUUAUAAACUUCCAUGGUCGGUAUAUAUUGAAGGACGAAAUUUAUCCUCCACAAUGCAUUGUUCAAAUGGUUCUUCUGGCUGGAUUCUUCAUGAUGCAGUUCUGGUGGCGUGAGGAUUUGACUUGGAGAAACUUUGGUGAGGAUUUGACUAUGAAAAGUUCAAUUGUAUAGAGGAGGUGCACAUGCAUGACUUUAUGUUUUAUUGUAACGCCAUGGCUACAACCACCGUUUCCUGGCUGUUACUCCUGGUGGGAUCUAGACUGUCCCUACAAACGAUCACUAGUCUUUUCUGCACAAUUUGUCCUCACUCGUGCACACCCGAGACCAACUUCCCGAUCAAUCACCCCGUCAAAUCGCUCUAAGCCAAGCACACCUAAUUUUGGAGUUGUUUUUCGAUAGGGCUUCCAGAUUUUUUUCCUUAUUAAUAUGAGUAGUCUAUCAUUUUUAUUUAUUCAGCCUCUUACAUGUAGAGGAUGUUCACAUGUCUACAGGAACGAAGAAUAGUGCUUCAAAAAUCUCUUCGGCUCAUUUGCGGACAAGAAGUGUCUCUUCGAUUGACGUGGAAACAUAGUCUCUCCUCAACCCAAAUGAAAACGAUGGGGUUAUAAUUUUAUGAUUUCUAAUCUGAUAGUAUAGAUAUAUAAUUUAGAAAAGUAAUUCAAAAAAUCCCGCCAGUGAGGGAUUGGACUGAACGCCAUGAAGAUGGUGACUGGAGGAGAUGAUGUUUGUGUUAAUUGGAUGGUACAGUGACCGAAGGAGAGGUGGUUUGUGUUGGGAGGUAGGGUGGUCUACAUUGCAGGGAGAUUGGCUAGAGGAAAAAAAACAAACGGGAGUAAGGUUGCCUAUCGUGGAUAGUGUCUUUUUUUUGCGGAUAGUGGAUAGUGUCAUAAGUUAGUAUCAUGCAGAUUACCUCCGUAAUGCAUCGUAUUAUAGAUUAGUAUCUUAGAUAGCCUUACUUAUGCCAAGACAUAUGGUAGUACUUUAUUUAUUUCCAUUAUGAUACUCCCAUAUGGUAGUACAUUAUUUAUUUCCAUUAUGAUACUCCCAUAUGGUAGUACAUUAUUUAUUUCCAUUAUGAUACUCCCAUUAGUAUCUUAGAUGGCCUCAACCCCCUCUUUCUUUAUUUAAUUCUAUGUCUAGUUGGCACGCAUAAUAGUAUUUAUGAUACUCCCAUUAUGUGUAGUAUUAGAAGACCUUAUUUAUUAGUAUCAUGCAGGACAUAUAGCAGUAUAGUAUUGGCGUGGCCAAGUCUUAGUUAACUGAGAUUUAACCGUAAUCCUAAACCCUAUACCCUGAAAUUUUAUCAAGUCUCGGUCAACUGACAUAACAUGCAAGAAAGAAAAAGGAAAAUAAUUUAAAAGGAAAACUUGCACGGAUCUUAUUGUAAGAUCUCACAAAUGUAGCAUCAACUGAGACACAAUCAAGUUUUUAUCGACUAAGAUUUAUCAAGACUGUAUAGUAUUUAUUAUGAUAUGAUAUCAUGAUAAGAUAUGAAACACUCUUUGAGAGCGUUUUGAUUUAGAUUUGUCAAAACUGUAUGGUAUUUAUUAUGAUACGAUAUCAUCAUAAGAUACGAAACACUCUUUGAGAGCAGCGUUUUGGCUUCAAAAAAUUCCAUUUUUUUCUUGGUGAAAGAUGUUUGAGUGCGUGAUGCCUGUAACAAAUUUGGAGAACUUCGAACAUUCGAGGAGCUCGUGACAAAAGAAAAUUCUGGUCUGAGAGAAAUAUUUGAAAAACAACAAGAUUUAUCUUUUUUGUCGCGCGCUACUCAAAUGUCCAAACAUCAUGAAAUUUUGCACGAACCUUACCCACAUGCACAUCUUACUUGCAAAAGAAAAUCAGAUUUUUUUUUCUAUUUUAAAUCACGUUACUGUUCGCCGGGCCUCAGCUGAGCCUGACACCGAGUUGCAUUUCGGCGUGGGUAUGUCAAACACAAACAGUACGAAGUAGUACAUGCUUAGCUAGCGGGAUCAUAUUGCACAGUCGGCGAAUGUGCCCGUCUAGCUAGCGCUAGUAGUGGUGACGUGCAGCAGUAGAGUAGUACGCCCCUGCCCCGGGCGCCGGCGCGGGCGCGGCCACGAUGCCGACGCCGUGCUUGUGGUGGUGGUGGCCGUGGCCGCCGUGCUUGUGGAUGCGGUGCUCGAUGGCCUCCUCCCGGUGUAGGACCUUGUCCUGGUGCAGCUCCAUCUUGGCGGCGGCGACCUUGGCCUUGCCGCGCUCGUGCGCCAGCUCCCGCUCCGCGUGCGACCUCGCCGUGGCCGCCUCCGCCUUCUCCGACGCCUUGGCCUGCGCGAUCUUGGUCUUGGCCUUCACCGCGCUCACCCCGUCCUUCACCUUCUCCUUCGCCGCCUGCAUCUUCCCCGAGCCUCUUGAUUCUUGGCUUGCUGUCGUGUUUCUAUGAUUGUUUAGAUCUUGUGAGUGGAAAUUGGAAGUGUCCUGCCUGCGCGUGUGUGUAUUAUAUAUGAGGGGUCACUAUGCGUGGACGAAUGGGUGCCGGACGCGUGGGUUGGCAGCGUGUGCAGCAUGGAUGACUAGUCCCUUGGCUAGAGGUGAGGUGCGGGACGGACGGAUGUUUCUAGAGGAAGGAAUAUCACACAUACGUGAGCAACUGGACCAAUACCCGUGUUCGAUUCAUUCUGGCCCAACUUUGAACCACGUUUGCGUCCAAAUAGGCCACGCGGACGGGCCGGACGCGCGCCCUUGUCCUCUGGAACCACCCGUCAGGGACACAACCUCUUUCCUCUUCCCCUGCCUCCUUUCGCCCUCCACCUCCGCCAUCGCCGCGCUACCUGUGUUCCCUGCCACGUCGCCUUCCAUCAAGGCCGUCCGGACCACGCCAUGCCAUAGCCAGCCCAUGCCCGCGUUUUGGCAGAGCUUUUUGCCGGCGUUCGUGGUUCAGCGUUCGGACAACUUACGGCAGGCGAUGCAUUGCCGCAGGGCGCCCACCCACCAAGACCAACUUUGCUUUGCUUUCUACGAGGGGAGCUCGAUGUGCUCUUUCCGGCCAGGUCUCCACCCUGUCCACAAGGUGUUCGACUCUUUGCUCAUAAGGUACCAUGGAUAGCGGGGAUGAGUAUUUCUUUCACAACUUCAUCUAUUCAUCAGAUGAUUCAUCCUGAUGAAGAACUUGUGGUGGCUGCAAUGAUUGUCCAUGACCACAUUAGUAGGAAGUGGCCUCGGUUCAAGGGAUCAAUCUCCAGCCAUGCUCCGGCCUUGAACCGGAAUAGGGAGAGAGGCCACAGCCUUCUCUAUGCCGAUUACUUUAAGAAUACCACACUCUUCAAAUCACAUCAAUUUCAUAACCGAUUCGGAAUGAGGAGACAUGUGUUCAAUCGUAUUCGGGAGGGAGUGGUAGGAUAUGCCCCAUACUUUGAGUGCAAAGAGGACGCCCUUGGCAAGCUUGGCUUUUCUUCUUACCAGAAAUGCAUUGUGGCUAUUCACAUGCUUGCAUAUGAAAUUCCUAGUGAUCUUGCGGAUGAGGAUGUGCGUAUGAGUGAGUCCACAUGGCUCCUCUCAAUGUAUAGUUACUACAAGGCCGUGGUGGCAUUGCUCGGCCCUGGGUACCUAAGAGAGCCAACUGCUGUUUAUACAGAGAGGUUGCUGGCGAUCAAUGCCGAUAGGGGCUUUCCAGGCUUGCUUGAUAGUAUAGAUUGUAUGCACUGAAAGUGGAAGAACUGUCAAUUUGCUUGGUAGGGGCAAUACAAGGGGCAUGUGAAAGAUGUCACUCUCAUACUUGAAGCGGUGGCUUCACAAGAUCUGUGGAUAUGGCAUUCUUUCGUCGACAUGGCUGGUUCUGACAAUGAUCUCAAUGUGCUUCAGUGUUCUCUAGUGUUUGCAAGGCUUGCAGAAGGCCCCUCCCCAAGGGUCAACUUUGAGAUCAAUGGACACCAUUACAACAAAGGAUAAUACCUAGCUGAUGGUAUCUAUCCUCCGUGGUCAACUCUUAUGAAGAUGAUACCCAAUCCGUAAGGACAGAAGCGACAGAGAUUUGCCCAAAUGCAAGAGAGUGCAAGAAUGAUGUGGAGCGUGUUUUUGAUGUACUUCAAUUUCAAUGGGGUAUCGCUCAAAACCCUGCAUUGACAUGGAGCACUCAGAAGCUUUGGGAGGCGAUGACUGCUUGUGUGAUCAUGCACAAGAUGAUCGUGGAGGAUGAGCGUGACGAUAGCAUCUACGACCUAGGCUUUGAUUUUUAGGUGAAAAUGUUGAGCCUGAGCACCUACCUCCUGCAACCUUAACACUGUUCAAUUUCAUCAUCAAAUGCGUGAUUGACAUGCUCAUAUGCAGCUCCAGGAUGACUUCGUUGAGCAUAUGUGGGCUCACACUGGCAAUCCGUAGAUCUAUCUGUUUAAUUUCUUUUCAUGCAAACAAAAUUCAAUUGGGUUGUAAGACUAUUUGACAUUGUUUUUAUUUCGAUUGGCUUGUAAGACUAUUUCGGAUGUGAAACUAUUUGCUAUGUUUGAUUUAAACUAUUUGCUAUGCUUAACUUUAGUGUAAAUGGUCUCCGAUGGACGAGAUGUGGCCGAAAUGCGGCCGCUCGUGGACGCACAGCUGGCGCAUACAAAAUUUGGGCGAACUCUGCCCCCAUUAUCACCCCUAUCGCAUCACUCCAUGUUGUGGUCGAAUUAGCCAGCCACGGCAAGAGGAGAAAGUACACUUUUUGAAAUCGUCUUCUUACUUCAGAAGAAAGUAUACUUUUCAAAAUUGUUAUUCUUACUUGAGGGGCUAAUGUGUGCUUUGCCGUGGCGAUUUUUAUUUAUGGAAGUGUCUUGUUUUUUCAUGUCUUGAUUUGAUUAUUAUUCGGGCAACUCACGUACGUUCACAAGCUUGAGCCAUUUCCAAGUUUAUAGCACACCAGAAGCUUGUCCGCAACGGCACCCUUGACGCACGCUUCAACUAAUUGCAUUCGCUUCUAGGUCCACACUCAUCUACCGCAUAACUCGGCUGCUGCAACUCUAUGGAGCUUUGGGCAUGCUGCUAACUAACAUAUUUAUGAAGACUACUAACCAAUGUACUGGCACAUACACACACGAUGCCACACGACACUCAUAACUUGGCGUGACUAAUUGGUGGUGCUGGUGCAUCCACUGCUUCAGUUUCAACUACAUGCAUGAGUGAACUGACGCGACAAAAUAAAUAUGACGCCUAUACACAAGCGUAGAGACACUGUAAAAAAAUGUCUAGAAGCAUUCCUAGAGUGAAUAACAGGUGAUCAGUAAGCGUAAUCAUGGAAUUCAAUCAGUGUGUAGCCUGGUUAGAAGCUCUCUUGCUCCAGUCUUCUGUUCGAUAGAGCUCUUUCAAGCCAUGUUAAUUCAGUAGCUAGAUAAGGGUUUCCAAGCUUUCAUCUUUGAGCGUCACUAAAAAUGCAAUGGUUACCAAAAAUAAUACUCUGUCUCAGCUAUCUACCUCUCCAUGUGCAUUCGGAGGCAACCAUUAUAAAUGAAGUUCUCGCAAAAAAAUGAUUAUAGAUGAAGGACUUUCCUUGCAAAAAUGUUUUGACAAAUUGACUAUAAAUAUUUCCUGGAACCAAUAUGAAAUUAGCAGGAGUAAAAAGUUUAUAUUCCAGCAUUGAUCUAACUCGUUCUCUUCAUUCUUGAUUUUCAUAUAAACAACUAUUUCUCAUACAUGAAUUCUCAGGAACAUGCAAAGAGUAACAGUAUAUAUAGGACCACUAGUUGAGCAUGCCCUUUGCAUGUUUCAGGAUCACCAAGGUUCAACACCUUCUGCUUUCACCAAUUAUCCUAGUAAGAACAAGACAAGAGAUAAGAUAUGUAACUUGAGAAUAGGAGACAUCAGGUAGUGUCGCUGAUGACAAGUCAUAUGGUUGAUACCAAAAGUUGAGAUGUCCCCCUAACACUACAAGAAAUAUGUCAACUAGUGACCUUCUGUCAGUGACCCUGAAAGAAUUGGUCAUAGAUCUAUGAUCAUUUGAGAUCAAUUGGUCAAAAGCUGUUCGGGGGCUCCAAACCCUAAACCAUUGCGACCAUUUUGAUCAGAAAGGUCGUAAUUUCCUUACACGAAAUGGUCAUAAAGCAAACAACGCUAGUCCGCUGCCUUAUUUCUAGUUGUUAACGACCAAUAUAGAUGGUCAUAGCCUUGUAAAUUGUGGUGGGUUGCGAUGACAAGGCGACAUCUCAUCAGUUUUGCCUAUGUGUCAUGUCCAUGUGUCAAUUUUUGCCCUAGGUUGUGAAGCAACCUAUAUUUAUGUUAUUCCAAAAAUUCCCAAAAAAUUCUCAUAAAUUUUUUGGAUCAUAUCUUCAUCAAAUAUGUCAAAAACCUUCCUUGCCUAGUUCAAAAAUAGUUCAACAAUAUUCACUUUCCUAUUGUGUUCAGAGCAACACUUUGUGAAGGAAGUACCACUUUGGCAUGUCCAAAUAGUAUCCCUUUUCGACAGUGCUUUCCUAUGCCCAAAUAACCAUCUCCACCAAAUGCAAGCUCAAUCCAUUCAUUAUUUUGAGCCCAGCUUCAACACUCGUAUUUAUGUUCAGUGUGGUACUUUGCAAAGCAAGUACCACCUAGGCUCCUCCUUUUGAGCUUAAAAUUUGUGAAGACGGUCUUCUUAGUAAUUGAUCAUCCUCAGCCGAAACUCACGCCCAUUAGCCAUGUACAUUCCCGUACCGCUAAUCAAACACUUGGCUGCUAAUUCAUGUUUGAGCAUCGAUCGGUCUCCUCGUGAGAAUCUUAUAUUGUAAUUUUCUUCCUAUCACCUACCUGGGGAGUGACCAACCCACUAGACAUGUCUAGGCCGCCCAUAACACAUGGCAACGCCACAGUCACGCAGUGACCACGCGGCGGGCAUGCGAGUUUACGCGCUCUAGAGUUGGGGCCCUCGGCCACCGCCCAAACCUCGACGUAUCGCCACCAAACUAUGUAUUUAUGAUUAAAUAGGUACUUAUAUAACUAGAAAUGAUUUUUUGAAAAAAUAAACAGCAAACUAUGAGGCAGCUGCAGUUCAAAUUUGACACACUUCCAACUAAAUCGGCGGAAAUUUGUCUUUUUCACGAGAGGUGGACCAAAACUUUUUACACCCAACCAUUUUGUCAAUUGUGAAUUAAAUAUGUCCUAGUAUUUUAUAAAAUUUAUUUGGUCCAAUUUUGUAACAAUUAUUUGGGAGGUCCUUCACAAAAAAACUUCUUUUGGGCACUCGAAAAAUGGAAAAUGAUUUUUUCGUCCAAAGAAAAUGAAAACUUCCUUAGGCAACAUUGUUUGCCAUUCCAAUAUGCACCCUUGUGCACAAUAUAAGAUCAUUUGAACAAACUAUGCCAUGAAUGUGACCAUAUGAUUGAUCAUUUGGCUUGAAAGCCACUGAUCUCCACACGUGAUAGCUCGUUUCUAAGAACACUUUUUUAAAAUAAUUGCCGUAUUACAAGUUUGUUAUUUUUCCUGGGAACUUGGCCAUAUAUAAUGACACAAUGCGAAGGUUUCCCAAUUUUUUGAAUUUUUUUUGAAUUUUUUAUGCCCGUCCCGAGCUAGUGGUUGAAUCUUAGAAUUUUUUUGGUGUUUCUCUGAUUAAAUAGAUACUUAUGUACCUAGAAAUUGAUUUUUGGAAAAAAUAAAUAGCAAACUACGAGGCAGCUGCAGUUCAAAUUUGACCCGCUUCCAACUGAAUCGGCGGAAAUUUAUCUUUUUCACGAGAGGUCGAUCAAAACUUUUUACACCCAACCAUUUGGUCAAUUGUGCAUCACAUAUGUCCUAGUAUUUUAGAAAAUUGAUUUGGUACAAUUUCGCAACAAAUAUAUGGUAGGCCCUUCACAAAAAAACCUCUUUUCGGACACUCGAAAAAUGGAAAAUGAAUUUUCCGUGCAAAGAAAAUAAAAACUCCCUUAGGCAAUAUUAUUUUGAAUUCCAAGAUGCACCAUUGUGCACAAUAUGAGAUCAUUUAAACAAACUAUGCCAUGAAUGUGGCCAUAAAAUUGAUCAUCUGGCUCGAAAGCCAUUGAUCUCCACACAUGAUAGCUCGUUUCUGAGAACACUUUUUUAAAAGAAUUGUCGUAUUACAAGUUUAUUAUUUUUCCUGAUAACUUGGUCAUAUAUAAUGACACAAUGCGAAGGUUUUCCAUUUUUUUGAUUUUUUUUGAAAUUUUUAUGCCCGUUUCAAAAUGCGGUCAAAACGACGGGAAUGACCGUUCCUAGCUAGUGGUCGAAUCUUGGAAUUUUUUUGAUAUUUCUCUGAUUAAAUAGAUACUUUUAUACCUAUAAAUGAAUUUUGGAAAAAGUAAAUAGAAAACUAUGAGGCAGCCACAGUUCAAAUUUGACCCGUUUCCAGCUGAAAUGACAGAAAUUUGUCUUUUUCACCAGAGGUGGAUCAAAACUUUUGACACCCAACCAUUUGGUCAAUUAUGCAUUAAAUAUGACCUAGUAUUUUAGAAAAUUGAUUUGGUCCAAUUUUAUAAUAAAUAUUUGGCAGGUUCUUCAUAAAAAAACCAUUUUGCCACAAGAAAAUGAUUAAAAAUAUCUAGAAAGAUAAAAAAUGCAUGCAAAUCGGUGAUCAUCCAUAAAAAUGGGGUCUAACUUGAGUGAAAAAUUUAGUUGUGCCAUUUUGCAAAAUAUUUUGAUAGUUGCUUCACAAAAUUCCCCUAUUUUUAGUACUUAGAAACUUAUUUAAAUCACUGAUUUUCCAAACCAAUCUGGGCUCUUCCCAUGGAUCGAUGACAUGGCGUCUAUCCAACCAUCCAUCCAUCUCUCCAUCCCACAUCCAUCAAUCCAUCCAUCUAUCUACAUAAAAAAGGAAACAAAAAAGAAAAAGAGAUACCCCACGCACCCCCAACCCUAGAUCAAACUCCUCCCUCCUCCCAAUCUCCUCGCCGCCGCCACCACCACCUCCUCCCCGUCCCCGUUCCCUCCCGAUCCACCUCCUCCCCGUCCUCUCCCAACCACCGCUAACCUCGUCGUCCUCCUAACCCACCGACGCCGACCUCGUCCCUCCCUCCCCUACCCUAGCGUCGCGCCCUCCCCACGNNNNNNNNNNNNNNNNNNNNNNNNNNNNNNNNNNNNNNNNNNNNNNNNNNNNNNNNNNNNNNNNNNNNNNNNNNNNNNNNNNNNNNNNNNNNNNNNNNNNNNNNNNNNNNNNNNNNNNNNNNNNNNNNNNNNNNNNNNNNNNNNNNNNNNNNNNNNNNNNNNNNNNNNNNNNNNNNNNNNNNNNNNNNNNNNNNNNNNNNNNNNNNNNNNNNNNNNNNNNNNNNNNNNNNNNNNNNNNNNNNNNNNNNNNNNNNNNNNNNNNNNNNNNNNNNNNNNNNNNNNNNNNNNNNNNNNNNNNNNNNNNNNNNNNNNNNNNNNNNNNNNNNNNNNNNNNNNNNNNNNNNNNNNNNNNNNNNNNNNNNNNNNNNNNNNNNNNNNNNNNNNNNNNNNNNNNCCCCGCCACCGCGCACCCUUCGGCAUGCCCGACUUCAACGGGAGCAGCAUGCACCACGAGGUCGAUGAUGGCCUCUUCACCGACUCUGGCCCCAUCCUCCCCGACGCCUGGUCGUGGCCCUGUGCACGGCGGACGCGGCUUGGUCGCUUCCUCCGGAAACCCUAUCCCCUCGAUCCGCCGGCGGAUCCACCAGAUCCGCUGGCGGGCUUCACCAAGGAAGGGGCGAGCUGGCGCAGAUGACGACGGCUGUGCUCCUCGACCUCGAGCUCCGCCCCUGUCCGCCCAUGCUCCUCGACCUCGAACUCUGCCCCCGCCCGCCCCGGGCCACUGGUACUUCCCCUGCCCCCUCUCGCCAUGCUGCUUGAUGCGAUCUGUGUCGUACCGCUGUAUGAUCCAGCUGUUGCUUAUCCCAUGCGUCUCAUGCCACUGCUACAGUUGUUUGCUGCCUCACGAUUUUGCAUGACGAGUUGAAUUAGGAUCUGCUUAUCUAUGAAUCGUUACUAAUUCAAUAAUACCAGUGGCUAGCAGUAUGUGCAUUGAUCAGUUCCUGACAGUACGCUGUUGUGUGCUUGGAAGCAACCGAUGUCACUAGGCCACAAUAUUUGUUAGUUCCGAUGCUUAGAGUGAUGUAGAGAUGAGUGGUGUGAAUGAUACAGUCAUCUCUUGAUAGUAGACACAUGAACCUGAUAAAAUGGUCCUUGAUAUGAUGGAAUUACUAGCAUUUGUGUGGGUUUACAGUGCUGUGCCUAAACUACUAUGGUUGCCAAGCCAGCAUCCAUUGCAUCAAUCAUCAUCAAUUAAUGGCCAAUGUACACAUUCUAUGGAACAAUAAUGAUAGUGAUCCAACACAAUAGUUUACUUAAUUUCUUUGCACUACCUUGCUGUUUGACCGUUAUUUUUAUGGUUUGGUUUGCAUUGAUCCAUAGAAGUUUGUGUCAAAUGCAGGUACUCUACCACUAAAAGUGUUUUUCUUUAUCUGAAGACGCCGUGUUCAGUUUUUAGGUGCCUUUUGGCUGGUCGGUCAUUGAGAGUAUUUCACCCGGAGCAAGAAAAGGUAUGCGACCAUUGAGGAAGCUUAAAUUCUGCACCUACUAUAUUCUGGUUUGAGCCUCAAUUACAUCCGGAUGACAGUCUUGCACAUUCAUUUUUACAUUAUAAACAUAAGCAACAUUACUAAAUCGCAUGCUAAGUUGUUGAUUGCAAAGAUCACAAGGCAGGAUUAAUUGUUCAUGAUAGCCGAAUAGUGUAGUUGAUCAUCACUAUUGCUAAAUGCUAUUUUGGUUGAGUUGAGUCGAUGACCUAGUGAUUGAUUGCUUGCAGAUCAUUUCGCCGUACCACCUGUACCUGAAUCCCAAGCUGGCGGUGCAGCACUACGAGAUCUUGUGUUGAUGCCUGAUAGUGAUGCCCGGCCAUGGCUGCUUCCUCCCCUCUCAUUCCCUUAUAUAACACUUGCUCAUUUUGUCCUUGAUACAUUGAACUUGCAGAGAUGUUUCUUUGUUCCAUUUCUUGCUUGUCUACAGACAACGACAUUGAACUAGCAUUCAGUUUAGGCUACAAAUGUUUGUAGAAAACAUUCAGUUGCAUAUAGGACGUGCCCCUCUUUGUUCCUAGCAUUAUUGUAUCUUAUAUCAUGCUGAAAUCACUAAUGACUAUGUAAACAAAACCACUGUUUGAUUCCUCCCUAGAUUUGUGUUAUAGUUUUAUCAUGCCCGACUCUGUUAUGGUUUUAUUGGUUGAACGACACCCUGGAUGUUAUCAGUUUAAUAUAAUUUAUGCGUUCUUAAUUUACAUCUGAUUUCACUCUUUAUUAUGGGUGUGCAUUUAUCCCUGAUCUGUUCCAUUUGGUUAAAUUCAUCAUAUGUGGCUAUCUUCUGGUGUUCUUCUUAGUGCUCCCCAUGCAUGGUUUGUUGCACCUAUUUCGGAUCUCAACAUGAUGAUGUUCUGUGCUGGCAUUGUUUCUAGUGUUGCUAGUGAUAGUUACAAAUCACAAAUUAACUUUGUUUCUUUUGUGACCUUGCUGUGUACAGAUUUGCAUAUUCAGAGCUUCUCCGCCUCGCGCCCCCAAGUUUGACAUCGAGCCCCCUUCUCCGUCGGCCCUCGAUCUACUGCUCCUCGGGUUGCCGUGCGCCCCCAAACCUCUCCUUGGCUCGUCUUCAUCUUCAGGAAGGUGAGCUCCUAUGGUUCUCUCCCGGUAUCCCCCUCGAGCCAGUGCCUUGAGCUCACUUCUUCUCUUUUUGUGCUUUGUGCUCUGCUGCUACUCGUGGUGCUCUGUUGUGUUGUUGCCUGAUGGCUUGCUGCUAUGGACUGUGCUAUUGGCCUGCUGACUGUUGCUAUGUGUUGCUACUGCUACUUGUGUUGUUGGUGGGGCACUGGUGCUACUGCUAGUCUGCUACAUGUGCUACUGCUAGUCUGCUGCAUGUGCUACUGCUAGUCUGCUGCUCGUGUGCUACUAUUAGUUACUUCGGUUGCUCGUUGGCUUCUACUAGUGCUAGACUGCUAGUAGUUCUGUAGUGCAGUUGUUGCUGCUCUAUUGUGUCAUGUACUGUGGAUCUGUAGACUGACUAUAUGCUGCUGCUCUUUGGCAGGAGAGAAGGAAUGACUAUAUGCUCAUAUAGUCAUGUGUGCUGCAGAUUUAUUGGAUCUGUGGACUGUGGCCAUCCAUUUUGAUUCUAACUGAACAUUUUCAUGUUGCUGGUAGCUGGUGCUGCUUUUCUUGCUACUAGUCUUGCUCUCCUGCUGCUGGUCAUGCUCUGCUUGCUGCUGGUUGCUGGUACUGCUCUGCUUAGUACUUAGUAGUAGUACUUGGUACUAGUUGUUGUUGCUGCUGUUAGGUUAGUACUUUGUAGCUGUUGCUCGAUGCAUUGGAGGAAGAGGAUCAAUUACAAUUUACAUUACAUAUAUAAUGCUUUGUUUCUCGUAUCCGUACAUUUUUGUAGGAAACGCAUAAUUGCGCCUAGGGCUUUCUCAAACUUUGCACGGGAGUUAUUGUAUACAAAUCAUGUGCUAUUUAUGGUUACUUUAUGAACUGAUAGCCAUCUCCUUGUUUACUUAGCCGAAUCAUGUCUUUGUGUACAGAACAUCAGUUACUAAUAUUUUACUUAGCAGAAUCAUCUCCUUGUUCUUCUAUGCUUAAAUGAUAAAAAUGUCGCAUUUAUAUGAUUGUAAACCUGAUGUCAUUGGAGUAGUUUUUACUUGCUGCUGAUAGUUACUAGUAUUCACUGAUUUUGCCUCAUUUUGCUUGUUUUACUCUUAUUUAUGCAUACAGACUGCCUACAAGUUAAUGUGCUGUUAGAUUUGACUUUAUUUUGUUCCUAACAAUUUUGUUUCAUAGCUUGCAGAUGCUGUCCUUCAUUCAUGUUUCGCCGUGAGCUCCAGGACAAAGAAGUCGGGAGAAACAUAGAGUUCUUGCUCAUUGGAGCUAGUUAUACUUUGAUAGGUUUUUUUUGAUUUUUUAGUUGUGUUACCUGAUGUGAAUAUGUUUGACUGCAAAGUGUCAAGUUUGGCUCUAUUUGAUUAUAUUCAUGAUGUAAACUAUGUUUUCAUGAUAUUUUGUAGUGCUCUGUUUGAAGCAUUGUGUAAAUAUUGUUUAUUUAUUUAUUGGAUCAUUGAAAUAUGAGGAAUAUAACCAUGACAACUGGGACCUACUUAUUAGAAGACAAUUGGGACCCAUUAGACUAGUGGACCCUUCUCUUGAAAAAAAAAUAAAAUCUGAAGCUCUAGAGCCCAAAAGCCCACGUUGUAGCAAAAUAAAAGGCUGAAUUGUUAGGCUUUGCCCAUGUGGCUGACAAAAAUUAACAGGAAAACAAAUAAAAAAUAGGCUGAUUUAUUGCGCUUGGCCAAAUAAUAAAUGGACUGAAUUAAUGGGCUCGGCCCAUGUAAAACACCGAAUCGGACCGGGCUGAAUCUUGUCAGUGACCUUUUCAAUUGGUCGCAAUUUUGCCACGUCAGAUUGCCACGUCGGAUCCGACGUGGCCUGGGCAGACAUCCAGUGACCAAAACAACAGGUCAUGGGUUCAACGACCUUCUGUUUUGGUCGCAAACGUCUACGACCUUCUCACAGAGAAGGUCGCUAAUUUCAGUUUACGACCGCCAGCUUUUGUCCUUCUAUUUUUGGUCACAAAAAGGUCGCAAAUAAAAAACUAUAACCUUUCAGCGGUCAAUAGUGAGAGUCACAAGUUGACAUAUUUCUUGUAGUGUAAACAUCUCGCUAUUGAUGGCUAUAACACCUAUCAGCUACCACUAAAUAAAUGAUUCGUCCUAGCAUGGAUAUUUUUUUUGAAUUGGAACACUGAGGUUCCAGUACUUAAACAGGCUCAGCAGACUCAUUGGCCAUCAUCACGCGUACAUUGUCCGGUACAGCAUACACCACAGCCGGUGGUGCUCCGAACCACUAGAACCCAAUGCAGCGAGAGCAUAGGCAACUUUAUUACCGUCGUGAGGGGCAAAUUAAAAAACCAAAGUCCAAACCACCUAUGGAAUCAUCCAGUAUGUCACAUUCUAUAUAAUAUGUGUAUACCGCCUCAGCCCUUACCCUAGCUCUUCACCCAAUUACAUGUGUUUGAGAUAGUCAUUAUCACGUGAGAGCAUGAGAAAAACAUUCAUGACGAUUUUUUUUGCGUUAAAAGAAAAAAAAACGCUUGUUCUUUUGAGAAUAGGAGAUGUCAGGAAAGAAAUGGUUAGGAUGACCGAAAGACAAGGUACCUCACGGUGCGAUGGUCCGGGGAAAAUUUGUGAUGCUUGUGAAAGGGACGUGGCAGUGCUUUGACAUGCCUAGUGCGCUUGCUGCCUUUGCAAGUAUGUCUUCCUUUCAGUCGACCUAUGCCGGGCUGCAUUUGGUCCAGCUCGUCUUCACCUCCUUCUUGAACUUUGAACGAGGUCCACAUAUAGUUCACUGGCACAUGUGCUCACUGCAAAACCUCGGGCCGUCAUGGCACUCCCUGCUGAGGUGCAUUGCUGGAGACAGAUCUACAGGCAGACCAAGUGACACGAAACAAAAAUGCCUCAUUUCCUACACACAACUUGAUUGUAUAAGUUUCUAUGUUUGAAUGUUUAAAUUUUAUUCUAAAUAAUUUGUAAUACACACAACAAUUCCCCUCAGUCAUCAGUUUGGUCAUCUUCCCUUCACUUUCAUCUCUCUCUCUCUCUCUCUCUCUCCAAGAAAAACAAUGACACAACGGCCUGUUCAUGCUUCACCUCGCGCCCGUUCUACCCGGAGGUUCCCCGGCAGACAAGGACAUGUAUGUGAGGGUCGGCCUGAUUUAAUGGGGCGGUCCUAGUGUUCCUCAUGUGACAAGACAAAGAUCUGCCUGACGCAUGUACUUCUUGAUCUGGUCGGAGUGUUGGGUUCUGGAAGGCUCCGCCGGCGAACUCCCAUGAGCGUGUUAUGCCUAGAGUUUGCUGGAUCGGGUGGGAUUCAGUUGUGCCCACCGGUUCUCCGUUAAGGACGGAGCGAUGCGAAGCUCUGCUAUCUGUUGCCAUCAUGGGAUAUGUUUAGUUUCGUGGUGAAGUCAGAGGCGGAGAAUGUCAUGGAAGCCGAGAUCAGAGGACUAGUAAUGAUGAUUGGAGCCUUUGUGGCGAUGAGGAACUUGCUUGGAGUUUUGGAUAUUGUAGCAGCAGUAUGUAAGUGGGGGCGGCAACACACGUGUAGUUCAAAGUCUUACCUCUCAGGGUGAAAAUCCAAGGUCUGAUUUUAAUUGGUUGUGCCUGGCAAUGGCCUUGUUGAAGGCAUUGUUUUGAGAGCAGAGACUAUCUUCGGGGUGAAAACCCAAGAUCUACGAUCGGGUGACGACGGCGCUUGUGCACUGUUUUCUUCUUUGAGGCGUCGCUUUUGGAGAACUUGGACUUCAGGUGUUGUUUUGGCGGUGGUUGUACUGCUGCUGCAAGGACUGAAACUCUGUAGCCGGGCUUUUCUUUUCUUUAGCUUCUUCUUGUUCUUUUUUUGGCUGUGUUCAUCCGUAAUACUAUUAGGGUAUUGCGUUGUUGCAGAGGCUGGAUGUAAUUGGUAUCUUCGCGAUAUUAAUAUAUUCUCUUUAUCGAAAAUGUAUGUGAGGGUCGCCUUUGAUGAGCUGCACUUUAUCCCUGACCAGAUGCUAUAGUGGCGGCUGCAGCGGAUGCAGUCCAGCAUCGACGGAGGCAUCACCAGCUACCUGCCGGACGGCUCUCCUUGCUGUACUCCGCGACCUGGAGCAUCGCCAGGCUGCUGCAUCGUCAGCCCCGGCCACGCCAUCGCCAUGGGCCUCUUCCCAGCUCCCGGAACUAUCGAUGUUGUUAUUAGUGGUGUGGGAUGGGAGCGCCACUACUGACCACAUAUCAGUGACGCCAUACUAGUGGUGUGCGCCUAGUGUGCCACAAAUGACGAUUUUCAAAUGCCACUAGUGACAAGAGCGCCACUGUUGAAGACCACAUCGUUUCACACCUUGUAGACAUGCCAGAGGAGAACAAAUAGACUGCCUUUCAAGCAGGAAGUGGAAACCAUGGCCGGGUGAGCAGCGGAGAGAACCUCGUUGAUGGAGAGGAAAGGACAAAUGUUGAGUUGGUUCCAAACUGAGGCCGCUCGUGUGUAGGAGACGAACAAAUGGACGGAAGUUUCGUCCUCAGUGCAGGACGCGUAGGUGCAAGAAGGGAAGAAAUUCUUCACGAAGCGGUUCACCUGGGUGCCCAGACGAUCAGAAACCAAGAGACACAUAGAUCCUGAUCGUUAUAGGGAGGUGCGUAGAACUCAAGACAAAAUACUACUCCCUCCGUUCCAUAAUAUAAGAAUGUUUUUUAAACUAUCUUACCUUGAAAAUGUUUUUAUAUUCUUGGACAGCCUGAAAAACGUUUUUAUAUUAUGGGACAGGGGAAGUAUGCCAUAUCCUAUAAUGAUCGAAUGAAAAUACCAAUAAAUUCUAUAAUUUUAUUUUUUAAUAUCCUAUAGUUAAGCAUAUCAAGCUAACUUUAUCUUUAAGAAGUUUUAGUAUUUUUUUAUUUUUAUAAGUAUAACUUCAAAUUUAGAACUAGUUAAUAGCUAAGAUUAAUAACUAAUAUCUGAGAUUUUACGGAUUUCCUAUACUAUACCUAUUUCUAUUUGUUACACUAUUUCCGUUAUGUAAGCCCACUUAGCUCAGAGGUUAGAGCAUCGCAUUUGUAAUGCGAGGGUCAUCGGUUCAAAUCCUAUAGUCGGCUUUUUUUUUCUCUAUCGAUGUUCUACGAACAAGAAUCUCUUUUUUUCCGAAUUAAAUGGAGAAUCCAGGAUCUUUUAUGUUUUUUACCUUACAAUUUUGCUAGAUACAAAACAAUAAAAUAAAUAAUAUAUAUACAAAAAAAUAUUUUGAUGAAAUUCCAUUUUUUGGGGUACUUUAGUUGAUUUUACUCUGUUUAUCCUGUAGUUUAAUUCAGUUUUAAUUUUGAUGUAUUCUGUAAUGUAAAUACAAUGAAAUUAAUUGUGUAAAAUGAAUUUUCAAUAAAAUAAAAAAAGGAGUCUUCAUGUCCCGUUAUCGAGGACCUCGUUUAAAAAAAUACGCCGUCUGGGAGCUUUACCAGGACUCACUAGAAAAACACCUAAAUCCAGAAGUAAUCUUAAAAAAAAUUCAAUUCUGGAAAAAGGAGCAAUAUCGUAUUCGUCUUCAAGAAAAACAGAAAUUGCGUUUUCAUUAUGGUCUGACAGAACGACAAUUACUUAGAUAUGUACAUAUCGCUGGAAAAGCAAAAAGGUCAACAGGCCAGGUUUUACUACAAUUACUUGAAAUGCAUUUGGAUAAUAUCCUUUUUCGAUUGGGUAUGGCUUCAACCAUUCCUGGGGCCCGCCAAUUAGUCAACCAUAGACAUAUUUUAGUUAAUGGUCGUAUAGUCAAUAUACCAAGUUUUCGUUGCAAACCCCGAGAUAUUAUUACUACGAAAGAUAACCAAAGAUCAAAAGGUCUGGUUCAAAAUUAUAUUGCUUCAUCGGACCCGGGGAAAUUGCCAAAGUAUUUGGCGAUUGACACGUUGGAAUAUAAAGGACUAGUAAAUAAAAUCCUAGAUAGGAAGUGGGUCGGUCUCAAAAUAAAUGAGUUGCUACUUGUAGAAUAUUACUCUCGUCAGACUUGAACUUAACGAAAAAAAGGAAAGGUUCAUAGAAUUUUCUUCCCCUUCCCCUUUCCCCGAACUAAAUCGCCCUAAGACCAUUACCAUUAAUUUGUAAUUUCCCACCAACUAGCUAAAAUUGAUUAACCCUAGGAUUAGGAUCCUUUUUUCUUUUUUCCUCUAUGUGUAUUUUACAUACCACAGUAAUUUGCUAUAGAGAAUUUCUAAUUUCUAUUAAAUCAAAAUAAGAUAAUAUAAGAUAUUAUAUUAUUGCUGGAAAAAAAUGUUAUUUGAUUUGAUACAUUGUGAUCCUUAACGUUGAUGGAUUAACAAAAAUGGAAAGAGAGGGAUUCGAACCCUCGGUAAACAAAAGUCUACAUAGCCGUUCCAAUGCUACGCCUUGAACCGCUCGUCCAUCUCUCCUACAUAACUUAUUAUGGAAAAUAAACUGAGUGAAUAGCGAGUUUUCUUAUUCCUGCAGUACAGGUACAACCGCAACCACUCGGGGGUUCCAUAGUUGUAUUGGAAAAAUUCCUUUUGAUCUAAGUGGAAGGAUACAUGAUUUUUUUACUAGAAAUUGCGCUUGCUAUAAAAUAAAAGUUUUAAUUUGGGUUUUCCCGCAACUAAAGAAAAAUAAAAUGGAAGAAUUAUUAUUAUUGCAUAAUAAAAUAAAGAAACCUUAGAAUUCCGUUUGCAUAAGAUACGCUACACCAUACUAUCGAAAUCAAAAAUAGGGUAUGAGACAAUUAAUAACUUUGAAAACACGAAAUAGUAGAUAACAUAAGUUGUUGUUCAGAAAUAGGAAAGUGGAAUGAAAUCCAGUCUUAGUCAAAUAUUUCAUAUCUCUUCGUGUCCAAGCAGAAGGAAAAGGAUACAAUUUGAGCUGAGCGGAAAAUUCAUAUCUCUCUUAUCCAUUUAAAGCAUAUGGAUUUAGAGUAGAGCAUAUGAAUCAAUCUAUUUAGAAUUAUAAGAAUCGAAUGUGUUUGUUUUUAUGUUAUUUUGUGAAGGAAUGAAAACAAUUCUAUAUAGAAUGGGUUGGGAAUUAUGCCUAGAUCCCGUGUAAAUGGAAAUUUCAUUGAUAAGACCUCCUCAAUUGUAGCCAAUAUUUUAUUGCGAAUAAUUCCGACAACCUCAGGAGAAAAAAAGGCAUUUACUUAUUAUAGAGAUGGUGCGAUUUGACUCUUUUUUUUGCUUUUUUUAGCCCUACCUAUACCCCAGUCUUACCAAAAAGAGAGGGGGUUGGCAUAGAGAGAACCAAAUUUGUAAAGCAAACAAACCCACGCUUCGGGAAGGUGAGGCGAACUAACAAUUCCUUCCGUCGUGUAUCCUCGAUUGAUGCGGCUUCAGAUACUUCAAUUGUAGAUUUGAGUAUUGAGCGAAAGGUUACACCUACAGGAUAUGGUAUGGUAUGGAUUACAGGCCAAUCCUACUCUAUUAGUAUCCGUAGGCAGCAUAGGGAGAAAAGCACUACACCUAGAAAUAGGAAUCAACAAGAGAAAAACUUUGUUAGAAAUUACCCCUUUCCUGAUCGGUAUCAGGGCUGGGAAGAAUGGUUGGGAUAACAAACAACCAUCAGGUUUGUACUUUGGAUACCCCUAUAACCAUCAAAGAUCGUUGAAGUAGCUAAUUCCUCUAAAUAGGAGGCGUUGAGAACAAAGAAAUUAUUGGAGCUAUCAUUUUCCUCUAGCAUUAAUAGAAUUCAUUGGUGUUAAGAAAAACCUCUUGUGGGAAGGUUGGCUAGAGAUUUCUUGGAAAAAUACCAGCCCCUUUCGGUUCAUCAUGAGACGGGACUAAUUCUAUUUUGAUUCUAUAGAUUAUUUCGCUUAGUACUAUUAUGUACAGAAGGGAGGAGCCGUAUGAGAUGAAAACCUCAUGUACGAUUUUUUGAAUAGAAUGAACGACCGUAACGGAUGUUGGCUCAAUCCGAAGGAAAUUAUGCGGAAGCUUUGCAAAAUUAUUAUGAAGCUACGCGACUAGAAAUCGAUCCCUAUGAUCGAAGUUAUAUACUCUAUAACAUAGGCCUUAUACACACAAGCAAUGGAGAGCAUACAAAGGCUUUGGAAUAUUAUUUCCGGGCACUAGAACGAAACCCCUUCUUACCGCAAGCUUUUAAUAAUAUGGCCGUGAUCUGUCAUUACAUGCGACUAUCUCCACUAUAGAAAAAAAAGAGAGGAUCAAAUUUUCUAGUAAAUACUAGAAAAAAGGGCUUUCUACAUAGGGAUCGUAAAAACAACGAUUUUUCCCUAUCAGCUGUAGGAAGGAAGGACACUUCACGAGAAUCAAAAAACGAAGAAAGUAUGGCCUAUACUACUACUCUAUGGAUAAAGUUUCUCAAAUUGAUAGAGAAAGCACCGUAAAGAUCAAUUAGUGAGCGACUGGGUCGAUACAACUAAAAAAAACUGCUUACUU
rnacentral:lncRNA from 1 species